rnacentral:lncRNA from 1 species
AAGUAAAUCAAUCUACAUGGCUUCAGGUCCCGAAUUUUGACUGGAAAAAUGCAACAUUACUCUGACUGAGCCUCAAACUAAGUUUAGUUAACAUUUCAAUUUCCUAUGCAAUUACGUAUAAUCACUAACACAUAUAAAUAUACUAGUUAGAAUGAUACAAUUAUAAGUACAAAGAAAAGAAAGGGGAAAGAAAAGUUUAUAAGCAAGGGUGUCCUUUACAAUAAUUUUUCUAUCGGUCAAUGAUGUAUUGAUGAAAUUAUAGUUUAUAGAUUCUCAAAAGAUAUAUCAAAUUCUAUAUCUAAAUAGAAAUGGACAAUUAUUUAGGAAGAAGGCUAAUAAUUUUUUUUUUNNNNNNNNNNNNNNNNNNNNNNNNNNNNNNNNNNNNNNNNNNNNNNNNNNNNNNNNNNNNNNNNNNNNNNNNNNNNNNNNNNNNNNNNNNNNNNNNNNNNNNNNNNNNNNNNNNNNNNNNNNNNNNNNNNNNNNNNNNNNNNNNNNNNNNNNNNNNNNNNNNNNNNNNNNNNNNNNNNNNNNNNNNNNNNNNNNNNNNNNNNNNNGACGGUAUUGAAUGGUUCUCUUUUAUAUGAAUGUAGACUUGUAGUUGUAGACCUUGUCUUUUUCUUUGUUAAAUUAUUAUAUUACAAUAUAUACUAACAUCAUUUUUAAAAUUUAUCAAGAGCUGAUAUCUAUGUAAUUAUAGCGUUGUUCAAGUCUGUCAAGUAUAGUUGGAAAAUUUAUGUCUAAUAUGGAGACACUUACUGUAGAUUUAUAAAACUAAAGUCUCUAUUUAGAAGUCCUCAGGAGCCUGAUCGAGUGAUUUUUAAAAAGUUUUAAUUUGACUAAUUACCCGAGUUCAAAUUUGGAGAAAGAUAAAAAUUAAAGAUUGAUCGUACCUUUUUAAUACUUAGAAAAUAAAAGCCUUUAUCCCGUACAUAAAUGUAAAAGAUGAAAAUUUGAAUUUGUAGCUAUAGGGCAUGAAUUUGUACCAACAAAUCAAACCUUGUCAUGUGGCAAAAUGAAUUAAAAAAACCAGCUACGAUCCAUGGUGACAAGUAAACCAAGCAAGAGAAGACACAAAUAAAUGACAAGGACAAUUAACAGGGACGGGACAUAGGACCUUUCAUCAAUAUUAGUUAAUUUAUAAAUUUAUUGUAAAUUUGUGUGAUUAAUGAUGCUUAUAAAAGAGUUAGGAAAUACAUUUAGCGAUACAAAAAUUAUUAGAAAAACACAUAUAUUUAUUGCAAGAAUGAGAACAACGCAAGAAAUAAGUUUAUUAAUAUAAAUCAUUAAAAUUGUACCAAAAAAAUUAUUUAUGAAUUUCUUUUGUAUUUUAUUGAUAGAAAAGAUAAAAAUUUGAAUAACUUGAUGAAAACAAGCAAGUAUAAUUGUGAAGCAAAUAAACCAUGAAGGCAGGAAAUUAUGAUUUGUUGUUGAUUGUUACUAUAUACCAAUUUGUAACUUUCUUGUACAAGUGGCAAUGUAAUAAUAUAUUAACAUACUUUUCUUUCAAUUACUACAAACCAUAAUACUUUUUAACAAUAAGUUAAAAUAGUAGUAAGAUUUUAGCUCCAAAAUGAUUUCAAUUUAUUGAUACAUAUAUAAUUGAAUUAUUUGAUAAAAAUAAGUCUCUAACUCCAACUUUAAAAAAGAAAAUAAAAAAAAUUAAAUUGGAGACAUAUGUGAAAAUAAAAUAAAAACUCUAUUAAUACAUGAAAAACUAAGAAAAAAUUUAAGGCGUAUUAAUGAAUUUUUUUUAGAUUAGACCGGAUUCCACCCACUGAUGAUCAAAUAUAGCAUCAUGAGGGGAUCCUAUAACAAUGAAGAGAAGAGAAAGAUACUAGGAAAGUAUUAUUUCUCUCAAAAAUUCCUCAGUCAUGCAAAAACAUCAUCUCAGAAAAUUCUCACAAAUGAGUUAGAAAAAAGAAUUUGAGCAAUUAAACCCUUCUGAUAAUCUAAAUGUUGACUAGAGUUUAAGUGUUCUUAACAGACAUUGAACUGACACUAGAAGCUCUUGAAGCUCAAAUUAAAGACAACAAAAGGAAAAUCAAAACCGGUCGUUUAAGGGUAAUGUAAAUCUUGUCAUCUUCUACAGCUGAUUAUCACAAUUAGAGUCAUCUAACUUCUAUACAAUUAGAGCAAGAUGGAAUGGUGAUGGUGUUGGAAAAAUAUGUUCUUUAAAAGCAUGUGUGUUUAUUUAAUUGUAAUAAAUAAUUUUUCUGAUUAAUAAAAUAAAUGAGGUAUUUUAUUCAAGUAUCUUAAUUGCAUUAAUAUUUUGAGUAAAGUCAAUUUAAUCAUAUUAUAUGUAUUUAUAUGAUCACCAUGUGGAUUCACAUAAGACAUAAACAUAAGUUAUCUUAUGAUUAAAUAAAUUAAGUUCGCAAUUGAUAAAUAAAGUUGAGCACUUUAUUUAGGUAUAGACUGUAAUAAAUUCAUUGAAUGAUUUGUCUUAAUCAUGUAUGAAUUUAUUGAUAUAAUACGACUAUAUUUAAUAGGAUCACACAUGAAAUUUAAUUAACUUUGUAAUAACUGUCAGACUUAUUAAAUCUCAUAGGCAUUGAUUUUACUGUAAUUUUAAUCUUGAGUUAGUUAUAAUUUCAUAAUUGUAAUUGUUAUUCCAUUUGAGUUACCAAUAAACACGACCCACACUUGUAGUCAAGAUUACCCGGUAUCUUGGUGGGAGUAAUUAUGAGUAUUGAAAUUAUAGAUUAACAAUAUAAAAUUUAUACAACACAUCUUUUGAUGUGUUUUCGGCACUUGAUCAUAAAAUUCUCUAGGCAGAGUAUGUCAACAUACUUAAUAUGUUGAAAAUGAUCAUUAAAGGAAACCAGUAAGUAUCAAAUAAUAAGAUAUAAUUAAAUUAAUUGGACAAUUAAGAUAUCGAUUUAAUUCACGAUGUGGUACAAAAGAUUAUGCAGUAAAGAAAUCAAUGUGGUCUGGGUCGAAUUAUUAUUCGGAAACACUAUCAUAGAUAUCAUACAAUUAUAGAGAUCAAUUCCAAUCUUUUAAUGGAGUAGAUUUGGAAUUAAAUAAUUGGGCUAGUUUAAUUACAAACCUAAUUAUUGUAGCUACUAUUGUAUGUACCGAUAUGAUCCCCAGGUUAGCUCAUUUAAUUGAUUGCACCGCUACUGCAUUAAUAAGCAAGAUACUUAGCUAUUUUGGUUAAAAACCUAAAUAUAUUAUUUAGUGAAAGACUCUAUUUAAUAUGCUAGUGUGAAAUGGGCCUUAUGUUAUUUUACAAGGUGGGCUCCUAUAACACAAGAACAAGUAACAACACUUUUGGUUUUAUUAUUUUUUAAUUUAAAUCAAAUGUGAUUUAAUAGAAUUAAAAAUAUAUAUAAAUAUGGAGCCUAAGGUUUUUACCAAAGAGAGAUAUAAAAUGGAUUGUUUUCUCUAAAGAAACAAAGAGCAGCCACAUUAUACAUAUAAGAGAAAAAUAUUUUUUCUCUCUACUUUUGAGAGGAAUAUUUUCUCUUGCUAGUUGCUUUUAGUGGUGAUAAAGGCGCCCACACGUCAAGUGCAAAUAAAACUUGAGUCAUAACCUGGAAGAUCAUUGGUGACAGAUUGUGAUCUAACAAGAUUGGUGGUGACGGAUCGUGAUCUGGGAGCCUAAAUUAAUUCAGCGAAAAAGCAAAAUCAAAUUGUCAAGAUAUGAUUUUGCAUAUUACAAAUUCUUAUGUAUUGUAUGAGAUCAGUCCAAAAGUUUUAUUAAAAAAAAAUUAAUUUUUACCCAUCAGAUGGUAAGAUAUAUAAAUCAAUAUUUUAGAAUACUUGAGGUCCAACUACCGUGCACUUUUUGCCCAUAUACGAGUUGGCCAUUAGAUCUAAACUGUAAGUUGUCUACUUGUUGUAAUGGAACAUGGAUGCAUUUUAUUUGUUUUUUAACAUUGAUGUCCAGAUUAUUUUCUGGGAAAAAAGUCAAAGGUUUCAAAAUUUGACAAAUAAUUUUGUAUUAUUUCAAAUUUUUACACUUUGGUCGAUUGACCUCUUUGACUGUAAAAAUUAGAGAUAGUGUAAGGACAAUGACCUAUGAAAAAAUUGAAUACAAAAUAUUUUUUUUGGUAAAAACAUAAUUCAUAUUUUAUUUAUAAUAAAUAAUCUAAUGUUGCAUUUAUUAAAUUGCAAUCGAAAUGGACAUGAAUGAGAAUGAGUUGGAAUGAGAAUGGAAAAUGAGAAUGGAAAAUGAGAAUCAGAAUAAGUUGUUUACUUGAACUGUAGGAAUCAAAAUCGAAAUGAGUUGAAUUGACAUUAAUGUGUUUAUUUUGUCUUGGAAUUGGAAUUGGAAUUGGAAUGAAUUAGAUUGUUUCAAAUUAUUAAAAAAUCCUUAAUAAUAACGACAAUAAUAUUCAUUAAAACAAUAAAAUUAAUAAAUUUUAAUAAAAUAAUAUUAAAAUAAUAAUGAUAAUGACAAUAUUAUUAUUAUGAUAAUAUUAAUAAAAAUAAAAAUAAUAAUUAAUAUAAUUAAAAUAAUAAAGUACAUUUUAAUAAUAAUGACAUUAUUGAAAAUACUAAUAAUAAUUAAUAAAUUUUAAAUAAUAUUAAUAUUAUGUCAUUAAUGACAGUAGUAAUAACAAUUAAAAUCUNNNNNNNNNNNNNNNNNNNNNNNNNNNNNNNNNNNNNNNNNNNNNNNNNNNNNNNNNNNNNNNCAGACAGUAGUAAUAACAAUUAAAAUAAUAAAAUAAAUAAAUUUUAAUAAUUAUAAUUAUUUAAUUUCAUUAUUAUUAUUAUUAAAUAAUAAAAGACAUAUUUGGAAAUAAUACAAACUUUUGGGUAUUUUUAUAAAUUCUGUAGGAACCAAAAUAAAAAUGAUAAAAGUUGAUUGAGGGUAAUUUGGGGAUUAUAAAAAUGUAAAGGAAGUAAAAUGAAAAAUUUAGGAAAUAGUAGAUUGAUUCCCAAGCAUUCCCUAUUCCCAAAUUUGGGUGGGGCCCAUAUUUCAUUUUGAUUUCUAUAUUUAUUUUGCGAAGUAAACGUUGUUAAUAAUUCUGAUUUUAGAUUCCGAUUCCCUAAUCUGUGAAGUAAACACUGCAUAAAUAUGGAAUAAAAAUAUAUUAAUUUAUCAAAAAUAUUAAUCUAUUUUUAGAAACGAUAAAAUAUAUUUAAUCUAAAAAAUUAAUUUAAAUAUAUACUAAAAAAUUAAUUUACCAAUGUCAUUAACAUAUGACUAGUAAUGAUAGUGUAAAAAAUUUCAUACUAAUCAACUAUAAUCCAGGAUCCAAGAAUAGAUAAUAGAAGCAUAUACGAUUUAUAUAUUAAAAUUUUAAAGUCUUUAAUUUUUUUAAUUUUCAAAAAAUAUGAGAGACGCACUGUAAAUAGCCAAAAAUGGGGGUUCGGUGCAUCACUAUAGUUUUGUCCUAUUUGAUCAUUUUUUUGUCAAAUAUAUCAUACUUGGUAAAUCUCAUGUGUAUUAAAUUUGUGUGUCUGUGUGUGCACACGCCUGCGGGUAAAGUUUAAGAUCUUUGACAUUUUUUUAAGUUGUUAUACCAUAUGAUGUGAUAAUGUAAUAGGUUUUUUUGGACUUCAAUAAAAUCCAAUAUUCUAGAUUUAAUAAUAUACGUACGCAUACAUAUACAUAUAUGUAUGUAUAUAUGUAAGUAUGUAUGUAUACUUACUAAUUGCUACAUGAUAUAAUAUUAUAAUUAUACAAAAUUAUAAGGUAUUUUCCUCUUAGAGAGAAUAUCAUUUAAUAUGUUAUAUGAAAUGAAAUUUAUAUUAGUAGAUGAAAUGGAUUAAAAAGCAAAAGAAUGAUGAUAAGUUAGAAAUAUAUUCGGAGCUUGCUAUGUUACAGCUUCUCUGCAAGUAACAUAGCAAUUGGAAUCUUCCACGGAUGUUGGUGCUGAUGCAACCUAGGCAGGGGAGCUGUUGAUUCAAGGUCAAAAUGCCAAGGCUGUUAGUUGUAGAGGUGAGUAAAAAAACCGUGGUCUUAAAAAUAUCGAAUUGAAUCGGCGGUUUUUUUUUAAUUCGGAUCAAUUUUUAUUUAAAAAAAAUUCAAAAUAUAUCAUUUAUAAAAAAAAAUCAAAAUAUCGAUUCGAUAUUUAGUUCACUCAGCUGAACUGAGGAGAGAGAAAAACCGUGCAAAUGCAUGCAAUAGGAGUUGGCUAUAGUUGGAUCUGUAAGUUACAGAAUCUGUAACUUAGCCAGCUCCUAUUCAUAUAUAUCAAACAGUGGUGUAAAAUCUUCCGUACAAAAUUUUGAUAGUGGGGCGCCGACAAAUAUUUCCAGCGGGUUGACAGCCACUAAAUUCUUAGUGUCCACGUAUUAGGCUAUACUACUCCCACGUGGCACCUUCCAGUGGUCCAGAGAUGACGAGUUGUUCUAACCACCCGCUCCCAAAAUCUUUAUCUUUCCUUUAUUCAACCUUUUUUAUUUUCUUUUUGUUAAAGAAAUUUAUUAGCUUUAAUUUUGACAAAUGUUCUUAGAAAAUUAUCAAGUACCCUAUAAUUUGGCCUAUUUUCAUAAAAUUUCCAAUUGGCAAAAAUGGUUAGAAACGUGGUUAUGAUUACCGUAAUUCAAGAACAUCAUGGCCUACGGUCUGAGCACCGUAGAUGAUUAGAUUUUAUUAAUUUUGUUUAAUUUUUCAACUACUUGACCAUAUCCAAUAACAUCAUCAUCUUUAGAGAUUUUUGUUUAUUUUUCCUACUUAUGGGGAUAUUUGAUAAUAUGUCAAACUAUAAGGGUAAUCAACAAUUUUUUUCCUUUUUUUUUUUUCUCUUUUCUUUCUCUUUUAACAUUUCAAUAUUUCACUAUACUCUUUUAAAUAAAAAGAAUAAAUUGAAUAAGCAAACUUUUUAUUACUACAACAACCAUGUUCCAAGUGUCAAGGACAAAAAUUAGAAGCUGCAUUUCAUUGUUCAUUUUCUGAUUCUGUGACAAACUUAUGAAAACAAAAUGGCUAAAAUGCUGCUCAGCUACCCAUCAGCAGCCACUUUGAAAUAUGGAAGUUAUGUCCAAAAAGGUGAUUUGAGGAAAGCAAAUGGUACUUAUGUAGUGCAUUGCUGCAGUUUUUCAUCAGCUAAGGAAGUGGGAUUGAUGGGUAAUAAAGUUGAGGAAGAUGCAAAAGUGCCUUUUAAAGAGAAAAAGAAUGAUAUUAAUAAGCAGUUUGAGUAUUUGGUAAGUGAGUAUGGUUGGAAAGUGAGGAAGUUGGUUAGAGUGGGUGAAGAGAUGAGAGAAGUUGCUUUUAUUCAAGCAGAAGCAUUUCAUAAUCCUGUGGCCCUCUUCAAUGAUGUUUUCUUUGAAUUCUUUAAGGUUUGAAUCAAUUCUUUACCCUUGUGUACUUUCUAUAUUCUAUUUUAAUUCUUAGUUAUGUUUGCUUCUAGCUUUUGUAUCUUUGCCUUUUGAUAUUGGUGCUUUUCAAGUUCUAUGUAGAAUGAAAAAUCACUUUUUAACUUUUUUCUGCUCUACACAGGCAGAAGUGCUUUCUGGACUUCUUUACAAACUGAGAAACUCACCCCCGGACAGGUAAAUGCAGAAAAACAAAUUCUCUGUCCGAACGUCCGUACUUUACAAUAUGCAGAAUAAUUGAAGUAAUAAAUUGUUGUUUUACUAGAAUUAAUAGUCCAUAAUUUUUCAUUUUACUGCGAAAUAAUCCUGUAAUGUUUAAAAAUAUGGACAUUCUCACUAGAGAAUGACUUGGUAAACAAGUCUUAAUGCGAAUUUGAAUAAUAUAAUGUUGUUUUAUACACUAUUGGGGCACCAGAUGUUGGCAUGGUAUUGUAAUUGGACCAACGAAAUGAAACAUGAAGAAAAAUGUUUGUGAAUAGAAUUAGAUUGUCUUCACAGGUAUGCGUGUUUGGUAGCUGAGCAUUCAAAUCCAAAUGACAAUAUUGAGCCACAAAGGAAACUUGUGGGUGUAGUAGAUGUCACAGUUUUGAGAGAUGAUCCUGUUCUUCAACAUCUCCGGGGAGCAGAAGAAUACCUCUACAUCUCUGGCCUCGCCGUUUCAAAACGUUUCAGGUUUCAUAUUCUACUUUACCCAUAUAGCUAGUCAAUAACUCUGUGUGUACUGUGUUGUUUAUACAUUGAAAUUGACCAAAGGCUCUUAUGGUAACAAAUAGGAGACAGAAAAUAGCUACUGCGUUGAUGAAAGCCUGUGAGGUGCUUGCCGUUCUCUGGGGUUUUGAAUACCUUGUUCUCCGAGCUUACGAAGAUGAUUAUGGUGCUCGAAGACUGUAUUCGAAUGCAGGAUACCGAGUUGUUUCAAGCGAUCUGCCAUGGUUUUCUACCUGGAUUGGACGAAAACGCCGAGUUCUUAUGAUCAAGCGUUCCGAUCAUAAUUUGCUUAAUUGAAAACCUUCAAUAUACCUGCAUUUUGCCUCACCUGUACAUUCAUGUGCAAUGCCAUAGAAAUGAAAAGAACAAAGUUGCAAGUGCUUGCAAAUCAUUUUCUGAUGCUUGUGGCAGAAUAUUAAACUGAUUGAACAUGAUAUUACGAUUUUCUUGAUGUAACAAGAUGGAAUUAAGUAGAUAUUGGAAUAGGUGGAAGCUACAAUCAUACAUGAUCACGAAAAAAUCACAAGCAUAAGUACAUAAAAACAAUCUAAGUAGCCUAAAUUUAUGAUCAAAUCACAAUAAAAUGUUUUCUUAUAACAUCAAACAUUACAUAUAUAACACAUCAAAAACCUAUGUCAUCUUAUGGGUAAACCUAAUCCUUCAGAGUAAAUAAAAAAUCAUAAUAUAUUCGGGAAACUUUUUGCCAGCAUGUGAACUUUUGAGUCAUAUUUGCUUGAAAUUUGAACAUUCAAAGAUAAGCUACAGGUAUUAGAAAAAUAACUACAAAGAAAUCUUCCCCGAUUUGUCAGAAGAGUUGUCAGGAGACUUGUCAGUGCAUGGAUCGGCAUCAGCAAGCAUCUUGACGACCUCUCUCAUAGGAGGGCGUAGAUUUGGAAGCUUGGUAGUGCAUACAACAGCAAUCUUCAAAAGCUUGAUCAUGUCCUCUUUGAUAGAUUCUGAUGCAACUUCACAGUCUAGAACCUUGAGGACAUUUUCGUGGUUAUUGAGAUGAGUUGAAACCCAAUAAACAAUAUCUUUCCCAUCUCCAUACUCCUCUUCAACAGGUUUUCUUCCAGUAACUAAUUCGAGUAGCACCACACCAAAGCUAAAUACAUCACUCUUUUCACUAACUUUACAAGUGUAUGCAAGCUCUGCCAAGAAAAAUUAGAUGCAGAUUUAUUAAGAACAGCUCAAAUAUUAGUCAAGUUCAAAUUGGAAAUAACAAAAAAAAAGGACAUUAAUUCAAGAGAUAUGAAACCGAAUAGAAUUGGGGGCAGGGGAUGAGGAGAAUAAUAGCUUGCUAAACAAGUUUUAAAACUAACCAGGGGCAAUAUAACCAUGAGUUCCAGCAAAGCAGCUAUAAUCUGACACCUUAGGAGAAUUUUCUGCGAUCUUUGCAACUCCAAAAUCAGCAAUUUUUGGCUCAUAAUCCUCAUCAAGCAAUAUGUUGCUCGAUUUUAUAUCUCGAUGUAUAAUAGGAGGCGAACAAUCAUGGUGCAGAUAAGCAAUUCCUUUGGCAGCUCCUAAAGCAAUUUUGUAUCUCCGAAACCAAUCUAGUUCUGGUUUCCCUUCUUUUACCCGUUUGUGAAGGGCUUGAAACAGAUUACCAUUAGGCAUGUACUCUAAAACCAGAAAACUCGAUCCUCCUUUCAGUAAACAAGCAUAAAGCUUCAGUAUGUUUCUGUGCCGGAUUUUGCCCAAGAUCUCCAUUUCUGCUGCGAAAACCUUUACUCCGUCGCCUUUCCAUAGUUGCUUUACGGCCACUGUGCCCGCAUUUUUCUUCAAAUCCAGGCGAUAAACUUUUCCUGUACCACCACUUCCAAUCAGAUUGUCUUCUUCCAAAUUACAUAUUUGCUCAGCAUCAAUGUCAAUAUGGUGGAAAGAGGCAAGCUUCCAUUUUGAACUUACUUCUUUCUCCCCAUUCUCCAUAUCAGCUGAAAGCUUGAAAUUUUUGUAACUCACAAGCAGCAACCCAGCUAGAAAAGCUGCCAAAGCAACUGCAAUGAUACAGAACAAAACCAGUUUAUCUUUAAAUCCUCCUUUCUGUUUCUGUAUUGCAGGGCAAGCAGUCAGUUUUGAAUUCAUAAGCAUUUUAGUGCUUUGUUCUAGGCAGAGUCCUUCAUUACCGGCAAAGGCUCCGUCUCCUCCCAUCCUUAAAAAAUCCAAUGGAACACUUCCAGACAACUGGUUUUCCGACAAAUCAAUAGAACUUAACUUCAAUUUCAUCAAAUUAUCAGGAAUAGAACCCGUCAGUUUGUUUCCAGAAAGAUUCAAAGCGUUCAAAGAGCUCAGUAGUGAAAGAGAACGAGGAAUAUUGCCACUCAAAGAAUUCCGAGCAAGAUUCAAGUCCACAAUUCUAGCACAAUCACCCAUUUCAUUCGGUAUUGAUCCUGUUAAUGCAUUUUCUUCCAAAUGCAAGGAAGAUAACUGCCUUAGAGCACCGAGAGCAGAAGGUAUUUUACCCGAGAAAUUAUUGUUAGUCAAGAUAAGCCUCUCCAAGUUUGUUAACCUGCCAAGUUCUGAUGGAAGCUCACCUGAAAAUCUAUUGUUUUGCAAAACCAAUUGACUUAAGCUAGUGGACAACCCAAUUAGAGGCGAUAUCCCUCCAGUAAAGUCAUUAUCACCAAAAUCAAGCAUACCUACAUUAGGCAAUGCCCAAAGUCCAUCGGGAAUCUUCCCAGACAAAUGAUUGUCACUGAUUCUCAACCUCUGAAUAGUUUUACAGUCAGCAUAAGAAUCUGGCACCUCCCCAGAAAAAUUAUUGCUCAAAGCAAGUAAGUUCAACAAUUUCCUUUUUUCACACAAGUAUUUGGGGAAACUACCAGAAAAUUGAUUUUCUGAUAUGUCAACAUCAGUCAGUGCAGUAUACCGGCCCAAAUUCUCUGGAAAUGGGCCAGAAAAUCUGUUUCCAUAAAUUGAGAAUGCAAAAAGCUUUCGCAUAUCCCCAAAACCAGAAGGGAAUUCUCCAGAAAAGUUAUUCUUAAAGCAUUGAAAAACCGUCAAGUUCUUCAAAUUUCCAAUCUCCUCAGGCAAUUUCCCAUACAUCUGGUUUGAAGAGAUAUCAAAUUCUUGCAAAAGAGUAAGGUUGCCAAGCUCUGCCGGAAGUUCCCCAGUCAAAUUAUUUGCAUAAAGCUCAAUCUUCCAAAGCUUCUGCAACUUCCUAAUGGAUCUCGGGAAUUCCCCAGAAAUCUUGUUUCUACAUAUGUCAAGUGUGCCUAACUCCCUCAGUUCAGAAAUGGAUUCUGGAAUCCGUCCCCUUAAAUUGCAAUGAGCCAGAAACAGGUAUGUCAAAUUUUUCAAAUUCCCAAUACUCUCCGGAAUUUCAGCCUCAUCAUACACAUUAUCCCCUAUACUCAAUGAAACUAGCUGGGUUAAAUUGACCACCCAACGGGGGAAUCUACCAGUGAAGUAGUUGAUUGACAAAUCAAAAAUUUCCAAGUUUUUCAAAGCGGAAAGAUCUGGUACUGAUCCAACCAUUGCAUUUCCCGUAACAUUCAGUACUUUGAGAUUGCUACAAUUGCUUAGCUCCAAAGGAAGCUUCCCAGACAGAACAUUGAAAGGCAGCGAAAGGACGGCGAGACUUUGUAACGCUGAAAUGGAACUUGAAAUUUCACCAGACAAAGACUUGUUGUCAAAUGAUAUUUCGGUGACUCUCCCAGUGACCGAAUCGCAAGUAAUCCCCGAGAACCCGCAUGGAGAAUCAGCUGACUCUUUCCAGGAAUCUAAGACCCCAUGAGGAUCUUUCAGCUUGCUUUUGAACUGAAUAAGGGCUUGUGUUUCAACAUUCAAGGACAGCGAUGGCGGGAAAACAGAGACCAGAAUGAAACAUAACAGAGCUAGCAAACGGAAGCAGAGAAAUGGGAUUUUGGCCAUUGUCAAAAAACCAAGUGGCAAAUUUUGGUCAUUUAAACAAAGGAUGUCGCCACAAGAUCAAUAAACUCGAUUAAUGACCAUGGCAGAAACAACUGAAAAGAAGAAGAUUCAAAAUAAAAUCAUAAUCUAUUGACCACCCAAAUUAGAUUAUACCUUUGAAAUACAAUAAAAAUAAAUAAAUAAAUCACAUAAAAUAAAGUUUAUCUAUAAAAAAAUUGACGUUCAAACGUCAAUUUUGUUUUUAGCUGUGGAUUUUGGUGUGAUUCCUGUUGAUCAUUAUAAAAUUAUAUCUAAGAAAGAGACUAUUAAUUAUAUGUACUAUGCUUUGAAGUUACUCUACUCAUUGCAUUGUUUUGCAUUUUGGCUAUAUAAAUUUAGCAUCAAGAAAAGUUAACAAUUAGAAAGAAAUAAAAAUAAUGGUAACAAUUGAAUCUUGCUUUUAAAUACAGUUUAAAAACUUUUGUAAAAACUAAUAAUUUUCAUUAGUUUUCUGGGUUAGCAUGUCCCCUAUACUGAAAACCAAAUCUAACUUUUAGGUUUCUUUUUACUAUUAGAAUAGUUAAUUAUACAUUACCUUACUAUUUUUUAUUUUUUAAAUACCAAUAAAAAAAGUGAAUUGAAUGAAGACUCAUAAGAGAGGGUAAAAAGGCGAUAAACUUACCUGAAUUCUGAUAAGGUAGUAAAAUUUGAUGACUUUCAAGUUUCUUCUCUAGAGAAUUCUGAAACUACAACACAAAUUACAAGCUAUUAAGCCAACAAGAAAAGAAAUAAAGUAUGAAUAAAAUUUUUAAGAAAUCCUCUGUUUUUUUUCUCUUUAAUGGAUCAAAGAAAGAAAAUAUAUACCCAGAAAUGGAAAUCUCGUGCAGUAACUUGACUUAAUGACUAGUUGUUUUGUCUUAUAACCCCUGGAAUUCUUCAACAAAAUGAAAGAACUGGGGAAGUGGGGUUGCCACCGCACUAAAAAGCUGUAUAGUUGUUUGUUUGUUUUCCAAGAAAAUAUAUAACCGACCUUAGAAACAGCACCAAAAGCUGGAAUUUUUCUAGAGAAAAUGAAAAUCUUUGUUCAGGCCACCGAGAGAAAGAGAGUGUGUGUGCAUGUUGUUGUUGUUGUUGUUGUUGGUACACGAGAAUUGAGAAGCAAUUAAGCUCAAAUUCCCAAAAGAGGGGGGAGAAAAAAAAAAGGAAAAGAAAAGCUCCAAAUUUUCUCCUGAGAAAAGCAAUUAAUUAUUAACUGUUUGAAGAAGGUUUCUUAGCAGCUGCUCAAAGAAGAAAAUGAGAGAGAGAGAGAGAGAGAGAAGUUGGAGGGAGAAAGAACAUUGGAUCUUAGAAGCAGAAGCAAAGGGACAAAAGUGCUCCCAUGAGAAGUCUUUGGCAGUGUUUGUUGUUACACUGUUCAGUCACCGUGGUGGUGGGAAAAGGUUAACAUCAUCAAAUUCAUUAUUGAUUGGACUGAUGUUUUGGUAUUUUAUCACUUAGAUCCUUCACGUCUUGCAUUUCUGCUAAAUAAAACUUAACUUAUGACUUUUGAUUGAAUAAGUCAUAACUUUUGUUUCAUGUUUAACACACGAGAUUACGAGUGCUUCCCUAAUGCCAACCCCUAAUGCCAAGUGCUAACAUAAUAAGAUAUGAUUAUCAUAUCAGUACAAAUUUAAUUACUCAAUGCUAAGUGCUAACAUAAUAAGAUAUGAUUAUCCGAUCAAUAUAAAUUUUAGUGUAAAAUACAUAAAUAUAUGUAUUUAUUUUAUGGAAUUAAUUAAAAGGUACACAUGACAAUAAUUCAAUAAAAAAGAGUGCGUGCAUUAACAACAUAUAAGAUUUUAUAUUAUUAAGACUAGCUAAUUACUUAAUUAUAACUUUUGUUAUAUUUGUCUAUAUGCAUAUGAAAGGAAGGGAAUGUGCCCCUAAGCUAAUUAUGUAUUCCGUUUACUGAAGGUAAUUUUGAUAUUUGUAAAUACCAUUAGAGACUAUUACCAUAUGUAAUUUUUAUUUAUAUAACGUUACAUAAUGUCACAUUUACAUUUUAUGGCUAAAUUAAAGAAUUAUCUCUAAAUUUGAGUGACAGUGAGAUUUUUCAUUUUAUUAUCAUGAUGUAUUUUUUUCUCUCAUUUUGCUCUAAUGCUUUAAAUAAUUAAUAAAAGAAAAAAAUUGACUGUGGGGACUCUUUUAAGAAAUACUACAACUUAUUACUAUUAAACACUAAUAUACUAAAAAAUAGGGUGAUCAGUGAUAAAUUUUGCCGUAUUAGUCUAGAUUGAUUUUACUUUGAAGAUAUGUUGGAUUUUCCUUUUAAUUCAGUCAAAACCGAAAAAGACAAUAUGGUGUAAGAAAACGAUUAAACUUAAACGAGUAGUAAUUUUACGGUAAUAAUCAAAUGAAAGCUAAACGAAAAUAGAAAUAACAUAAAAUAUUUGUAACUGCCGUUUGGUAUGAAAUGUGGAUCUAAUCAAUAUGUCCAUAGUAAGAAAUAAUGCGCUUUUUUUUUUCUUCAUCAUUAUCUAAGUUAUUUCUUGUUAUAGAUUUUUUUUUUCAUAAAGCAUAAAUAAAUAAACAAUUAUACUUUCGUACUUUAAUUUACGAGUGAGAGUAUCUUAAAAUGAUUUGUUGACUCAAAAUUUUGACACGAAUUUUAAGAUUUUAAUUUCUUCUAAUUCAAUGAUGGAUUAAUUAAACUCAGUAAAUACUAAUUUUGACUUUGAAUAUCUAUUAUUAGUUUAUUUAAAGUCUCAAGGGUAUGAGUACUUGUAGGAUACAAGUACUCAAACUCAAACUCAUUCCCUGGUUAUUUAAUUUUAGUCAUUUUUUCUUCUACUCAUUAACUUUUAUUUGCUAUUUUUUUUCCACUUAUUAGCUUUAAUUUGCUAUUAUAGAUUUGAGAAAAAAGAAGCUCAAAAUUAUAUUUUAGUGUCACGAAAAUGACAUAAAAUAAAAAUCAAAACUAAAUUUUUUUUAAAAAAAAAAGGAAAUCAAUUUUGCUUUCCCUUAUUGAAACCUAAAUCAAUUAAGUCUCUAAUACACAAACAUAAUAUCCUAAUAUGACAUAUUUUCUCGUGGCAUAUGUAGCUCAUAAUCAUGAUAUUAAUAUUGCUUUACAAUGUUCUCUCUCUUUCUUUUUUUUUAAUAUGUCUCCUGGAUGUCGAGAAAUUAGAAAAAUAAAAAAUCCUAUCUUAUGAAUUAAAAAAAAAAAGUACAACUUAAUAUCGUAAAUAUUCAAAUUCUAAUAAAAAUAACAAAAUUAAUUAAUCCAAUCAUGAAUUUAAUUAUUUAUACAUAUGUUGUUUCACUACAUGCGAUUGUUUCAUUUUUUUUAUUAGCCCUACAGCAGUGACUUACAACAAGCGAAUAAUCAAAGUUUACAUAAUAUUGUAUAAAAAAAUAUGUUUUUCAUUAUCAAAUUCAAAAAUCGAUUUGUAAUUUGGCCUAUAAUUGAUUGCAUUUAAAAGCAACCAAUUAUUAUUCACAUUUUUCCUUCUCUGUUUCUGCUAAAAAUUUUAAAAAUUAGUAAUAAUCAUGGUUUAUUGGGAUUCCAGUCAGUCAAUCCAUUAUUAAUUGGUGUGAUUAAUGUCUUUCAAUAAUUACUCAAAAAAUGGAAGAAGAAAUUAAACUUGACAAACUUCUGCCACUUAAGACACUGCCGACACAUUAGUGGAAAUUGGAUUUUGAUGUUUUAUCAUCCCCCAAUAGAAUUUUUUUUUUUUUUUAAAUUGACAAAAAUUAGAGUUUUAUAUUUGAUUUAUGAAGAAAGUAGGAUUAGUCUUAAUCUUUGUCUUAUUUACUUCUUGUUGAGUUAGUUUAGUUUAUUGUUUAGUUUUAUUUUUUCCUUUUUGAGUGUUUAGUUAGUCGUAGCAGAUCUAAUUUCAAAAAUAUUUUUUUAAUUGAAUAAUUAAACAAUUUUAUGUAAAAUUAAUCCUACUGUAUUUAACAGUAACGUGAUGUAACUGAUCCAUCAAUUUUAUGGAAGUGUUAUCCACUGGAAACAAACCCUUAAAAUUAAAAUAUAUUCUAAAUAAUAUUACUAUUUUGCAGUUCCUGUAAUACGUUGAAUUGAAGAAAUAUUUAACAAUUUAAUUAUUUGAAGUGUGCGAUUAACAAUGAAAUUUAAUAAGAUCAUGUUGUUUGUUUUAUUAAUUAGUUCCAUUGUGCAGUUGAGAAUAUUGAUUAGAAAACUACCGACCGUGUGUGACCGUCCAAUCAUGAAAAGAAUCAAGAAGCAUUAUAUAAUAAUAUAAGGUCAUGAUGAAGAUGUCAAGUGAGAAGGAAAUUCAAUCGAACGGCCAACGUUUUUCAAUCUCGUUUUACUCAUGUAUUCAAUGCGACUCUCUCCCCGUCGCUAGAAGAUAAAUUUUGGGUGAUUUCGACUUUUACAUAUGUAUAUAUUUUUUUCUUUUUUCUUUUUAUUACGUACGCCUCUUAAUUAAUUAAAUAAUAGUAAAUAAACAGAUGAACAAAACUAGACAAAUUUGGACAGUAUUAGAACACAACUUAAAUAUCUUGCCCAAGAAAAAGUAGUCUACAUAUGCCCAAAUUUUCUUACAGAAAUUUGGGCACACAUUCGAUGCAAAUUCAUGUCAGUUAGUGACAACUGGGGCUUCCAUAAUUUUGGUUUAUAUACGAUGGGCCAAAGCUAUAAAUGUUUCCACUUGACAGUUGAUAGUAACACACACAAUAUCUUUAUCACAAGUGCCCAUACAUUUAACACGUAUUGCAUAUUCUUUUUGUAGGAGCAAAAUGGGCAAACGGAAAGUACAAAAAUAAGUUCAUUUUAGCUUAUAAAGUGGUCUUUUUCUUAGCUGUCCCAAGUCCAAACUAUCCACAACCACUCAUUUUGUUCUUUGUAGGCAUAAAAUUAGUGUAAGAAUAUUUAAAGGUAUAAUUAGAGUCAAAAUUUAGUAACACCAACAUAGUAAAAGAAAAUGGACCAAAUCUAGAGUAAUUGUCAACUCGUUUGAAAUAAAUUAUGAAAUUAAUCAACAACUCCUUAUUUGAGUUAAUCCCAAAGACUGAGUUCAAGUCAAAAUCUUUAGUAUUAAAUUUUUGAAUUUGAAUUUAGUUUUAGAACGGCAAAGGCAGGUCUCAACCAACAUUGAGUUAGGUUUCAAGUCUGCAUGGUGAGCUUAUUUUUUAUUACCAAUAUUGUGUUUUACUCUCUAAUAUAAUGUUAAAAUAAUAAUAGUAAUGAGCUCGAAAGGGUCAAACAAAAAGAUAUACGCACGCAGCAAUUAAAUUUUGAAAAACCUAUUAUUAGAAACAAAAUUUGCUUGAAAAUUAGAAAUCAAGUGGCGGUGAAUGUGAGAUAAUCUACUCAUGCUAUUAAUAUGAUCAACUAUUAUAUAAUAGAAAAUCAUUUGUGAAAAAAGGCACACAAAUCACAUGGUACAUGACCGUCAUCGGAGUCAUCGAGAAAGAAGAUAAUUAAAAAUGGCUCUCGACCAACGAGCAGGAGACAGAAAAUUAUUAAUUUGCUUAAAAGAUAGCAGUUGUUUAUCUGUUUUUAAGCAUUACAGCUGUAUUUUGUGCUGGAUAACUGCAAAGCUCAGGCACGUGAAAUCAGAUACGAGUGAGCUGUAUUCAUUCUUCCUGAUUUUAUGUUGAUUGAUGAAACAAACAAAAUAUUUUCAAUUGAAGGUGUGAAAUGAAAUACGAAAUCUUAGGAUUUUACUUAUUACAUAUUUGUGUAAUAUUUUACUUAAAGGGCAUAAUUAUGAUUUGGUCUGAAGAGUUAAGGGUUGCUCAAGUAUCGUAUACUUAAUCUAACGUCGGUUCUUAUCUAAUGUGCAAUUAUUCUCUUAAACACCCCUUAUCGCGUGUAAACUGAUUCUUUUGCUUGGGUUUUGUCAUGAGAUAAGAUAGUGUGAGCUAAUUUUAAAUAUGAGUUAAUACUAUAAACUUCUACAGAUAUAUACUUCAAUCAAGUAGUCAUGAUAAUGAUUAUUCUUUUUAAGUUUUAUUUUCUAGAAGAGUGAGAUCCCAAAAUCAUCCCAUCCCAAGUACUGUUUAAAGACAAGCUAUAUGAAAACUACAUUUUUUUUUCCUUGAAUUAAAUUGACAGAAAAAGAUGUACAUUGCGUAGUUCCCGGUUAUCCCUGCUUGAUUCUUCAAUUAUUGGACACCUAGCUAGCAUAAAUACAAAACUUUCACAUCUCUAUUGUAAAUGAAUUUGUUUGAGGGCAAACGAUUGGAGACAGCAGGAAUGGAGAAUGAGAUAAGGAUUACUAUUUUUAUGCUCGGGGGGCAACGCAUGCGCCAAAGCUGGGCCAUGAAAGCAACAAUACGAGAGCAUGCUAAUAAUAUCCACUACAUUACUAAUUUGAAGUAUAUAUUCUUUGGUCAAGCAUUAGAGGCAUGAAAAAAGACAUACAUGGUGCUUGUUUCUUUCAUUUUAAGAAUGUGAUUGUCAAUUUUUAUUUGAUUGUGGUUAUGGAAUCCCAAGCACUGAAGAGAUAAUGUUUGAGAGGAACGGGAAGUGAUUUUUCACUUUUUUGAAGGAUUUAAGCUUGGAUAUUAUAGAUAUUGGUACGUAAUUGAGGUGGUGUUUAUAUUUUAGUCAGAAAUCUAAAUAAAUUUGAAUUAAUAGAUGAAAUCUGAAUUGAUCUGAAUAUUUAAAUUUAAAUAAUUUAUUUAAUUUUCUGAAUAUAUGAAUAUAAGAAUUACAUUGUUUUUUUUUUAAUUCUCUUGUCGAGUCAUGACUAGAGAAAUUUGAUGGCAAAUAAUCACGCCGAGUUAUAAAUAGGGAAAUUUACACCCGUCCACCUGUUUGUUUUGCCUUUUUCAAAAAUACACAAACACUUUUUUUUUUUGCAGCGCGCCACCUGAAGUUUAUUUUUUGUUGCAUUCAUCCACUUCCGUCUAAUUUCCGUUAGUGGAUUUAACGGAAUGUUAAUGAAAUGACCUUUUUACCCCUCAAAAUUACAAUUUAACCCAAAAUAAAUGGAAAUUAGAGAUAAAUUGGAUGGAUUUAAUUUUUUUUAAAGGUGGAUACUAGAAAUUGGAGGAAAAUAGUGUUUGUUGCUUGCUAAAUUUAGAAAAUUUGUAUUUAUUUUUUUGAAAGACAAAAAAAUAAAUACACAAAAAAUAAAUACAAAUUUUCUAAAUUUAGCAAGCAACAAACACUAUUUUCCUCCAAUUUCUAGUAUCCACCUUUAAAAAAAAUUAAAUCCAUCCAAUUUAUCUCUAAUUUCUAUUUAUUUUGGGUUAAAUUGUAAUUUUGAAGGGUAAAAAGGUCAUUCCGUUAAAUUCACUAACGGAAAUUAAACGGAAGUGGAUGAAUGCAACAAAAAGUAAACUUCAGGUGGUGCGCUGAAAAAAAAAAGUGUUUGUGUAUUUUUGAAAAAGGCAAAACAAAUAGGUGGACGAGUGUAAAUUUCCCUUAAAAGAAUUAUCUAAUCCAGAAAUAUCUAAUGAAGAAUCUGAAUCAGGAGAAGAAGAAGAAGAUGUAUUUAUUAAUUUAAAAUAUAUUGAAAAUAGAAUAGAACAUCUAAAAAUGAAUGAAUCAAAGCCAAGGGUCUUUAAAAGAAGAGAAACUAGUAAUAGAGCUUCCUAUGCUAGGGAAGAACUACCAUCUCAUGAAAGACCACAAGGUAAAAUUUUAAGAUUAACAAACCAAAAAAGAAAUAUAAAACUCCAGGAGAAUAUAGAGAAAGACUAAUCAAUCAUGAUGGAGUAUGGUUAGAUUUAGACUGUGUCAAAGAUAGAGAUAAAACGAUUACUGCUUGGGUUAAAAUGACAUUAGCAUUUCGCAAAAUAGAUAGAGAUAAUUGUAUAGAAUUCCUUAAAACAUCAUUUAUAGGAAUUGUGUCACAUUGGUUUAUGGGACUAAAAGAUACCAAUAAAAAUAGAAUAUUAUAUGGAGAAAAUAAUGAUCGAAACGAAAACUUUGAUCAAAAAAUAAAUACAAAUUUUCUAAAUUUAGCAAGCAACAAACACUAUUUUCCUCCAAUUUCUAGUAUCCACCUUUAAAAAAAAUUAAAUCCAUCCAAUUUAUCUCUAAUUUCUAUUUAUUUUGGGUUAAAUUGUAAUUUUGAAGGGUAAAAAGGUCAUUCCGUUAAAUUCACUAACGGAAAUUAAACGGAAGUGGAUGAAUGCAACAAAAAGUAAACUUCAGGUGGCGUGCUGAAAAAAAAAAAAGUGUUUGUGUAUUUUUGAAAAAGACAAAACAAACAGGUGGACGGUUGUAAAUUUCCCUUAUAAAUAUAACAUAUAUACCUAAUAUCAAUAAUUUAAUAAAAAUAAAAAACUACAACACAAAAAAAUUAAGGGAAACUAUCCAACGUUCACCCAUUUUUUCACCGUUCUUUCAAAAAUAUACAAUUUUUUUUUUCAGCACUUCGCCUAAAAUUAACAUUUUUUUCAUUGGUCCACUCUCGUUAUAACACCGUUAAAACUUUGCUGACAUCAUAAGGGUAAAAUUGUCAUUUCACAACAACAUAGUGGUGGACAAGUGCAAAAUAAUAUAACUUCAAGUUGAGUUCAGUAAAAAAGAAUUAAGAAUUGUGUAUUUUUGAAACAAUACAGAAAAAAAAGUAAUCGGUGGAUAAUUUAUUUUUUACAUUUGAGGGUAAAAAAAUCAUUUAUAUAAUAUUCUGUUAAUUUUCUUAACAGCCUCCAAAUGAAAAUUGAGGAGCGAAAAGAAAUAUAAUUUUAUGUGGAUUUCAAUAAAAAAAAUUAUAUACUUUUAAAAAAAUUAAAAAAAAUAUAUGCGGACAAUGAAUAAUUUUUCAAAAAUUAAUACUUUUCCAACCUUCUCACCUCAAUAAUGACAGCAUGGAAAGUCCCUGGGCUACUUGCCUACUUCGUACAGUGAAUAUGGAUAUAAUUGUGAAUAGUGUUCAACUUCCUCGCUAUUUGUUUUGUAAUAAAUCCUUCGCUGAUGGUGAAAGUGGCAAAAAGGUGUCAGUGGAAAUAGAAAGGUAAAGGCACUAGGAAUCAAAGCAUGGUUGAAAUUUGUUUCUUGAUAAAGAUAAGGGAGAACCGGAGAAGCAAUAUGGUGCAGGCACCUUAUGUUUUUUUUAAGCGGACUCACUGUUAAAUUGUACAGCUUAAUAAAAUAUUGUUAAAUUAUGUAGCUUAAUAAAAUUAUCUUUGAAAGUACUAUAAAAUUAUAAGGUUUAAUAAUAUAUCUACAAUGAUUUUAUUAAAUUAUAUGAUUUAGCAACAUAUUUGCAUGAAAAAAAAAUACAUGUAUCUACAAUGAUUCUAUUAAAUUACAUGAUUUAGUGCAUGUUCGCAUGAAAAAAAAAAAAAAAAGAUACUUGUAUGAGUGAAGGACCAUAUAUACAUACGUACGUACGUACAUACAUACAUACAUAUAUAAAAAUGUUCAAAUUCGAAAUUUUAAAGUGCGGAAACGUCUGGAAAAAUGCAUAAACCGUACGGUUUUAACGCUUUCCCAAAAUUUUCCCGCACUUUAAUAUCCCGAACUAGAAAACUAUAUAUAUAUAUAUAGACAUUGUAUUAAUUACUAGAUAUUUUUGGAUUAUAGAUAUUUUUAGAGUGGCCAUAUCGAAAUUAUUUUUGAAAAAUUAUAAUAUGUAGAUAUUUUAUUGAAAGGUUUGUCAAUAGAGAUAAAAUAACAACAAAUAAGAAUUUAUCUUUAAUUAGACUUCAAGAAAUUUAAAAAUAGACACUAAGAUGGCUCAUAAUUUGCUAAGUACUUAACUAAAAAAAAUUAUGAAAGAAAAGAAUAAUAAAAUAUUCCUAUAAAUCAAGGUAGAUAUUAAGGGGUUAUUUGUUUUUCGGCUGAAGUCUGAAUUUGAAUUAUUUUUAAACAUUUAAAAUUUUUAUUUUGUUUGUUUUUUUAUCACUUAUACCUGAUUAUAAGAUGUUUAGGUAUGAAUGAAAAAAAAUUAAAUAUUAUAACUUUUAUCUAAAUAGCAAAAUAUCUGAAUGGAAUUUUAAUAUUUUUUUCAUUAAUACCCCUAUUAAAUAAAUUUAUUUUCUAUUAUAUAAAUUAUCCUUUUAUUAUUUUUUAUUUAUCCCUUUUUUGUAUGUAUAUUCAACUAUUAUUAUUAUCUUUUUUGGUAAUGAGAAUUUUAAAAUUAAUAGCACUUUAGGCGAAUGUAUUUUAUAAUAGGUCCCAUCUCUUUAUAUUUGUAUUUAUUAUUUUUAUAAUAGAUUUUGAAUUUUAUUUAAUACAUUAAUUUUAAUUCCAAUGAUCAAACAAGUAUUGAUUGACUUAUAUAAUUAACAAGAAAAAGUAUCAAUAUAAUAUACUAAAAAUAACAUUAUAAGUAUCAUAUGUCAAUGUAAAAAAAUACGCGUGUUUGAUAUGUAUUUUUCUUUUGAUGCUUAAAUUAUCUUUUUUUUUACUAAUUAAAUAAUUUAUUUAUAAUUUGUCAUGUGUUUAACCAAUAAAUAUAAGGAUUGUUAAUAUUUAUGAAGUUAUAUAUGUCAAAAUAUCAUAUUUAAGAUAUUUUCUUUUUUUUUUAAAAUAAGUUAACAUUUAUAUUCAGAUAUUGAAAAAAGAAAAACAAACAUGUCAUUCAGAUAUAUGUAUUCAGACUUAUUCAGAUUUUAAUUAAAUUCAGACCCAUUCAGAUUUCAGACCAAAAAAAAAAAAAACAAACACUAUCUAAAUUAAAUCACAAUUCCAAAAUUAAAGUUGAACUUGAGAUGAUCAGAUUAUAAAUAAAAUUCCUUAAUUUUAGGACAAAAAGUAAAAUCAAGCAUUUAAUACGGUGUUUUAUUUUUUUAUUUAUAUCACCAAAGUUAGAGGGCAAAGAGUGAGAGAGACUUGGGUAGAAGAAAAUGAGUUAAGGUUGAUAUGAAUAAGUUAAAAAAGAAUAAAGAAAAAAAAUGAAACAUUAUUAAAAAUAUUAAUAAUAUCACUAUAAAUAAAUCUAUUUCGAAGGGCUUAUUUAAAAUUUUCCCAAAAUUUUGGACGGUUAUAGCCCAUCCUAGCUCAUAUGUGGCUUCCCACUGGAAGAUACUAAUCCAAAAAAACCCCGCCAAAACAAAUAAGAAAAAGGGCGUGGAUAUUUUACUUCAUUAUUAAACUCACCCUACCUCGAAAGUAUAAUUACAACGCAUUCACAUUAUUUUAUAAAAUUAUAAAUUAACAAUAAAUUUAAAUAAAUAAUUAAUUAAUUAAAUCAUUUUUAUAAUAUUAUUUUCUUUAACUUAGGUGGCGUUUGUUUUUUAACUUAAUGACUUAAAGUGACUUAACUUAAUUAAUUAAGUUAAUUAGAGGUAUUUGUUUUUAUAAUUUAAUGAGAAUUUUUAAAUAAUUUUGACUUAAUAAAAUCAGCUAAUUUUUUUAGCUUUUUACUUAAUGGAGAAAUCUGAAUUAAAUCAAUUACUUGCUAAUGUCAAAAAUAUCCAUGUUUUAUAAUUUAUUUUUCAUGUCUAUCCCAAAACUCACCUAUAGAUAUUUACCCCACAUAAAAAUAUCCAUGUUUUUUCUUUCUUAUAUUAUAUACGAUAAAAUUUAAAAUUUAUGGUAUUUUAUAUAUAAAAUUCUAAAAUAAUUAUGUAUUUACUUGAAUAUAGUUUUACCUAUAAAUGUUAAAAUAUUGUGGUAUUUAAUAUAUUAUUUAUUUGACAUUCAAAUUUAAUAAGGAUACAAAUGUAAAAGUACAUAUUUUCAGCUUUUUAAGUUGAAAAAAACAAACAACUUAAUACUUAUUUUCUGAGAUUCAGACGAAAAAACAAACAUAUUAUUCAGAUUCAGACAUUCAGACAUAUUUAGAAUUCAGACUAAUUCAGGUUUAUUCAGAUUUCAGACAAAAAAACAAACGCCACCUUAGUCUUUCAACAAUCUUUAUUUAUUUAAAGUUGAUACAAGAUAAAUUCGAUUUGACCAUUUUACCCUUAGAUUAUAAAAUAACCAAAUUACCUAAAAAAUAUUUGUUAUUGUAACUAAUUGUUUAGGCAUUUAGUUUCUAUAAUCUAAUGUCUUUUAUAUAAAAAUUAAUAAUUUUCAAUACUCCACAUGUCCUAAUUAUAUCUUGUUAGGUUAGUGGAAAAUUAAUAACCGUACUAAUAAAGUACUACUCAUACAUCAUUAAAGUAAAAAAAAAAAUUAUACAAAAAAUUAUUAAAAUUAAAGUAAUUUUUUAGAUAUUUUGUAACUUUUACCUUAUGAGGGUAAAAUAAUUGUAUUAACUUAUGUAAAAGCAACCUUAUUGAUCAAAUAAAAUAAAUAUAGUCUCAUUAAAAAGUGAAUAUGGAUUUAAUUGAUUAAGUUUUUAAACUUCUUCUUAAUUUGAAUUUUUAAAAAUAAUGUGCAUUUGAUAUAAUAAUUUUCUGAAAAGGGUAGGGAUAUUUCCACCCCAUUAUUUGUGUAAACCCACCCCACUUCUAAAAAAUAUUUACAGUAAAUACACAUUUUUUUAAUAAAUACAAAUCAACAAAAAUUUAUGUAAUUAAUCAAUUAAAUCGUUCUUAUAUUUUUUUCUUAAUUAUUUUUUUACUAUUAAAGUAGUUUAAUAUAAAUUCCAUUUAAUUAAUUUGCUUUAUGACAUAAAUUGACCCACUUGCCCCAAAAAAUAUGUGUUUUUGUAUCUAAUACUUUAGGCACUUAAUUUUGUGACUUAUAAUCUAACUUCUUAAAUGAAGUCUAAUAAUUUUCAAUAUUUUACAUGUACAUGACAUUAAUUUGAUAGCCUAACAAUUUAAUGAGUAUUUUCUCAUAAAGACAUUAUGUUAGUUUAAUUAAAAAUUAAUAAUCAUACUAAUAAAGUAGAAUGAAAUAUUUAGAAACAAUGAAUUUUGUAUAAAAUUAAAAAAAUUGUUGAAGUUAAAUUAAAUUUUUGGUAUUUUUACCUUUUAAGGGUAAAAUAAUCCAUUUAAAUUUAGGUUAAAGCAAUCUUAUUAGUCAAAUAUAAUAAAAAAAAUUACGUCACAACAAAAUAAAUUAAGGUAGAUUUAAUUGAUUAAUUCUUUUAAAUACUUCUUUGUUUGAAAUUUUUAAAAAUAAUGAGAAUUUUUUGUAAUUAUUUUCUAAAAGUGAGGUGGAUUUACAGAAUUUGUGGGGUGGAAAUAUCAUCACCCUUCUAAAAAUGGGGUGGGUUUAUAAAAUUUAUAAGGUAGAAAUAUCAUCCCCUUAAAAAAAUGAAUAUAUUUUAAAAAUAGCAUUUUAAAAUAAUUAUUUAACCGUUAUAAUUUGAGUCAAUUACUUAGUUGGCCUUUAUAUUUAUAAUAAUCACUUAAAAUGCUAUUUUAUAUAUUUAAUUUCAUUAAAAUCGCCACUUUAUUAUUCCCUAUUUUUUAUCAACUACAUCUACAUGUUUGACUUGUUAGAAUGUCUGACUUAUUAGAAUUUUAAGUUAUACCAUACAAAAUAUUAUUUUUUUCCUUAAAAAGUUAAAGCCGCUACCUACGAAAGUAAUGAUAAAGACUAUGAUUUUUUCAAAAAUACAUAUACAAACUAAAUAGAUAAUUAAAUCAAAUAAUAGGGACUAAAAAAAAUUUACUAUGAAAAAUUUUUUGAAGGGGACAAUUUUAUGCUUUUUCUUGUUUAUCAUGACAUCACUGUAUUUGUUAAUUUUGUUAUUGUUUUUUUUUUCAUAGAUGUGAUAAAAGUUUAUUUGUAAGUUACUUGGAAUAUUUGUUCCAACAAUAAAUUAACUUCCUUGUCAAGUAAAAAAAUAACGACGGUGAAGUAAAGAUAAUUUUGAGAAUAAGUUAGAUUCAUAUGUUCCCAUAGAAUAAGCUGACCAUAAAGUCAACUUCAGAUUAAAGGGAAUUAUUCUAUAAAAUUUUAAAGAAAAUCUACCCUUAUAUGCCCACUAAAGAAAAUUAAACCCAAAAUAAUCAUCAAAUGAAAAUUUGAAAUUAGGGCGUUGGCGUUUUUGUUGGGACUUAGGAGUCUUGGGUUUCUGUUAGGACAUGGGUGGAGUUAUUUGUUUCUCGAAAAAGGGCAUGUGAAUCAUUGGGGGUAAAGUCAUUGCUGAAUGCUGAUACUGUGUCUUCAACUAAAGAACAAAAGAAUAAGGAUAAGGAGAAUCAACAAGGGGCCGAUUGCCAUUGGAUCCCAAAAUCGAAAAGCACAAGAAACGAGAAAAGAAUUAAAUAUUUCUAUAUAUAUAUAUAUGCAUAUAUUAUUCUCCAUAUCGGUUUUGAAUGAAGUUCACAUAUAUAUUAGUUAAUUUUUUGAUUGCAAAGAGUAAUGGCAGCUAGGCCUAGGGUGGUCCAUCCAAUUAAUUUGAUAUAUAUCCUAAACUUAGACAUCUUAUUUUUCUACACACAAUAUGUUAUUAUAUCAAACAGAUAGCAUCAAUCCAUGCCUCAACUAUUAGAAUAGAGACACAUUACUUGAUAUAGAUACAUAAUAUAUAAUAUAUGAUUAUGUUAUGACAUGCAAUGCAAAGAACUUGUAUGAGGACCAAAUAAAAAACGCCAAGGUGGAUUAUUUAUUCAUUUCAUAUUCUUUUUCAUUAAUUUUAUCUCUAUUUAGAUAGAUGGGAUAUUAUCCUCUGAAUUAAAAUGAAAUAUAAAAAAAUUAAUUAUUUACAAAGAUAUAAUACUUUUGUAAAUUGAUCAUUUAGAAAUUUAGAAUAACCAAUUGAUAAAAUUGUAAAUAUUAUAACACUUUUAACUUAAUAUGCUAAAAUUCUUGAAAUACCCUUUGUGACAUAAGUAAUUUUUUAAUGGAGUUAACAGUUCGAUAGUAAAAUAAUAAAAAUCGAAACGUUAGGAGGAAAAAGGUAAUUGUCAACAAAUUUUAAUGUUAAAAUGAUAUGUAGCAAAAGGUGAGUGAUAAAAUAAUAAUUUUCUUUAAUAAAUUUGUAAAUUACUAAAGAAAGGUCAGUACUAGAUAUGUACAAAUGGGGUUGCAUUGGGUAAGUCGCAAUCCAGUUCGUUUAGACUUGAAGGGUGAAACUUUGAGACUUAAAUUUACAACUUGCACAGCUCUUUACCAAUUGCAUUUCUAAUACUUUUUUAUUUAUCACAUUAAGUAAAACAAGGCAUUAUCCUACUAGUAAAUUUAAAGUAUGUACCAAUGAGAAUAAAUUUGAUUCUGUGAAAAAAAUAAUAAUGAUAAUGCAAAUUAAGAACGUGAGUAAACAGUCUCUUGCUCGAAGAAUAUGUGCAACGUGGAUAGGAAAGAAUAAAUUCAAUGUCUCGAGAAACAGUGAAUUCAUCUCAAGCCAAGUGCAAAGUCUCAAGUGAAUGCUGCCAAAAACCAUUUCCUUUUUGUUAACUUGCAGACGCAGCUUGAUGUUUUUGCCAAUGGUGCUGCACUGUUGCCUGUAUUGCCCGUUUCUUUCUUUCGAAUUGUGGUUGAGCAAGUGGGCAUGUCCUUUUCAUAGUGAAAACUACCUUUCAAUUUUUUUCUUAAACUUUUUUUCUUUAAAAGGGCAUCCACCUUUUAAAUUUUGAUAAUCCAUAAGGCCAGUGCUACGUUACGUUAAUUGUAACAUAUAUUCACAUAUAGUAAUAAUAACGGGUCUCAUCAUAAAUACUGUUGCUGUGUGUGAAUAUACGUUACGAUUAACGUAACUUAAGGGGCUCCAUCCAUAAUAUUAUUGUGUAACAUUUCCAUUGGGAUUAGGAAAGAGCAUGGGCACUGGGCAGGUAUUAAAAAAUACAUAAGGCCUUUUCUUUUCCGGGUGUAGUAGGGUAUGGUGCUCGAUGUGUUCCUGGAGUUGUAAUACGGUGACAACUCUAUGCACUCAAAAGUACAGGUGCGAGCUACAAAAAUCUAUCCCAUUAAUAUGAAUAAAUUUUCCUUCAAUAUUAAUGAAAACGAAAAUUUCUAAUUGUAAUAUCAGUAGAUUUUGAAUUAUAAUAUAUAUAUUAGUGUUAAAAAAUAUAAUAAUUUUAGAAAUUUUAAUAUUUGAAUCCCAACUUGAGUUUUAUACUAUGUAUCAUUAAUUUAUUGAACGUUAGAUCAUUGUUUGUAAAAUUACUAAAUUACUUUCUAAUAAAUGAAUUUCAUAUCAACUUGAUACUCGAAUAUUGAGAUGUUUGGCAUUAUUCUAAAAACGAAGGUGUAGAGUUUUGGAUCUUGAUGUAUGUAUAUAAGUAACUGAUACAUACAUAUAAAUAUGUCUGCUUCUAGCCAACUAAUUUGAUUUUCAUUUCGGGGAAGAUUCUGUAGUUGAUUGCUGGACUGUGAAUGUGAAAAUAAGCAGCAGCAGCAACAACAAUUUAAUUCUUUUACCUCUCCUUGAGAUUGUUUAUUAAUCAAUCAUGUCAUGACACAAAUAACAACCCCAAAGUUAUUGUUUUUCGUAGGAAUCUUGAAUUUGUUGAUUUACUUUUGUUUAAUCCGUCUAAGAGUCUAGGCUUAACGUUUUGUUUAAUUUUUUAGGCUUCUAGCGACAAUGAAAGGGCAAAUUUAAAAAAAAGAAAGAAAGAUUGAUUUAUUCUUGAAUUUACUACAACCAACAUUUGAUUCAUUUGAUGAAUGAAAAAAAAAAAAAAAAGAAGCCAUGGAUCAAUUUUUAACCCAUUAUAGAAAUCGGCCCACAAUGUGCUUCAACAAUCAAAGAUUUCUUCUUGCUUGGACAUGGGUCACCAUCAAAAAAUUGGUCAGAUGCUGGGAUUAAACAACUCCUUUUUCCUAGACAAGCCUGAAAAAUAUUAUAAAAUUUGAUCAGCCUUGAUGAAGAAAAAAUAAUCAAAGAUUUUAUAAAACAAAUUACUUUAGUCCUUCGGCUUGAGGCAGUUACUUAAUUACUCCGUGUUAUUUAAAAAAUGAUCCAAAAUGUCUUUGUAUACUUAUUUUUGUUAAAAUUUACAUAUCAAAUUUGUUUGAAUUUUAAGUCAUAUCAGAAUAAAUAUAUUUUAUCCUAAAAAAACUGCGUGCUACAAAAAUAACUACAAGGUGUUUUAGAUAAUUUUUGAAUAUAUAAAGACUAAAUGGAUAAUUCACACAUUUUAUGGACUAAAUGAACAUUCAUAUAUGUUAAAACUAUAUAAAAAAAAAAGUGUAUAAAAUAUGAUGACAGGAAUUGAGCAAUAAUCAACAAAAGCUGACCUUUUCCGCAGCAAAUUUUGAAUUUGGUGAGUCACAAUACCCAAUAGCAUGCCCAUCACGUCCGCAGCCACCAAAAGGGGUUCCAUAGCUUGCAAACAAAAUUUUAGUAAUGUACCCAUUUGGAGCACAUUGUAGAUGAACUACUUUUGCUUCUCUACUUCCAUUAUAAUGUCUGUAAUGAGAAGCUCUUGCUUUCCCACAAACUGAAUCAAUUACAACACUUUCUAAGGUGAUGGAUAGAGGGUCUCCACCCUCUUCUUCUAGUAAAACUAAAAGGUUGCCUGUGGGCUUGAGGAAGGAUCUUGGUAUAUUGUAUCUAAAUAUGAAAUAAAUAACAAUAAAAAACAUAGUUAGAAAAAGUGUAAAAAAAAAAAUGUACUAAAUAUUUUAGAAACAACUCUAUAGCCUUACAUUGUUGAACAUUUAAAAUAAAGGAGAAAAAAAUUAAAAGUACAUUUGUUACAGUAUUUUUCUUUUUUUUCUGAAAGGUAGAAGGUGGAGAAAGUUGAAAUUAAACUUUUUUAACUUCUCUGGAUUCAAAUAUUUAUAAGUGACUAGCUAAGAAGGAAUAGAUUGAAAGCAACUAGGCCAAACCCCAGAUAACUUACUCAUAAACUGAGUCAAAAUUUAUUUUGAAAACUGUCAAUUAUACUGUUAAUUUAAAAUAAAUGAAGAAAAUUAAAGGUACUUACGAAAUUUGCGAAGGUUCACCUCGAGGAGUUAUCAAAGAGGGCCAAUAUCGACCAAUACUUCGGCCGUUAACCCGAGCUUCACCUUUUCUCAUUCCAUUAAGAUUCAAUGCAACAUACUCAUCUUCCCCAGUUGCAUCAAAUACAGUCUAUCAAAUUAUCAACAAAAAUAAAAUUAUUAAUUAACAUUUAAUGACAAUUAAUUAGUUACAUAUGUAAUAUAAUGUUAUGACAUUCUGUGUUAAAAAUAACGAGUUGUAUGUUAAAAGUUACUACAUUAUCAGAGAAAAAAAGAAUUAUUUGAACUUGCUUCUUACCUUGUACCAUGUAAGCGGGGGACUAAUAUCUGAAGAUGAAAGCUUACUCCACUGAAUUAUUUUGGAUCCUUCAUCAGUAUAAAUUUGCAAAUUUUCUCCUAGCAAUCCUACCUGUAAGUAAAUAUUAAGUGUCAGGACUGUUAUCUCAAAUCACCUAAGAAUGAAUCUUAAGUCAAGUAUAACAAUUUGAUGCAACUCUCAAUUAUUGAGCUAAUUUUUGAGUAUGAGUCGGCCCACGAACUUCUAUAAUAGGAAGUUAUAACAAAAUGUAAAGUAAAAACAUUUGGGUAUAAGUAGUCCCAUAAUUUAUUUUUAGUUACCCUUUUUACAUUCAAACUUCACUAUUGAAUGAUAAAUGUUAAUACUUAAAAUCCUUCCUACUGUUUUAUAAGCAUGUUACAGUAGACUGAUAGUUAGAUUAUAGUAGUAAAAGAACCUGAAAAGAGUUAUUAAAAAAAAGGACAAAAGUGAGAAACAAUAGCCAUCUCAAUGUCUUUCUCUCAAACCAAACUAAAAAUAUAUAUAAGAUUACCUUCUGUCCCCAUUUAUAGUUAGUGAAGUUCAUGCUUCCUUCUUUAUUCUGAAUCGACACGGCAACCGGUCCAUAUCUCUUUCUUUCUAAAUAAGCUCCGGAAUCCUUAAUACACCCAUAGAAGAAUUAAGUUGAUUAAUUGUUUGAUACAAUAUGAAUGAAUUAGGGAAAAUUCUCGAAUGAACAAGACUUGCCUUUCAAAAGAGAAAAUCACUUGACUUCAGAAUGACUAUAAUAAUAUAGGCUUUGUUUGGUAUAAUUAUUGGACAGCUUUGCCUUUAAGGCGACAGCUAUAAAAUUUUUGGUAAAUAUUUACAAUUAUGGUUUAGAAGUUUAGGUGAUUUUAUCCAACACUUAGUUGAUUAAUACUUAUAAUACCUUUACUAUAUUUGUCAAGUAUCGAACACAAUUAAAUUUUUAUUUCACAGUAAUCGUGGCUUUUAUUUACCUAACAGAGUCUCAGUGAAAGUUAUUUGAAGAAUUGAGAAACUUGGAGAUAGAAGAGUACCGGUAAUCCAACCAUCACACUUAGCAAAGAAACAUUGUUGAUCCCGUUGCUUAAUGAAAAGUCAGUUUGGAGCGUAAAGCUUGUAUUCUUAUAACUUCCAUGUGCAGAUCCUAAAUAAUAUUGACAACAAAUUGAAAAUGAAUGAAUAAGGUAAUUAUUAACAACCAUUAGGAUUUUGAAAAGCAUUAUAUAGAAGAUGAAAUUUGUAUCACAUUUAUUUAACCCAAAAUAUAAAGAUACAUGGUAUAAGAACUUGUAGGUUUAUAUGACUGCACGUAUAAAAAUUAGCACGUUUCCAAGUAUUAAUUAUAUCAAACACAUUUUCAAAUAUUAAAAGUACUAAAAAAAUACGCCUUAAAAAAUUGUCAACCUGUUAAUUAAUUUUACUUUUCUAAAAUAAUUUUCGAAUCGCAAAUCAAAUGGACUCUUUGAACUUACCAACGGGUACUCCGUUGACAAAUGCAUGCAAAACAUGCCCAAGAGAAUGCACACUGAGUUGAGCUCGAGUAUCAGAAGGUUCAGGCUGAAAGCUACACAAUGCAAUAUUUGGAAUCAACCAACGAAUCAAUGAGUUGUUUCAAAUUAAUAUUGUUUAAGUAAAAUUUUGCACCAAGGCAUGUCAAAAUAAUUGAAUUUUAUACCUGAAACUGUACCAUAGGUAAUCAGAUGUAUCCUUUGUUGUAUCUGUGUGCUCUAAUAAAGUAUCGGAUUUCAACGAAGUGUCUUCAAAAUUAGGAAUCGGCUCUUUGAAUUCCUCCCACUGAUCUGAUGCGUUGAAGUACAUGAUUGGUAUCCUUGUUCUAGUAUUCGUUUGAGUUUUCACCUGUUAAAGAAAUCAAAAACCCCCCAAAAAAAAUGGAAAUUAAUUAUUGUAGCCAAUGAAUAAAAGCAUGUAAAAAAAUAAGUGCUGCUGAUCUUAGCUUUGUGCUACCUUUUACAAAGUUAUAAUAAGUAAAUUGGAUAAGAAAAUAUAUAUUGUUAAAUCAUAACCGUACACGAUUAGAAAUGCAUACAUGUGGUACAAAUUUUUUAAAAAGAUCAACACAGCUUAGAUCAGCACCCGUCAAAAUUUAAAGAGGUAAUGUAUGAUUAAGUAGUCUUGCCUCUGCAGUAUUGAAGAUUACAUUCCUACAGUCAGGUAAAAUGCUAAUCGAAUUAGCGAGCAAUUUAUAAGAAGAAUUUUGGAAGACAACAUCAACAUUUUGCUUAUCCUUGUUCACCAGAAAGGCUGAUGCACAUUCUUCAGAUGAAUUUUCAGCAAAGAGAUAGGCCUGCAUUACAUUAAUUUCAUGAUAUCAGAUUUUUUUCUUUUCUCUUUUUUUAAGUUCUCACUCAAACUGGGAGUUAAUUAUGCUAUUUCUAGUAUAUACUUCUUGUUUUGGACCCAGCUGAAGAGGAGUCAUUGCCUUUCCCAAGAGUAAAGUAUUUGAACACAGCUUAAUUGCAGCAUGCAACUCCUUCAAAUGGCCCCAUUUUGGUUGAUUGAUCAUACCUUAAUGUUACCAAGUGAUUUGUCAAAAUUAAUUUAGAAAAGAGGAAAUAAUAUAAACGAAAAGGAAAAUAUGUGUAGAAAAAAGUACGCAUACCGUACUCAUCAAGAGGGGCGUCAUCAUAGUAACUUGCUGUUACAAAAGCUGAGGCUUCCCUUCCGAAAUUGGUUCCCCCGUGAUACUGUGUAAGAGCAUUAAAAGCCAAGUUUAAAAACACUUCACACACACACACACACACAUACAAUCCUCCGAACGUAACUACAGAAUUAACAUAUACACUGUCAAUAAGAUACAUGCUUCUUUGUUUUUUGUAAUUUAAGAUAAUCAUCACAUCAGUUAGUCCUUGUAUUUAAAAAUGAUCUAAAACAUCUAUGUUAUUAUUUUUGUAUCUAUGGGAUACGAUUUUUCAACAGUUAAAUAGUAUUUGUCUUGUAUAACUUACAAAUUCAAACAAAUAUGACAUCAACAGAUGAACAGAUAGAUGAUAAUUAAAUAUAUUUCUAAUAUAUAUACAUAGACACACACACAUAUUAUAAAUACACACAUGAUACAUGUAUGAUAGAAAUUGUUUAAGUGAGAUCAACUGAGAGAACAUACAUAUACAACAUCAAUCCACUAUAUAUAAAUAUGAGGUACCGGAAGGAUUAUAAUUCUUUUACCAUAUAAUAAUUUACAAAGCUUCCAUUCCUCGCAACCCAUAAUGCAACAUGAAAUGCUAUGUCGUCAGCAGUUCUUCCUAUUGGAUCUUCACCGUAUGCUUGAUACCUUCAAAGCAACCAAAAGGAUUUGUGCGAAGCAAGAUAGAAAACCAAAUAACAUAACAACAGAAUAAAGUAAACAAUCGAAACAAAAAUUUAUUCCAUGAUAUAUUAUAAUGCUAUAAAUACCGAGAAGUCCAAUUUUCUGUCCAUAUAGAUGGCUUAUUGGGAGAAUUUGGCCCCUUAAAUGUCUCCCCACAUUUCCUCCCAUUGCAUGCAUUUAUCUGCAAAUUGAAUAAAAAUAUUAGAUCUCAUUUGAAGAUGGACAAAAGCUCGUGCUAGAAAAAAUAAAUAUUAGAGAAAAUGACAUUGAAACCCAGAAAAGGUUUACCAAAGGUGCAUCCAAGUUGCUCAUUUAUUUGAACGGAGAUAAGAACAUUAUUGUAUAUUGACCAUGGUUUAAUAAUCCUUGGGUAACGGAUAGUAAUGAAUUUUUCACCAUCCAAAUAAAUGAAACAACAAGAAGAAAAAGGGUAUAAAUGUACAUUUAUGAAAUGUUGGGUGACUAGCUGACCAUUGUGGGAAAGCUUGGGGCAUCGGUAUCCUUUUACCUAAGGUUAUGAAUACAUUCACUAAGGCCUCUAAUGUUUACAUUACCGUCACUUAACAAAGGAUAUCAGAGAAAUAGGCACUUGGAUCCCUCUUGAGUCUUGAUUAAAACAUGAGGGACCUAAGUGCUUAUUUCUGCAAAGAAAUAGAGCUAAUGAAAAUAUUUUCAGAAGAUCAUCUUGAUUUAAACCUAAUAAGAUGGAGACUAACCACAGGAUCAGGUGCAUCAUCUUGCUUGCACAUCACCCACGGCACGCCGGUUUGAAGUCCGACCGCCAUCUCUGCUGCCCAUUUGAUAUAUGGUGGCCCUCGUUCACCGAAAGCAUUUUCUACCAUUUGAUACUCAUUCUCAAUCUAUAAAUAUAUACAUGAAAUUUAAUUUCAAGUCACUCUUCAGUACAGACCCUCAAGUUUAAAAAUGUAAAUUUGAGGAUAGACAACUUUGUCUAACUACAAGACGAUGUUGUCUCUCUGAAAUUUAUAUUUUAAAAUGAGUGAAUAUCUGGACCUGCGAAUUUUUAUUUUUAGUUCAAUGAAAAUAUAUACGAUAAUUCAUUUAUGAGAAGAAAUUUAUUUACCUGGGAUAAAAUGAUGGGGCCUCCUUGUGAGGCAUACAGCCUUUCUGAUUUCAUCAUGUUUACAAUUUUUGUCGUAAAAUUUUGCAUGAAAGCCUUCCAUAUCGAUCAAUAAAAUAUGAAAUAAUGUCACAUUCGAACUCAUUUUCUGAAUAGGCAUUAAUCAUGAAAUAAUGAAAAUAUCACGAAAUUAAAUACUGCCAUCACCUUGAAGGGUUCGUUGUCACAUCUAAAAGUAAUGCCUGGAACGUCAUGCAGCCAAAAUGGCAGGCCUCUGCAACCAUUUUAAGAAGCCCUACUUUGAAUUUUAUAAGUUCUAGAAAAAGAAUAAGUAAAUAAUUCAAAUAAAGUUGCAGAAGUGAAAUUUACCCAUAAGACCAUUCGCUCUGAAUGAAAGGUCCAAUCCUAAUGCUGGCAUAUAAUCCUUGUGCUUGGAUUUCUUUAAUGAACCUUACUAGAUCUCUUCUUCCACUAAAAUCAUACUUAAAAAAUGUAAUAAUAAAAAAAAAAUAGAAUAAAAUGAUUGAAGGUUAGCCAGCCUCUUUUUGAAAAUGAUGAAAUUAAGUUAAUUAAUUAAUUAAUUACCUUGCCUGGUUGUGGCUCAUGAAGAUUCCAGAACACAUAGGUUUGUAUCACAUCCAAUCCUCCUUCUUUGGCCUUGCUUAUCAAGGAUGGCCACAUCUGAUAUAAUUUCAGUACAAUUUUCUUUUAAUAUCAAUGGAUAGUCAAUUUUAAAUUUUGUUUUACUCUUACGUAAUAAAACUUGUUAAAUUCUAAAAUAAAUGCGUUUCACUACUUGAUUUAUCUGAAUUUCUCUGAAGUAAAAUUUAUAUCAAUGAUUAGUGACUAUUAGAUAAAAAAAUAAAAUUAUUAAUAUUAAUAUAAACUUAUAUACUCCAUGAUGCAUAGUAAUUUAAACUUAUGUACUCCACUUACGUAAUUUUUAAAUCAUAUAGUUCAAAAGGGCACUUCCGUAUUAAUCAAUAAUUAAUACAAAAAGUCAAACGAUACAUUAAUAAGAAAAUGGUUUUUUUAAUUUUUUUUCCUUUUUACCAAUGAAACAUUGGAGUAAGCCACAAGCAAAAUACAAAUAUUGCUUCAACAAUCUCAUAGAUGUUAUACAUAUGUUACUGUCAUGUAGGAGAGAAGAUCCAGAGAAACGCACUGGCCUUUCCGAUUUUUUCGAGGAGCCCAUAUAUAUCUAGUUAUUUAGCAAAGAGAAUUUAUUAAUUAAACAGUAUAUAUUAACCAACUCAUAGUGGCAUCUAUGUGUUUUUUUUCAAUGAAAUUAUUAUUUGAUAAGUUAUGGCAAAAUAAAGAUAAAAAAAUGUUCGAGAAAUUAACACGUAGCACAUAGUUUUAAAUUGCUCAUACAAAUAUAACUAAUAUAAUUUACAAGAUGGUAUCGAGGCUGGCAUUCAUGAAAAUUGUCGUUAUUCCAAAUUUUAUUAUAAAAUGACAUUUUGUUAAAGCACCCAUCGAUACAAAAAUAAAUAAUAUAAAUCAAAAUCAUAAAUGAAAUAUGUCUAAAGAAAAUUCUAAGCAGAAACUUUAGAAUAUCUCCACGGAUCAAUAUCAUGCAUGACAUAUUUGUAUAACGAAAGAAAUGAAGAGGAUUAACAAAAGUAUAUAUAAUACCUCUCGAGGGCUCCGCGGAUAGUGAAUUGAACCAGAGAAAAGAACCUUUCUUUCACCAUUAAUGAUCAAAGAUCUGCCGUCGUACGUCACUUCUCCGCCACGAACGCCACCACUCAUUACCGCCAGCAGCGGCAGCAAAACCCAACACAAUAUCAGUAGCCUCACCAUCUUCUAUAUUUGCAACUUCUCAAAUUUGCAAGCGAAUGGCUCACUCUAGCUAGCUAGAUAGCUGGCUAUAUACUCUCUAUAUAUGAAAAAAAUAUAUAAUAAAAAAAUCAAAGUAUUUUCAUACACACAGCUAGUCCCUCUUUAGCAGGGUGUCUUCAUUUUUUUUUUUUCAUUGAAAACUGUUAGGGCAUGUGGUUUAACAGAGUUAAUUUUUAAUGCUAUUAAGCUGUAUCGUUUUAUAGUGUAUUGAAAAAAACUCUAUUAAAUUACGGAAUUUAACAUAUAUAUAUGUUCAAAUCGAGGAUCCUGAUCAACUAGAUCACCAUUCUCUCUCUAUAUAUAUAAAUGGAAAUUGUAAUGUAAAGGGAGAUUGAGAUAUUAAUUUAUAAAAAUUUACGUAGAAAAGAAGGGAGAGGUAAGCCAUUAAUGGGAUCUUGAGUUUAUAGAUUCCAAGUGUCAAUUUUACGAUAUAAAUUAGAUUGAUAUAUAUUAAACAGGGUGUUAAUUAAAUAAAUAAAAACAUUGACAGCCAGUUGUACAAUUACAGGAUGUUAAUGAGAAAGAGUGAGAGACGGCAAAGAAUAGGGUAUUGUGUUGCACGUCCACUGAUUUUUAAUUUUUAUUUUUUUCCCCUACGUUGUGUGAGAACUGAGAAAUAAUGUUUGUUUAUUUUCAUGCCAAGUUUAUGAGGCAUGGAUGGUGGAUCAUGCAUCAACUUCUGAAAUAAAACUUAGACAGAGAAUUUAAACUUCAAUCUCUGUUUAUUCCGUACAUAGAACAUAAUAAGUUUAUAUGCAACCUGAAGUACUAAACUUAAAACGCAAAAUUUAGAACACAAGAGAACGAAAUUUUUUAAUUUCUUGUCAAGGAUUUUACAGUAGACAUACUCAGCACGAUAGCUGAUGGUGAAUAUGAUUGGAGUACUUGUAAUAUCAUGGCUUGCAUUUUGUUUUCAAAGCAAAUAAAUAACUUAAUACUAUUCUGGUAGGGGUGGCAAAUAGGAAUGACAUUUUUUGGGGAUAUUCCCUAUUUGGAGAGGGGAUGAACAUAAUUUAAUAUUUAAUUUUUUAUUUAGGGAUGGUAUGAGAAAAAUUUAAUAUCCAAAAUUUUAUUUAAGGAAGGGAUGAGAAUAAGGUAAAUCCCCAUCCCCUCUUUAUUAUAUAUUUAAGAAUUGUAUUUAUAUGUAUGUAAAUAAAAGUCCUAAUAUUUAUAGAAAUAAUAUAGAUAAGAGAUCAUAUAAGAACUUGAAUGAAAUUUGUCAUUUCCUCAAUUAUAUAGACAAAUAACACCUUUAUUUUGUGGACAAAUCACAUAUUGAUGAUAUUAACUUAGUUUGACAAAAGUAUUUUAAUUGACAUAAUUUUUUUUAAUAUUUUUGUAUUGGUAUUAUAAUUUUAUACUUUUACAUUGAUUUGAUUAUAUAAGAUACAUAAAUUAAAAUUGUCGGUUAUACAAAAAGUAAGCACCCUUGGGGAUCUCUUUUUAUUAAUCGGGGAUCCUCAUCCCCUCUUCUCAAGUAAUUAUAACGAAAAUAAAAUGGUUAUGACGACUUAAGCAGAAAGUACAGAGAUGUCAAUCUCCUCCCCUCCUCUCUCGUUGCCGCUUCUAAUGGUAAAAUGAGGUUAGAUCCAAGGACCAUUAGGUAUUAGUAAAAAUUUAGUUCAACACUGAAUUUUUAUCUAUUUUUUCAAUUCCUAGAUGAAAUAAUAGAUUUUUUAAGAAAAUUUGUAUUGUCAGGCUUAUUGUUUUAUUAUUAUUGUUGUUGUUAUAGUUGUUGAUGACUUCAAAUUUCUUGUUAGUAUUACAGGGGCAGAAGUGGGACCGAGUUUGAGCAUGUUUUGAUAUGGGUCAGAAAAGAAGAUCGAGCCCAACUUAAACCUUGGAUUGCAUGAGUUCUAAACUUGUGCUAAAGUUUUGGGGCUUGGUUUUUGACUGAAGAUCACAGUGUGAUAAACACCCCCCACACGUUUGUUAUGGUUCCCCCAUAGCUGUGAAGUUUCUUACCUGUUGCUCCAUCUUCAAUGCAAUUUACUUUCAUCAGUAGCUGCAUUGGAUAUUAGGGUUUUUUUUUGGUUUUUUUUCUAAUCAAUCAUUCAUCAUCUCGACACCAUAUCGCAUUUAUCCUCACCAUAAGGAAUGCUAAUAUUUAUUCAUAAUAAUUUUUCAGAAUUGUGACAGAAUCAAUGUUAAAACUACAAAUAUGAAAUUACAGUUAACUGAAAGACUAAUAGACAAAACACGUUAAAAUCACAUGAAAUUAUCGUUAUUUGAAAAAAUAAUUAAAAAAAAAAUACGAUAACACCAUAUGAUUUUUUUCCUUUGAAUUUUCUUUGCGAAUAAACACAACAGUUAAAUAUUACAGCCACAUCUUCCUCUAAACACAAAACUUGACAAUUGCUAUUAAAUUCAUCAAUAGGGACAUCAUGGUGGUCCACACUCUAACAGUUAACAUCUUAAUUUUAUCAACUAUUACAAACUCCAAAUUUGCAACAUUUUCUUUACAAUAAGAUAACUAAAAAAAAAAGACAAAAUUAGGAAAGAGAGUUCUUUUAGGUAUUUGCUCCUGCAUGUAAAAGCUAUUAUAUUUACUCCAGCAUAUAAACCUUAUUUUCAAAAAAAUUUUAUCACUAUAAAAUAAUUUUUUAAUAUUUUAUUUUUAUUUUUUAGUUGAGGCAUAUGCAGGGCAAGGAUUUAAUGGAAAUGUGCAUUUUAUUUACUACCAGAAGUGUCCGAAAUAUUUCUCAUUCAGUAAAAAAAAUUUAUGUAACAAAAUUUUAAAAAAGAAAAAAGCUUUAGUUUACAGUUUAUUUAAUUCAAUUUCUAUUCUGUUAUAUUACUUUUUAACCAUGAUCUUACUUUCCAAUUAUGAUCAAAUUGUUUUCUAUUUUUUCAAGGUGGACUCAGGGAAAAAAAAUUAAAAUAUAAUUGCUAUUUCUCUUUGAUAUGUCCAUCUCAUCUAACAUUUCCUACAUUGACUAAAGCCGAAUAAAUGUUGGCAUGAAGACUGAUAGAUUAGGUAAUAAUUAUAGGACAAAACUAGCUUACCCCCCAUUGUACCUAACACUCAGUUUUGGUAUUUUUAUUGCGGUCUUUAUUAUUUUCUGUAAAUAACAAUAAUUACAAAUUUCAAAAUUUUUACAUAAUAAGCCCGGAUCAAAAUAUAAUAAUUUUAAAAUUAAGAAUUUUGUUCUUUUCUCUCUCUGCCUUCUUUUCAAUCAUUCAGCCGUACUUCUAAUCCUAGUUCGUUCAUUGUCAAGCAUAUAAUUCAUCAAAACAUAGAGAGUCUUCAUAAAUUAGAUUAAUUUAUUGAACAUAAAAAUUAGAAAAAUAAUACUUGCAUACUCUUAAAAGAAAUUUAUUACUUUUAUGUUCUUUCCUUCAUCACCGGAAUAAGAAAUGAUUGUAUCUUACUUUCAAUAAGAGGAUCUAAACAAUUACUGUACUUUUACCAACAUGUAAAAAAUGAUUGUAUCUUACUUUCAAUAAGAGGAUCUAAACAAUUAGUGUAUUUUUACCAACAUGUAAAAAAACUGCCAUUACUCUAACCUAGAUAAUCCUAUUGUUUCAACUGGAUUUUCGUCAGGGUCAGAUUUAAACUAUUUAGUGGUUGUUCACAUCGAAUUGAGUUCAAAUCCAAUUAAAACAAAUAAAUGCAUGUUUAUGGGGAGACUGGGUUAACAAAGGUUGGAGUUUAGGUGAGUUUUUCUGACAUUUGGGAUAAGUGAUAUAGCUUAUUGAUGUUCUAAGAGGUGAACUAAGGUGAUUUGCGAGGUGAGUUGAGGUGAAUAGGGGUGGGCGUUCGGAUUGGGUUAACCGGAACCAAAUCGAACCGGAAAUUUAUUUCGGGUUCGGUUCGUUUGGGUUAACCUGUGCAACCCGAACGGAUUCAAACUAUCAACCUGGACUCGAAUUGAAUUUUAACCCGAACGGGUUGAAUUUCUUUUUUUUUUUUUUUAAGUUUUGGCUUUUAAAAAUUAAAAAAUAUACAUGUAUUAAACAACAAAAAAAUCUCUUUGACUACAUAUUUUAUGUUUUAUUAACUUUAAAAAGACUUGUUGAAAUAUUGUUAAGGAUGAUUUUAGUUGAUGUUUGUUGUUAAAGAUGUUUGGAUCUGAGACUUUUUAGAUUUUAAGUGGUUUUUGGUAGAAUUUGUGGAUUAAAUUGUUCCAAACCGAAUUAACCCGAAUUUUUAGAUUGAAUUGUUCUAACCCAAACUAACUUGAAUUAACUCAAACCGAAACUUUAACCCGAAUUACCAACCCAAUCCGAUCUGGAUUACAAACUCGAACCGAACCGAAUCGAAUUUAAUUCGGUUCGGGUUGGCGUUUUCAACCUGAUUGGGUUCAAUUCUCCAACCCGUUCGGGUUGAACCCAAACCGAAAUCCGAACAACCCAAACCGAAACCCGAUAUGCCCACCCCUAGAGAUGAAUAGAUUUUAGAAUAUUAUGGAGAGCUCAAUAGAGCUCGUAAGAGUUAAUUUAGAGAGUUGAUAUGGGGUGCUCAAGAGAGUUCAAAUGUAUCUUAGGUGUAGUUGGGAUAUAACUCGAGAGAGUUUUUCUGGGAAGCUCAGCAAAGCUCUUAAUCCUCAUGGCAUACCUCAGGUGAGCUCAUGCAUGAAGUAUGAUUUAGGUAUAAGAAUGUCAUAGUAAGUAGAAAAAAAUAUAGACAAUAAAGAACACACAAGAUUUUACGUGGUUUGACCAUUUGUCCUAUAUCCACAAAGUACUAAUUUUCAAUCCACUGUGUAAAUAAAGUAUGAUAUGAUUUGCUUUACAAUAUCAACAAAACCUUAUUAGAAAUUAUUUGUGGUGAAUAAUAACAUAAGGGAGAAAGUAGAUCUUAUGGAGAUUAGAGAAUUUUCUAAGGGAAAAAUAAGGAAAACGACUUCUUGGUAGAUGAGAUGGUCAAGAUUCUCUAUAAAAUUAUAAAAAUGAAGUAAAAAGCUAAAAAUCGAGGAAGAAAAUGAAACCUCUUAAGAAAUCAAAUCUGGUGAAAAAAAAAAGGCCCCUAAAACUAAAGUUAGAUAGAUGCGGAAUAAGUUUAUCCACCUUUUUGCCUCCACAGCUAGGCUUGUGGCAAGCUCUUAGUAUUGUGGCCCUUUUGCUUUUGAGGGAAUAAUAAAAGAGAGUUGACAAUACUUGACAUGAUUACCCAUAAUUGCUUAGCUAAGGAAUCUUCAUUACUAUUGGCUCUAGUUCUUAGCCAAAAAGAAAAUAUUUUAAAAUUUGGAUUCUCAUAAUACUCCAAUAAGGAUAUUUAUUGAAACUAACCUUUUUCCCCAGUGAACUUAUUUUCUCAUCUCUGAGUUCAGUCAAAUGAAUUGACUUUAUUUUGCUGAAUUUCCUUAGCCAUGUGUCAUGAUGUCAUUAGUCCAUGUCAGCAUCCAAAUUUCCCCUAAAAAACCUUUCAAAAACUAAUAUUGGGAAUUUUUGUAGUCUACUUUCUGUAUUUUAAACAUGAUCACAAAAUUCAAUGGCAAGAUCCUUGCAAAAUCCAAUCACCAAAAUUUGCAUUUCAAUUAUAAUUUAUGGCUUAUUCGAGUUAUGCAAUUGAGAGAGGGGGAAGCUUUCUGCAUCAACUUUUAGAUUCACGAUCAGAAUUCCAAAAAGAUUUUCUAGCUAACAGCGUUAACAUAAAAAAAUUUAUUCUUAAAAGGUAUAGUAUAGUAUAGUAUAAUUUGGUUAUUUGGACCCUAAUUCCUCCCAAUUCCCAUUUGCUCAAUAUACCCAACAGUAAAAUAUUGAAAUCUUAAUUUUACGGUAAAAAAUACCAAAAAAUAACUUAAUUAUAAAUUUUAUUAGAUAUUCAUUUUCUCUGCACCCACCAACUAUUAUUCAUUUUCUUUUGAGGAAGUGGUUAGAUCCAUAAAUUUCUCAUUUCUUUUUCCUCCCUCUUCUUGUUCUCAUUAAAUAAUUUUUCAAAAAGAAGAAAAAAAUUUAGGAUCAUAAUGUUCAAGGAAGUUCAACAUUUGUUUCAAAUUUCAUCUCUCUAGAAGGAGAAAAAAAUGCCAUAAAAAAUAAUUUGAUUCGCAAAUUCAUCAAUCAUCAUCAAAAUAUUUUCAUUUCUCAUGUGAAGAUUACACAAAUUAGUCAUAUAAAUGUAGAAACAAAGACAACAUAAAUGAUAAAAGCUAAAUUUAUUCAAAUAAACUAUUAUAUAUUCUACUGAAAUUAUUAGCCGGCACCAUACUACCUAAAAAAUAUUAUGAUGAUUUAGAAAAGAAAAAUCUUAAAUAAAUAGUACGCAAGAGAUGAGAGUUAUAAAGUUAUUUGAUGUUAAGCAGGUGUAUAGAAAUAAAAGUGAAGUUUGAUCCAUUCAUUAAAUUAAUUAUUUAUCCUUAUAAAUGUUAUUAUCUUUAAUGUUAAAACACUGAAUGGGUAUUUUAUCUAUGAAACACUAUAUAUACUAAAAGUUGAAUACAGUAAAUAAAUUUUUGGGUUCAAAUAGCCCUUUAUUCUAAAAUUUUAAAUUUUUAUACUGGGCAUUUUAAGUAAAUUGAUGUGGGGUAACUCAUUCAUAUUUUUAAUAUUUAAAUAUGUUCAUUUACUUAAUUACCCCUGACCUAUAUGAAGAUAACAAAAUAUUUUAUUGGACUUGUGUGUCAAAAUUUUGAAACCUAACCUUUUAUGAUGUUUUUAGGAAACAAGAGGCGCUGAAUAACUAAAUAAUUACAUCCUAACUGUUGGACUAGCUUUUUGCAAUUUAUGGUUGGAUGUUGGAUCGAUCACAAAAAGACGAAUAAUGGCAAAAUUGCUGGACUCUUAAACAUAAUUGUCCUUUCUUAAGAAAGUUCACAGUCAUUUGACUUAUUUAUGAUUAUUUCAUUAUUUUUCAACAUUUUCAAAACGUAAAAUUAAAUUAUAUUUCCUAAAAGAAAAAACAAAUGAUUGAGGGCAAAAUUUGAGUAAGAAAUGCCUAAGAUAUGACACGUGUGAAGAUAUUUUAUAUGACAUUUGAGCUCCUAUAAAGAAUAAAGAAGGAACUGAAAAGGUGAGGGCAUAACGGAAAGAUCCUGCAAAAUCAGCUUCAGCUUCCCAAAUCUCUUGAGAAUUAUAGAAAAUGUCUCCUACAGUACACCAAAACCACCGAAUGUCAGCAUGGGAUCACAGAGGCAAUGACAGCUUCACCAAUAAGGCCAAGAGACAUCUUCUCAACAUGGUUCAUAACCUCUAAAAUAUCUCAUUGCAGAUCACAUAAAUCAAAUAUGAGAAAUGAGGACCACAAACAUAGCCACUUGCUCUAUCAUCAAUGAAAUCAAAUACUUCUAAACUUGAUUGGCUCAUUUCAGAGUUGAGCACAUGUUACCAGCAAGGAUAGUACCUUAGAGGACAAUUGCCCAACUCUUGAAAGCCCAAAAACCUCAAUAAGAAAGACCAAAAUUACUCUUAAAUCCCUAUCUGAGGAGGGAAAUAACAAAUAACGAUCCAUUAUGUAUCCAAAAAAACAUAAAUAUGCCCUCAAGGGCAUUCCACUUUAUAAGGUUAGGUUUGUCUUACAAAUGAGAUAAUUUCUCUCUCACACAAAUAUUAAAAUUUCCUCUUAUUCAAGGAUUUCUUUGAAACCCCUCAUCUCCUUUAACCAAUUGACUAGACCGCUGCUUCUAAUGGCCGUUUUCUUUGAUUUCAGGGUCGUCUCAACCAUCACCAUUCCUAAAAAAGUGCCUUCAAGCAAAUCAGUCUUCACAAUCAUCAAAACUAUCUCUUGACCUGAAGCUCUCAUAAUAUUUUUGAAUUGAACAAAAAAAAGACUAAAACAAUACUCAUAAUUAAUCAGCUUGAAAAACUUUAAUCAAUAUCAUUUUCACCAUAAAUAAAAGAAUUGUUUGCCCAAGAAACAAAAAUUCUCUCUUUAUUUGGAAGGUGCUGGAAGAUUGAAUUUCACUUCAUUUUGUUAUGCAUGUCAUGUCAAUAAAUAUUCUAAUUAUUAUUUCAAUUUUGUAGCUAAAAUUGGAAAGUUCAACUUUUAGUGACUCAAUAAAAUUAAAAUUGGAAAGUUCAACUUUUAGUGACUCAAUAAAAUGCUUGCAAUUAAUAGCUUCGAGUGGGGGUAGAGUGCUCGAUUAAUUAAGUGAGCCAGAGCUACCUAUCAUAUUUAAGAUUUAGCAAUGUUGAAGUUUAUUAAUGAUAUAUAGAUUUCAUUUUUAAUCCAAAAAUUGAUGAUUUUUCAUAUUUUCUUUUUAAUAUAAAAAAUACAGCGAUGAAACCGACAAAGUACUUUUAAAUAAUUUUUUUUAAAGAAAAAUGCUAAGUGCACUAAAUGUUUGACAAACUAGCGAUGAAAUAUACCCAAAGGCCAAAACAAAUUGUUUUGAUUGUGUUUCUAAGAAUAGAAGGUAAAAACCCCAACAUAAUAUUAUUCUGGACGUCAUUUUGUCAUUUUUUUUUUUAUCAGAAUUUUGUUUGAAUAAUAACAGAGGUAUUAUAAACCCAAAAUUUCAUUAUACAAGUCUAAUUAUCGUAUCUUUAUCCAUAGUCCCAAGUGUGUUAAAAACUUUUUCCUUUUUGCAAAGAAAUUUAAUACCUCUUUCUAAUCUUAAGGCUAGACGCAUAUUAACAUAAUCCUUUAAAUUUUAAAAUAUGAAGUUUAAUUGGGAGGUAAAGGCCAGAAAGGACAAUGAAAGUAUUUGUAAAGCAUGUUGUGUAUAUCUUUAACAACUGUUAUCCAUGUGCUAAUGACUUGGAAAAUGCAUCAAACAUGGUGUACUUUUUUCGUUUUUUGAUUUUUUGAUUAAUUUCAAACAUGGUACCUAAUCGUAACAGAUAAGACACCUCAAUUAUCAUGUAAUCAUUGCCUGUUUUUUUUCCCCUAUUAUAUAUUUAAAUUUUUAUCAAGACAACACUACGAAAGUCGAAACUUUCAACCCGGAACAAGAAAAAAGUAAAACAGAGUUACUUUUAAACAGACAUUAAAUAAUAAACAUAGUAAAUAGCAAUGAUCUAAAACAAUAAUGAGAUCCCUAAUUGUUUAUAAUUUCUCAAAUAAAUACUUACCUGUAUUAUAUUUAUUUCAAAUGGGUCCCAAACUCGUGCACAAACAAGCAAGUCGGAUCAAACUUUUGCUUGGCUCGUGUUUGGGUUGGNNNNNNNNNNNNNNNNNNNNNNNNNNNNNNNNNNNNNNNNNNNNNNNNNNNNNNNNNNNNNNNNNNNNNNNNNNNNNNNNNNNNNNNNNNNNNNNNNNNNNNNNNNNNNNNNNNNNNNNNNNNNNNNNNNNNNNNNNNNNNNNNNNNNNNNNNNNNNNNNNNNNNNNNNNNNNNNNNNNNNNNNNNNNNNNNNNNNNNNNNNNNNNNNNNNNNNNNNNNNNNNNNNNNNNNNNNNNNNNNNNNNNNNNNAACUACAGUCUUUUUUUUUUUUUUUCCCCCCAGAAAACAUAAUAUAAUUGUUUGUAGAUAAAUCAAGCUCGCCAUCCCAAUAGUUUGACCUACAUAGAGAACUUGUAGUUGGUACUAUUCAUUUUAUAUAAAAUAUUUAGAUUUCUUUAAAUACUAUUUUAUGCUUAGUCGAUGACGUAGGGAUGCUCUUUGGUUGCCAUUAUCUUUUGUUAAUGAUCACUCACCUUCGUUAAAAUUACCACAUACUCCAUCAAAAUCAUAAAUUAAUGAUUAUAUUCAUUUGUAGUGUUUUUCAUCAGCAUUCGAGAAACUGUUGACAUGAGAAUAACAGUAAAUUUAGGUCAAAUAUAUAAACUUAUUGUAAAGUAGCGAUAAUUUUAUAGGAGAGCCUUACCAUUAUUUUUGAGUUGAUUGAUAGAUGAUGAAAAAUAUAGCGUAUUAUUUACUCAAGUAAUUAAUUCGCUUAAUUUAGUUCGUAGAUGUGGUAAAAUUUGACACGACUCUUUUACUUGACAUGAACCUAACAAAUAAAUAGGUUUGGGUAGUAAAAUUGAAUGCUUUUUAGAUGGACUAUGUUUGAAUGGGCUUAAACUUGACACGAUACGAAUAUGACUUGUUGACAUGUUUUGCCAACUCUUUGAGAACUUAUUUGAUACAAAAAAGAAAAUUAUCAUUAUUUUUAAAUUGAUCGACAAACAAUGAAAAGUAUAACCAUUUGGCCUUUGACUGAGUGAUUGAGCCAUUCCCUUACAAUUGUAAGGGUAGUGGUUCAAACCCUUACAAAAGUGUUAUGAGGGUUAAUUCCUUCUUUAAAUUUGAGUAAAAGUAGUUUUUUUCCUGUUGAAAUGUGAGUGGAGUUGAUGUCCGAGAGAGUAAAAUUCUGAACAAUGAUAUAUAAGAUUAAAUAUAAACUUAUCAUAAUAAUUAUUUGAUUAUAAGUAUUAAUUUUAAUUUCAUAUAAUAUGAGUUGUAUUUUGAGUAAUAAUUUCAUAUAAUUAAAAAAAAGAAAAAAAAAUCUUUUUCUGAGCAAACUUUAAGAAUUUGGGUCCAAAAUGUUACUGUGUUCUAUAGAAAUAAUAGUCAUGAACAAUCUUUAUGUUUCAGACCGAACACUUGAGUCUACACUUUUGUCUUCGCGUUUACUGCUGUUUUGUCAAAACUGUUAAAAAAUCGAAAAGCAAAGCCGUUGAAAGUCUAACAAAACAGCCUAUCUCUGACGCUUGACGGAGAUAAACAUUAAAUAGCCUUUCAAUUUAGUUGGAGAUUUUUAUGUUACAAAAAAAAAACAAAAUAAAUUUCCUCUUCCUUCAUUCACACGAUCACACAUUUAAUUUCUUCCUUUAAAUUAUUAUUAUUAUUUAUUAAUUAUUAGUAAGCUUCUCUCACCUACUCUUUCUUCAUCUAUCUGUGGAAGCAAAAUUCUCAAUUUAUUAUACAAAUAACCGAAAAUGCGAGUUGGGUUUAGUAAUACUUCAUUUUCCCAGAAAAAUUUCUGAUUUUUCCUCCCUUUUCCGGGAAAAAUAACUAGUGGGUUUUGUGUAGAAGCCGAUUUGGAGAAAUGGGUAAUCGGUUUAUUUGCAUGAACAAGAAGGAGGCUAAAGAGAAUAAUAAUGGAUCAAGGAGCAAGAGAAUGGGUCGGUCUCAGAGAAAAAUGUUAGCAGAAGAAGAGUUUUUGCACAGGCAAGCUUUGUCAAUGGCGCUUCAGCAGCAUCAGCUGUCUCAGAGGUUUGAGGGAUCCAUGUCAAGAAGAAUUGGAGGCAAUACAAGCUCUAGAAGACGCACUCUCUCGGAAUCUUUAUCUAAUGGAAAGCAGGUCAAAGUCCUUUUUUGAAUUUUUUUGAUGAUUUUGUUGUGCUUAUUUGUUAGUUUUGUUUAUCAGUGGAUCUGUGACGAAAGUGGGGUUCAAAUUUGAUGAUUAAGGUUUUGUUUAAGUUGUGAAAUGGAAGUGGAACUGCUUUUUUACAAUAAUAGAUUAAUGUUUGUUUUUGUUACUUUUUGGUGAUGGCUAAACAAAAGUGAAGCUGAAAAGGUAUGGGAGGUAAUUGAUUUUGCUUUUAGUUUUAGAUUUAUAGCUUAUUUUGGAAGAAAAAGGGAUCUAAGCAUAUUAAAGUCAAGAUGGUGCCGCAGAGAUAUAAUCAAAUGGGUAGUAUAAACUUUAGUUAGGCUUUGGCAUGUCAAUAUAGAUGUUGUUGUACGUGGUCUCUGAAGUUUGACUAAGUGAUUACUAGAGAUAAGAUCAUCAUUAGUGGCCAACAUAGUAUGAGAACUAAGACAUUUGAAAGUCUUGAAGUUUGUUUCUGGGAUCAUGUGCUUCAUCCUAACCCGAAAGAAAGAAUUUGUUAUGCUCGUAAUGAAGAGGUCUUUUUUCCAUUAUAAGUGGGACGACAGCUAGAUUCAUAUGACCAAAUAAUUAUUAGUUCCUAUUAUUAUAAAUUAGAACUAAUAUUGUUUAACUGGUGGAUAAUCAUGGAUCACUUUUUUUUGCAUGCUCUGCUUACGAGUAUCUGUAAUAAUUUGAAUUCACUUUUCCUUCUGAUUUAACAUAUUUUGUCAAGUAUGAAAUUUUACAACUGAAGUUUGGCCAUACCAUAUCUUCUGGCAAUUUUAUACUUCAUGUUGUACGUCAUCUGGGAAAACUUUAAUGUGCAUAGCAUACCCUAAUACACGGUGAUAUAAUUUCACUGACUUAUAUCUCUACAGGAUACAAACAUUCUGGAGAAUAUCCAGUAUAAAAAGUUUGUUUUAAUACAUGGAGAAGGCUUUGGAGCAUGGUGUUGGUACAAAACUGUUGCUUCAUUGGAGGAAGUAGGAUUGAUCCCGACUGCCUUAGAUCUCAAGGGAUCUGGCAUUGAUCUGUCAGAUACAAACAGCGUCACUACACUUGCAGAAUAUUCAAAACCAUUGCUUGAUUAUCUUGAAAACCUUCUAGAGGAUGAAAAGGUUAGAAGAUGAGAAAUAUAUCAUGAUGGUUCUAUUUUAUUUCAAAAAUGACCUUGAUGGAUGUGUUUAUUUUAUCUUCUGCAGGUUAUUUUGGUAGGUCACAGUAGUGGAGGUGCUUGUGUUUCAUAUGCGUUGGAGCAUUUCCCUCAAAAGAUCUCAAAAGCGAUUUUUCUAUGUGCUACAAUGGUGUCAGAUGGCCAGAGGCCUUUUGAUGUCUUUGCUGAAGAGGUAUGUUUAAUGCUCAAUGCUCCACUAAUAUCAUUGGUUACUGUUGAGGAAUAGCAAUCCCUUAGAAAAAUAAUGAAAGUUUGACGUUAUGCAAAAGCAAUAAUGAUUGUGUAUAUUUAAUAUUUUUCCCAUCUUAGUUUGAUCAAUCUUUCCUAAUUUUCACUUCAUUGUAUUAGAUUUUCCAAGAUGAUAUCAUUAAACCUGAUCAUUAACCAUUUGGUGGAGCCUUUUUUAUGGAUGAAUAUUAAUGAGCUGUACUGACACCCAUGUGAAUAAUUCAUUCAUUUAUACUCAAAAUAUGCAAUAUGCUUCCUCUUAAUGGUGUUUUGUCUUUCUAAUUCUUGUGUGGAUGUAAUGCUUCCAAUCAGUUUUCAUUCUUCUGAAUUAUUUAAUUCGAACAACCUCGCUAAUGGUAUCGGUAUUGCAGCUUGGAUCUGCAGAGCGUUUUAUGCAAGAAUCACAGUUUUUAAUUUAUGGAAAUGGUAAAGAUAAGCCUCCUACUGGAUUCAUGUUUGAGAAACAGCAAAUGAAGGGGUUAUAUUUCAAUCAAUCACCAUCAAAGGUAUGGUAUAGUUCUAGUCUGUCUUUUGCCAUAAAACAAUUUCUCUGGUUCUAUCAAUUUGCAGAAAGCCCCACAUCUGCAUAUGUCUCAUGGAAACAUUUUUGGGAUGCCAUAUUUCUUGGGUUUGUUACACUGUUUACUACUUACCGAUAGAUAAGUCAACGGGUGUAUAAGGAAGUUAGAGCACAAAUUCCCCUUUUUUUUUUUCCUUUUUUCUUUCUCUUUUAAGUACUAGAAACUGACAAAGUCUGCUGGUACGGUAUGGUACAUAUGUGUAGUUUAUGGCUUGCAUGGAAGUUAAUACUCUGCCUUGUUUUAUGCAUGCCACCAAGUGAUUUAACCCCACCCUAAAAAAGUAAGAAUGUCUACUUUUGUUUGUUUGUGCUUGAGUUGGGAAAAAUCUGGCCAUCACAGGACAUCCACAUGGUGGGCUACACUUCGUUACCGUCCAUAGUUUUUAGUCUAUGUUUGUUGAUUUCUAAUCGCUUUGAUUUCUGAUAUGCGUUUUCAACAUUGAGUGUCUGGACUUUGGAGCAACGUGGUAGAGAUAUGUUGUGAUUAUAUCUAGUUUUUGGUGAGCCAAUAAAAAAUUUCUAUCACUAAUAUAGCGAAUAUAAUUCAACAUGGAUUUUGGUUCUUUCCAGGAUGUUGCCUUGGCCAUGGCUUCAAUGAGACCCACCCCAUUGGGUCCAAUCAUGGAGAAGCUAUCAUUAUCUCCAGAAAAGUAUGGAACUGGCAGACGCUUCUUCAUUCAGACACUGGAUGAUCGUGCCCUUUCACCAGAUGUUCAAGAGAAGCUUGUUAGAGAAAACCCACCAGAAGGAGUCUACAAGAUCAAAGGAAGCGACCACUGCCCUUUCUUCUCAAAGCCACAGUCACUACAUAAAAUUUUAGUUGAAAUUGCUCAAAUCCCAUAACUUCAAUAUAAAAAAUGAGUAAGAAUUCUUUCAUCAUUACUUUAGAAAACAAGAAGAGUUGGGUUAUUACUUGUUGUAUGUAGAACAUCGACGCCAGCUUUUAUGCUGUAGUUUCUUUUUCAGAAUAUGGGUAUAGAGGAAGUCAAUGUAUCAUUACCUUAUUUAUUAAUCAGUAGUAAAUUAAAUCAAGUGCUAGAACGCAUGACUUAGGGCUCAAUUGGGUUAUAUUUGGAAGGUUCAAAAGUAAUUUUAAAAAGUUAAAAGUUAAUUUUGGUGUUUGUUAAUUUUUUUAGCAAUCACUUUUGGCAAAAUAUUCCUUUCUGUAGUAGAUUUUAAAAAUCAAGAACAGAGUAAUUUUUUAAAAUCUAAUUUGGAGAAUUAAUUUCAUACUUAACAUAAAUCUAUAUUAGGAAAUAAAAUCUUUAAUUUUAAAGAUUUUAUUAUUAUUACCAAUUAUAUUAAGAUAACAAAAUAAAAAAUAAAUUAAUAAUAUAAAAUAAUUAUUUUAGUUUUUAAUUAUUAUAUAUGCACAAUAAGAAAUAUUUGAUAUACAUGAUUAUAAAUAUAUAAAUGGAUCUUAUUCAACAUUAUUUCUAAUAAAUUUAUUUACAUUUUAAAAAUAGUUUAGCAGUAAUAUUUAUUAAAUAUAUACAAUUGCUUUUAAAGCUCCGGGGUACAUUUAACUACUUUUUCACUAAACAUACACAAUUACUUUUUAUAGUACUGCUUUUUCAUCCUUUCGCUCCCAGCUUUAAUGUUUUAUCAUGUUUCUAAUUGCUGUCAGGGUUUAUGCUGCUGAUGUAAAAUGAUAUUACUGUUAGCAUAGUGUCAUUAAUUCCUGAAACAGUGAUUUGAGUCAUUGAGAGCAGCAACAGAGAAGCAGAGUUAGCAAAUUCAUAUUAUACCUAUAUUUCUAAUAUAAUUAAUACAAGAGCGUUGCCAACACAUAAAAAACAAUAAGCUUUGCUACUUACACACAAGUUGAUUCUAUUCGCUACUCAGCUCAAUAUAUAUAUUCAGGUUCCGCUUCCCAAAUGAGCAUGCCCACCUUGACAAUUUUAAUCUACGGUUCAGUCAAUGGCAGCAUACAAAUGUUCGCACUGAACGCAUGUAAGGGCUUUGCUUCUAGACCAAAACAAUAAAGAAAUCCGGCAGUAAGCUGCUGACCUAGUAACAAAUAUACCCUACAGCGAAAUGACAUUGCCCACCUAAAAAAAGCCCUAUACCUGAUACCAGCUGGGUAAUGGUCUAUAUGGAUUUGGGGUCUUGAGAUUGUCACCAGAAAAAUGCAAGCCCUACCAUUUUCACCAAAGAUUAUCUAUAGGUCAAGGACCUUCGAUUAUAGCUUUGACAGCACUGCACUCCUGACAUCCAUCUUUUAUUCGUUUGGUUGUAACCAUAUGGAGAUGAAUGAAAAUUUGUAGAUAGAGAGGCAGGAAAUUCAACAAUCACAGCAGUUGAAACCCUCAACGGCUUCAAACAGAUUUUCCCAGGUAUCAUUCAUGGCUGCCUCAGAUUGCACUGAAAAGAGAAUGGAUUCAAACCGAAGCAUGUACAAUGAUGAAUCAUAAAGCGAUAUCGCAACUUCAACAUCCAAUGAGGCAAACAAAUUUCUCUGUCAUUCAAUGCAGCAUGACACAGAAACUAAAGCCUUGCAUCAGAGAGUUGCAAAUUUCUAAAACCUGCAAAACACACAAACUGGAUAUGAGCUCACUGAAUAGAAAAAUAUAGAAGAGUACCUCAGCUAAUUUUAUUAGGAUUAAAUGGGAAGAACGCUUUGAGAUCAACUUGGGCCUUAAAAUGUAUCAAAUGUAAACAGUGUUGCGCGGCACUACAUACAAAGUAAAAGCUGAUUGAUUCUGAACAUAGCAACCGCAGCUAAUUGGUGAUCAAAGGCUUCCUUCUUACUGGACAAAUAUCAAACAAGGAUACUUACGUACAUAUUAAAAUACAGAAAGACCAUUGCUUCAUGAGAUGAGAUGACACCCACUGGAAUAAAAAAAUUUGGGCAAUAAGAAUUUGCAGUGACUUUGAGCAAGUUUCUAAUGCAUUUUGUAAAUCAUCUGCAAUUUGACAUAUCAUAUAAAGAUCUGAUACAUGUAUAUUUGAUUUUGAUAGGAACACCAUAUACAAAAGAGCCUUACCAGAACUAGAUUUUCUAAUGCCCAGAAGAUGACUUUUGAAUCCACACUUGUUUCUGCACACACAAAAAAGAUGUCAUCUUCUCAUCAGAAAUAAAAGACCCACACAGAGACAGAGAGGGGCAACCACAGCGGGGCAAGGGGGUGGGGUGUGAAGAGGGAGAAGGGAGAUUCCAACCAUUUAAGAUAAAGACCAUAACGACACAGAACUAAUAGCUGUAAGAUGAAAAAAAUUUGCCUCACCUCAUUGCCACCUGAGCCAGCAGCACCUCUUCUUUUGGAAGACUUCCCCUCAAUCGUAUUUAUGCAACCAUCAUCCUUUGUAAUAUUGGUAGCUGCACGGCGACCAUUAUGUCUAUGGGAACCUGGAUAAAUGAAAUAUUUUUUGGUACCAGUAAUGGUAACAUUAGAACCAUUGUAGAAAAAUGAACACUCAGUGGAUGGAGUAAAAAACAAAUAUUUCCCAUGAAUAUACCUCCACUUGUAGGUGCUGCAAUGUCAACAGUCUUGCUUCCAUAGGACAUAUCAUCUUUCAUCUCUCCACGAGUGACUGAAAAUUAUCAAAAUACUGUAAGACUUAACACAUUUCCUACUGCAGAAGAACUCUCAUACAGUAUGCUAAAAUCACUAUCCUCCAGCAUACUAUCAGUACUUACACAAAUACCAGAUAACCUAUCCAAAGUAACAACAAUACCUUCAACUGAAUCAGAAAGCAGCUGAGUCGGUUGCGAGGAUGACAAGCGCUCCCCGUUAGCCUGUGAAACAUCAGACCGACGGGGAGUCCACACAACACGAUCAGGUCUGUCCUUAUUUCUUGUACGUUUUUCUUGCUUCUCACUUACAGCACCAGAACCAUGCAGGACUUUUCUAGCAAACCUAUCAUCUGAAGAUCUUUUUGUAUUACCAUCAAAACUAAAUAUAGGUGAUUCAUUAUUGGUCACAUGCCCAUUUGGCGAGCAGGUAGGCCCAGGUAAUGGCUUCCCGCUCUCCUGAUUCAAGUUUGGCAUCUUCUGCUGAGGCUGGACUCCAGUCACAGACUGGGUUUGACGCGUUUCAUUAUUCAAGAGUAUUUUUCUGAUUAACCUCCCACCAGCUUCACGUCUCUGAAUCUGUUUUGGAACAGUUGGAGAAGCUGAGUUUUUGACAGGAGAUGAUUCUCUCUGCUUGUCCAGCAGGGCAUCAGGAACCUGAGGUUCACAAAAUCCAUCACAACUUGCAUCCAUGAGAUUAGACAUGACCAAUUAUAAAGCAUGCAAAACUUAUGUAUGCUAAAAUAACUCUAUCAAUGGCUCAUAGUGGACAUCUUCAGUGCAGAACGCAAGUCAAAACCAAUCAGCUUACGUGAGGAAUUUCUCGUUCUUUCCCUUUCAAAAGCAGGAUCUUCUUCUUUCCAGUAUCAGAGGUCAAAGGGAUUCCUACAGAACCUUCAACGCCACAAACUGCAAUUUAAAUAAUGAAAAAAAAUGGUGUCAACAUGGAAGCUUAGCCGAUCUUUAGGGCAAUAAUAGGUAGAUGUAAAACAUGUAAAUGAAUGAAGACGUAUGAAAAAAAAGGCUGACAGCAAAAGAGAAAAUCUAUACAAGAGCAAAAGGAAGCAAUAACACCCUCUUCCCCAGAAAGUAACCAGCCAAAUUGACUACCCACCACAGGAAAUAAAUAACAUAGGUAGAAAAAACAACACAAGGUCAGCAUUGCACAAUGAAGAGAGAUAUAAACGAAAUAUUUGUUCUCAAGAUUAUAUAUAAAACAAACAAAUACAGUUACAUCACAUCAUCAUGUCCCCAAAUGUUCCAUGCACAAGUCUGUCUUGAUCAACUCCUCUGACGACAUCCUUGAGCCAGAAUGCAUAAAAGAAGUUCACAGCAAUAGGAAAAUUGUCAAGGAACAAAAUACAUUAAAACUGCACAUUAUCAAAUAUAUAAUAGACCAUGGAAGUUGAUAAAUGUCCAACAGUAGAAGAAAUGGCCAGCGUUUGAGAUAAUAGCAUCAAAUUACGACUGCACAAAAUGAGGCUCCAGAUAUAUCAAAUUGUUUUUGAUAGGAAACAAAGAAACUGGCAUUAAUAAGAGCAAUAAUUACAAAAUAUGAAACUAGCAUUAAUAAGAGCAAUAAUUACAAAAUGUGAACAAGGAGUCCACAAAGAAAGAAACCCCAAAAGAUCACUAAAAGAUCUAUACAGUUGAUAUUUAUCAAAUUGAUUUUGCUAAGUGGGUGAAAAAGGCUAAAAGAUUUGUGCCUUUGCAACAUAGCUGCAUCCAUUAAAUCUUAAACAGCCCAACACUAGCACAUGAUCUAAUGAAACAACAUAAUGAAUGAUCUUAAUCUUUCAAAACAAAUAAAAAAGAAGGAAGGCAUUUAUUAUUAAUGAUUUAGAAUGAAAAUUAAAAGUGCCCAUACUGGUUUCACUUGCUGAUGUUUCUUUUCCACUUGAAGAGGCUGGCUGGUCCUCUCGCUUGGCUAAUACUUUGAAAGUUGAUUUGUCCUUCCGCCUUGCAUUCUUUGCACUAUCCUUUAGAAUAUACUGAUAAUAAAGGGGAAAAAAUAAAUGAGAGAUGGUUGCAAUCCACAUCCAUAUAUGAUAAAGUACUUCUCCCAUUCAAAGCUCUGUUAUUUCAUUCCAAUUACAAGGGAUCUUCCACUCCCGCAUACUCAACACCAACAAAUCAAUGAAUCAUCCAUAAGACAUUGCAUCACACAAGCAAACAUAAGUAAAGAAUACGAGGCACCAUAAUUUAAAAAUAAAACUGCAAUGUAAAAGUCAGUAAUCAGCUGGUUGCCCAUCAUAUUAGACAUACGACUAACUAGAAAACCCUUUUUUGAGCUUGGCUUGUUUAAUGGGAAAUAACUUGCAGAAACAAAUUUUUUCUCUAUUUUCUGGAGUUCAGUGCAACAUUUGAAACAAUCAUCCAAAAAUAUUUUUACAUCAAUGAAAAAUCAAGCUUGAAUUCAUGUAAAAGACUUGUUUCCAAAUCAGUUAAUCAAUUUUUUUGCUGAAUAUAUAGAUAAACAUCAAUGCUCAUUAUUAACAUAUCAACAACCAUGGUCUUUCAGCACUGCUCCUCACUAACACCACCCAGUUAUCAAUCACCAUCAAGAGGGCUGGUCCUCUUUGUUGGUAAACAGUGAUCCACAUGAAUGGCCACCUUCGUCAACCAAUGACCAUAUGUAAUAAUCAUUAUUGGUCGUAUACAAUUAUCAACACCACCAACAAUUAAUGGCCAUGAUUAGUCAUAAACGAUAAUUGACAGUGUCUCAUUGAUUGUCAUUAACCAUUACUAGACUAUUUUACUUGAAAGUAUUUUCUACAAUUUUUUAUCAUGAAAAAAGCUCUAAUAAAAAUAUCUCGAUUCCAUAAAUUUAUGGCAGCAACAAAAAGUUGCAAUAAUUGACCUUAAUAUAGUCCGUUAGAUAUUCCCUCUCCAACCAAUUGCAGUGCAUAAAACAAAGAUCUUAAAGCAAAUCCUUUAAUUUUUAAUACUUUAAAAAAAGAUUUACCCAAAGGAACUGCUCCUUAGCACCUGAUAAAAUACCCAAUAAUAAAUGAAUUUAAACCCAUUGCAAUCUCAAGCCUCUAAUCCUUUGGAAACAUGUUGACAUUUUAAGUCGCACUAGAUAUAAAGUUGUCAUUUUUCCAGAUUUCACAAAAUGAUAACACAAGUAGCAACUGCCUUUAAUGUCUGCUUAAUGCGUCAAAGAAUUGGACUCUAAAAUUGUGCCUAGUUAAGUUCAUGCAUGAUCCAGAUCUAGAUCAAAACUCUAGCAAAGCAGCCAAAGAGUAGGCAUUACUUCUACCCAAAAGUCUUAAACCUGCAGCCAAGAAGCCAGACAAAGGAAUUUAAAUUUUUUACCUUUCAAAUUUCUCUAUUUCCCGAGUUUUUUUAAACUUUUUUUAUUCACAAGACCACCAAUGCCCACCCACUAGUAGUGCGACCAUAUAUUUGAUAUAUUCAUGAUUCACCCGCACAAAAAAUAAAAUAAAAUAAAAAAUAACUGGCCAACAAAUUUCCAAGAUAAACAACUAAAGAGGACAGUGUUGUUUACCAAAAUUCAAAUUAUAAGCCAUGCUCAACAUAUUCUAGGAGGUAAUUACCUUUUUCUUCUCUGAGCCGCGCUUAGUGGUAGUUGAACUAGUCUUGCUAGCAGAAGCUGCCCUACUUCUUCUGCCAACUCUCCCAACAGCUAAGGACUCCUGACUCACUCAAAAAAUUGCAAAUCAACACUUAAAUAUGUACGCUUCUAAGUACGCGAAAGAAUAAUUGAAUAAUCCAGAAAGAUUGAUUAAAACAUCUAUUUUCCAUUAUUAUAAAUGCAAGGCUUUCCAGAUUAUAAAUGCAAGGCUUUCCAGAUUAUCAAAAUAUGCAACUCCAAAGACUUUGAAUCUCUCCUACGCACAUUUAUAUAUUUACCAAAAAGAAGGGCCUCAUACCUGAGCUCCACUCUCAGCAGCUCGUUUCUGCCGAACAUAUUCCAUUAGAGGUGUAACAACAAGAGUUUCCUUUGGAGCACCUGCAACAUGUAUAUUAAAAGUCCGCACCAAGGUACAUACACUCUCUCUCUCUCUCUCUAAGAACAGCAGGUUAUAUUCAUCAAAUUCAUAAAAAUAACUAACUAACCAGAUAGCUCAGCUUCUUUUCUUUCCAACUGAAUUUCUGCACUUGGUAGAUUCUCGGCAGGUUUAGCAAUAACCUUCAGGAACUCCAGAUAAUCCGGGUCUUUAUUGUCCACAUCAAAACCAAAAACAGCUUAUUACUACAGUACUUCUAGAAACAAUAAGAAGAAAAAGAAAAUAAAGGUAUACUUGUAAUUGUUGUGCUUUCAACUUAACUUUGAAAUUUAGCAGCUUAAGCGUACGGUAGAAGCCACGGCACUUCAACCCCAAAAGUACCCUAAGUUUUUUUUUUUAUAAAAAAUUACCUUUAAAAAUGGUGCCUUCACGACUAUCCUUUCUAGAAAAAGGCUUGGGAACACGUUGAGAUGGAGCAUAUUCAACAAUAGCCUUAAACUGAGCACCUAAUCGAGAACCCAAUAACACAUAUAAUUAACCAAACAGAAAGUGCCCUUUUCAUUUACAACAACAUAAACUCAUUCAUUACCAAAUUAAAAUUGAUAAGUAAAAGCAAAAGGGUAAGCAAAAUUACCCUUUUCAUUAACAAACACAUGUCCAUUCAACAACUCAGCAAACUCAAACACACCCGCAGGCUUCUUCAAUUCUACAUAUGCUCGUGAAUACCUCUGAUGCUUGUAACUGUAAAAAAACUAAAAUCCAAAGUUAAAAUAAAAUUUCAAAAAAAAGGCCAAAAAUCAAUCAAUUAUAAAGAACAAAAGAAAUUAAAACAAUACCUAGAUUUUCCGGGGCGAAAGCAGAACCAAUUGUAACGGUCGUUGAAGUGAUCGCGGAAAAGGGCUAAAAGGUCAUUUUGAGAGAGGGAAGGAGGCAAAUGACGAAUCACUACUUUGGUUCUCUGCAAUGGCUCCUUCAUUUCAUCGCAUUCAAUUUGCCCCGAUUGUAUUGAAUUCGAAAAAUCGAAAAAGAGUUUUGAUUAUUUUGUACCCUAAUUUUCGAUUUGGGUUGAGAAUGAAAUUGGAAUGUUGUUUAUUGGAAAUUUUUAGACGCACGUAACCGUUGUGUUUUUCUCUAGAGAGGGCUCUGAGCACUCACAAACGGGAGAUUUACCCUUGGGAAACGUCGUCGUGUGGACAUUUCCAAUUCCCGAUACGAGUAACACGUGUCGAUAAAUUAACCUAAUUCAUAUUUCAUUGCCCAAGGCAAGGGCAAUUGAUAUUCCCUAUUUCCCUUUAUAUAACUUCUUGGAGUCCAGGGGACUUGACGUAUAAAAUGACCAAAAAGUCCCUUUAUAGAAUGGAUAUGCUAAUUUAAUAAAGAAGGAUUAUCAAUAAUAAUAAUAAUAAUAAUAAUAAUAAUAAUAAUAAUAAUAAUAAUAAUGGGAAAUUGUUAGUUUUCUCCCAUUCAAAUUAAUAUAUAUUAAUUAACUCAUAUUAUUUUUAUAAUAACCAAUAAUUUUUUAAUAAUAUAAUUUUAUAAUAUUCUCUUAUUUUUAAAUAAAAUUUAAUAAUAAUAAUAAUAAUAAUAAUAAUAAUAAUAAUAAUAAUAAUAAUAAUAAUAAUAAUAAUAAUAAUAAUAAUAAUAAUAAUAAUAAUAAUAAUAAUAAUAAUAAUAAUAAUAAUAAUAAUAAUAAUAAUAAUAAUAAUAAUAAUAAUAAUAAUAAUAAUAAUAAUAAUAAUAAUAAUAAUAAUAAUAAUAAUAAUAAUAAUAAUAAUAAUAAUAAUAAUAAUAAUAAUAAUAAUAAUAAUAAUAAUAAUAAUAAUAAUAAUAAUAAUAAUAAUAAUAAUAAUAAUAAUAAUAAUAAUAAUAAUAAUAAUAAUAAUAAUAAUAAUACGGUACAGCAGAAUAAUAAUAAUAAUAAUAAUAAUAAUAAUGGGAAAUUGUUAGUUUUCUCCCAUUCAAAUUAAUAUAUAUUAAUUAACUCAUAUUAUUUUUAUAAUAACCAAUAAUUUUUUAAUAAUAUAAUUUUAUAAUAUUCUCUUAUUUUUAAAUAAAAUUUUAUUCAUAUUUAUUAUAAAUUAAAUGAAUUAUAUAAAUACAAAUUACAAUAAAAACAUUAAGAACUAAAAAUAAGAAAUAUAUGUUUUAAUAUAGAUAAAAAUAAAUUAUAAAAUAUUUGUUAAUACUUUUUGUUAUUUUUAAAUAUUUUUGUUAUAAUAAAUACAUAUAUUAUAGGCCCAAGAUAAAUUAUUAAGAAAAUACCUUAUUUACCCCUCUUUUGUUUUAAAUGUUUUGGUGACGGGAGAGUUUUUAGAUAUUAUAAAAUUAAUAGAAUAUAUGUGAUAUAUAUUAGUUUUCAAUAAGAAAGCAUUAGCAAUCUCCCUAAUAAUAAAAGUGACAAAAUAAUGGAAGGCAAAAGAGAGAAAUUGAAUUGUGUAUUCAUUCUUCUUUUAAAUUCUUUUAUUCUCAACUUUCUCUUUAAAUUCUUAAUAAAACCCCUGUAUAUAUUCCAUUUAUUAUCUAAUUUAUAAUUUUCAUACCUUAAAUCCUAAAAUUUUAUUUCUGACAUCUUAAUCAAUACUUAAAUAAAUAAUUUAAAAAAAAUUGACAACAAAGUAUGUAGGAUACUUUUUUAUUUUUGUAAAAAUAAAAUAAAAUAAAAUAAAAUAAACGUAUUGUGAAAUGACUUUUUUUUUUUCUUUUGCUUUUGACCCUUCUUCUCUGUCUUCUUCUCCUUUUACUUUUUUUAGUACUUAUAGAAUAUUUUUUUAUAUAUUAUUAUGUACCCAUCGCAGCUUAUUUCAUAUGCAAAAUCUAAUAUCAAUAAAGAAAAAAUUAAUAACUAAACUUACGUUAAAUAAUUUGAUUACAAUUCAUAUGAUUAUAUUGUUAUAAGAUAGUAUAUGUUAAGUCUCUUAAGAACAAAUAAAGUUAAUUAAUUUAAAUAAUUUAAGUUAAGAUUUUCUUUAAAAUUUAAAAUAGUGUACAAAAUAAUUUUUAAGGGCAAAAAUAAUACUACCCUUUUAUUUAUAUUUUUAUGCAUACACUUUCUCGCUCUCCAUACAAAACACUUCCAAAAAAGUCAAGUCUCUUUCCCUUUCUCAUCUCUUCAUACCCAGGCCAACGCAAUCCCUUUUGCUCUCCUGUCUUCGCAAGUAAGUAAAAUCUCAGUUCAUCUCAUCAUCUGACGGUUUGUUUUCAUACUUUGCUUUCCCCAAAUUGCCCUCGCCUUUUCCUCUCUUUUUCAAUUUCAGUUUCUUUUCGAUUAUAGACUCGAUUUUCUUUAUCUCGGUUUGUAAAUUUUAUCAGAUGUAAUGCAUAAUUGAUCGUCGUCGUUGUUUUGUUCAAUAGUUUCGCAAAACAAGCCGAAAUUAAAUUAAAUUAUGUAUCAGCAUCAAUUAAUUAAUUAAUUGAUGCUGUUUAGAUUGUGUGCUUGAUUAUAUAUCAAUAUCAGCAUAUUUUUAUUAAGAUUUUAAAUUUAAUUAAAUAAUCAGGAGUCUGAAUGAUUUUUAUUUUAAAUAUUUUUAUGAAUUUAUUCAUGUUCGGUUGGAUAAUAUUUAAAGUAAUAAUAAAUAUAGGUUUUAAUGGAGUGAAAUUGUAAGGGUAUGGUAACUGAAUUUUGUUUCUUAUUCUUUAAAGAUAAAGACUGAAUUCAAUAUGAAGUGGUUUGAUAUUGUAAAUGCAUUGCAGGUAAAUUGGAACUUUUUAUAUGAUGGGAGGAAGUGCGAUUGAUGAUGAUUGGGAGCUUACUUCUCCAUCUAAUGGGGAGCGCACUGUGGUUUUAGUUGGCCGUACUGGCAAUGGCAAAAGUGCGACGGGCAACAGUAUUCUUGGAAGAAGAGCCUUCAAGUCAAGGGCUAGUUCAUCUGGUGUUACUAGUACCUGUGAAAUGCAGAGAACCGUGCUCAAAGAUGGCCAAGUUGUUAAUGUCAUUGAUACCCCUGGUAGUUUACUGAUGUCAUUGCCUAGAUAUUCCAUUUCCAUGCUUGUUGAUGUUGUGGUGGUAAGUAGAUUGAUGUUAUGAGUAAUUGCAGGACUUUUUGAUUUUUCCGCUGGCUCUGAGUUUGUUGGCAAGGAAAUUGUCAAAUGUAUCGGUAUGGCCAAGGAUGGGAUCCAUGCAGUCCUUGUAGUUUUCUCUGUUAGAAGCCGUUUUUCUCAAGAGGAAGAAGCUGCACUACACAGUUUGCAGACCUUGUUCGGGAAAAAAAUUUUUGACUAUAUGAUUGUUGUUUUCACUGGAGGGGAUGAACUUGAAGAUAAUGAUGAAACGUUAGAAGAUUAUUUGGGUCGUGAGUGUCCAAAGCCUUUAAAGGUUUGUUUCUGAACAGCAAUAGUGUUCGAUAAUUUCCAUUUUGAUCAAGUUGUCUUGGGUUGCUUCUUUUGUGAAGUUUUAGAUUCCUUUACAGAUGGACUAUUGGAAGUUUAAUAUGAAUAUAUGCAUGCUGAAAAUACUAGAUAGGUGUAUAGUAGUCCAGCCGUCUUAAAAUUCCAUUUUCAAUAGUGCUUCAUUUCCUGAAUGGUUUUCUUCUGCCAAGCGGGAUUGGCCGGAGAGGUGAUUGGUUGGUAAUUUUCUGCUGGCGUUACUUAAUUUUAGUUAUAUUUUAAUGUCUUUGAAUGAGAUGUCAUUCAUUCAUUUGCUAAGCAUUUAUGCUUUUCUUAUUUGUAUUCUUUGAUUUCAUCUGUUAUUUAAUCUUUGGUUCUUAUUCUAUUAACGUGUGUUCAUUUGUUUGUUCCUUAAAAUAUGUACCUCUUUGAUUUAUAUGCUUAAAAUUAACCUACUUUUAAGAUUUUAGAAGUGCACCAAGGAGGAUAUGACUUGCCAUACAGGUCCAUUUUAUUAGGCGUUGUUUGAAUAAAAUAUCAAGUCUAACUUUACAAGAUUUAAAAUUCUCUUUAAAAUCCCUGUGGAUACUAGCCCCAUAAUUGGUGUCUAAAAUUUCAAUGUGAGAUCUUUUUUCAGUUUCAACAUGCAAAUCUCUUAUUGUCAGAAUUUACUUGAUGAAUUUGGUCCCUAAAACUUUUCAAGUUCAGGAGUAGGAAGAAAAAUAACAAAAAUGAAAAUAAAGACCCCUUUCAAGUUCAGGAGUAGCUUUGCAAUUAACAAAAUCGGGUUAUUUUACAGUUAAAGGGAACAUUGUUUUACUUAUUGUACUAAUUUUUGUAGUUUGAAGGAAUCAAAUUUUUUUAGUUAUCAUGCUGCAAAAUUAGGUCAAUUAUGUAGAUGCCACAGAAAAUAUGAUCAUGUCUUUUGGCAGUUUUGAGCUUUGGUCACUUGAGUUUGUUUAUGACAAUAGUACAGUCUUUCAUGCUUUUUUCUAAAUGUAAGAAUUUGCCUAGUGAAGAGGCAGCUACUGAUUUGUAGGCACUAAUUUUGAUUGGGUCAAUGCUUUUCACUGGAAUAUAUGCAGAUUAUUAUUAUUAUUUUUUCUGUUAUAUGGAAUGCUGAUCACCUUUUAAGAUCUUUAAAUUUGAUGGACGUAAAAGGUUAUUGUAAGUGGUCAAACCAUAAGGAGAAUGGAAUUAAUUAUUAAAAGUUGAUUAUUGCUUGCCCUUAAAUAGUUUUUGGGGAUGCAUGAUAUUAAGUACCAAUGAUCACAAUAAAAACAAAUUUUGUCAGCUGAAUAUCUUCAAACUUUUAGAGACUACAAGUGUUUGAUUGGUUUAUCAAUGCUUACGAAAGGGGCUAACAUUUGCUUUAUUCCUGAUCAUUUUUCCAUUAUUUUAGGAAAUCCUUCAACUAUGUGAUAAUAGGUGCGUGCUUUUUGAUAACAAGACUAAGGAUGAGGCCAAGAGAACUGAGCAGGUUUGGAAGCUUCUUUCUCUGGUUAACUCUGUGGCCGUGCAGAAUGGUGGGCAGCCAUAUACGGAUGAUAUCUUUGCUGAGUUGAAGGUGACUUCGUUACUAUCGUGAUAGACUUCUGUGCUGCUUCUUUCUGAAUAUGUCAUGACGAUGUCUCUUUUUCUUUUUUCUUUUUUCUUUUUUCUAUUCAGAAAGGGGCUACUAAACUCCGUGAUCAACAAUUUGAGGUUGAUUCUCUCAAGGGAUAUUCAAAACGAGAAAUUUCAGAGCUGAAGGAGCAGAUGCAUAAAUCAUAUGAAGAUCAACUCAAACGAAUUACUGAGAUGGUAUUUUUUAUGCUCCUUGUUUUGGCAUCAAAAUAUGACAUGCAUAUGUGUUCAUUUCUCAGAUCCAAAAAUGCUUAUAAAGUGUGCAGGUACCUGUAAUGAUAUUCUAAAUUGUGAGACUUGGAGGUGAUAAAGACUGCCGCUGUGUCCUUACCCCUAGAUUGUUGGAGAUUGCCAUCUGAAAAGAGGCUUUAUCUUGCUAGUUGAUGGGGACAAAUCUGUUAUUAAGUUAUCUGUUCACUGAUUGUGUUUUGAAGGCUGUAACAUGUUGUUCUUACCUUGAAGAUUGUUUGACUGUCUUGUUCUGUUUUGUUUCUUGAUGAAAUUAAGUAGAUUACUCUAUGGUAGUAGCUAUAGGUGGUUUGCUCAUCAUGACUUGCACUUAGGAGUGGAUUCUGCACUUGUUUAGUCAUCAAUCAUAAGAACAUUUCUUGUAAUACUGUAGAUCCUGUUUUGUUGCUAGGAAUUUUGCACUCCUGAAUCUGUGGGAACAUUUGAAAUGUUAUAAGCAAGUUAUGUUAUAUUCUAAUUUUGUUAAAAACAGAAUAGCCACAUUCAAAAUAAGUUUUUUGGAAAAUAUAGUUAGGUACAUGGAACCUAAUCAAAUAGCUGUGUAGUUUAAAUGUUCCUUUCCACAGUUUUAAUUUAUAGCAAGGCAGUAGAAUGAACUGGCAUUAAGCGAGAUCCUAUGCAACAAUAAUCUGGAUUUGCUGUAGCAGUCUGUGUACUGACUAUGUGUCUGAGGUGCUAAUAAGUUUUAAUCUCCACAUUCCUGGAGUGUGGCAAAAUGAAAAAGUUAGUAUAUUCUUUAAUACCUUAUAUUUUGGGUUUAUCUGUUUAUUUUUUUAAGCUUUUGUUUCUACCAUUUAUCAAUGAUUGAGAGAGUGGAAUUGAUUGAAGUAAGAAAGUUGUGCCGAGUAUGGUGAACUUAGCAACUCCCUUUGCAAUUGGAUUAAACUAAAUUAAUACUUAAGAAUUUUCUUCUCUUAAGUUGGAGNNNNNNNNNNNNNNNNNNNNNNNNNNNNNNNNNNNNNNNNNNNNNNNNNNNNNNNNNNNNNNNNNNNNNNNNNNNNNNNNNNNNNNNNNNNNNNNNNNNNNNNNNNNNNNNNNNNNNNNNNNNNNNNNNNNNNNNNNNNNNNNNNNNNNNNNNNNNNNNNNNNNNNNNNNNNNNNNNNNNNNNNNNNNNNNNNNNNNNNNNNNNNNNNNNNNNNNNNNNNNNNNNNNNNNNNNNNNNNNNNNNNNNNNNNNNNNNNNNNNNNNNNNNNNNNNNNNNNNNNNNNNNNNNNNNNNNNNNNNNNNNNNNNNNNNNNNNNNNNNNNNNNNNNNNNNNNNNNNNNNNNNNNNNNNNNNNNNNNNNNNNNNNNNNNNNNNNNNNNNNNNNNNNNNNNNNNNNNNNNNNNNNNNNNNNNNNNNNNNNNNNNNNNNNNNNNNNNNNNNGACUUCUGUGCUGCUUCUUUCUGAAUAUGUCAUGACAAUAUCUCUUUUUCUUUUUUUUUUCUACUCAGAGAGGGGCUACUGAACUCCGUGAUCAACAAGCUGACGUUGAUUCUCUCAAGGAAUAUUCAAAACAAGAAAUUUCAAAGCUAAUGGGCCAGAUGCAGGAAUCAUAUGAAGAUCAAAUCAAACGAAUUACUGAGAUGGUAUUUUUUAUACUCCUUGUUUUGGCAUCAAAAUAUGACAUGCAUAUGUGUUCAUUUCUCAGAUCCAAAAAUGCUUAUAAAGUGUGCAGGUACCUGUAAUGAUAUUCUAAAUUGUGAGACUUGGAGGUGAUAAAGACUGCCGCUGUGUCCUUACCCCUAGAUUGUUGGAGAUUGCCAUCUGAAAAGAGGCUUUAUCUUGCUAGUUGAUGGGGACAAAUCUGUUAUUAAGUUAUCUGUUCACUGAUUGUGUUUUGAAGGCUGUAACAUGUUGUUCUUACCUUGAAGAUUGUUUGACUGUCUUGUUCUGUUUUGUUUCUUGAUGAAAUUAAGUAGAUUACUCUAUGGUAGUAGCUAUAGGUGGUUUGCUCAUCAUGACUUGCACUUAGGAGUGGAUUCUGCACUUGUUUAGUCAUCAAUCAUAAGAACAUUUCUUGUAAUACUGUAGAUCCUGUUUUGUUGCUAGGAAUUUUGCACUCCUGAAUCUGUGGGAACAUUUGAAAUGUUAUAAGCAAGUUAUGUUAUAUUCUAAUUUUGUUAAAAACAGAAUAGCCACAUUCAAAAUAAGUUUUUUGGAAAAUAUAGUUAGGUACAUGGAACCUAAUCAAAUAGCUGUGUAGUUUAAAUGUUCCUUUCCACAGUUUUAAUUUAUAGCAAGGCAGUAGAAUGAACUGGCAUUAAGCGAGAUCCUAUGCAACAAUAAUCUGGAUUUGCUGUAGCAGUCUGUGUACUGACUAUGUGUCUGAGGUGCUAAUAAGUUUUAAUCUCCACAUUCCUGGAGUGUGGCAAAAUGAAAAAGUUAGUAUAUUCUUUAAUACCUUAUAUUUUGGGUUUAUCUGUUUAUUUUUUUAAGCUUUUGUUUCUACCAUUUAUCAAUGAUUGAGAGAGUGGAAUUGAUUGAAGUAAGAAAGUUGUGCCGAGUAUGGUGAACUUAGCAACUCCCUUUGCAAUUGGAUUAAACUAAAUUAAUACUUAAGAAUUUUCUUCUCUUAAGUUGGAGUUUUAUAUUACCAGUACCCAAUUUUUCUUUGUAUUAUACUGCUACUCUAGGGCUUAAUGGCAUGUUUUCUGACUGAUAUUGAUGCUUUUUUGAUAGGUUGAGUCUAAGCUCAAAGAGACAACAACUAGGCUCGAACAGCAAUUGGCAGAGGAGCAAGCUGCUCGAUUAAAGGCAGAAGAGGUUGCACAAUUAGCUCAAAUGAAGUCGAAUGACGAAAUUCGUAAGCUUAGAGAGAAUCUUGAAAGAGCUCAGAGGGAGACAGAGGAGCUCCGUAAGCAAGCUGAAAAAGGAGGGUGUGCCAUUCUUUGACCUAAUCACCUGCUGGCACUAUAUACCAUUGGCAUGAAAAUCACCUAAAGUAUAUUUUUGCUGUCUCCCCUACCUUUUCAGAUAAUAUUUGAAGUUAAUACUGCAUUUAUUCUCAGUGUUUUACUACAGUCAAGAAGCUUGUAUCCUCUAUUAUGUAAAUGUUCCCAGUCCAAUCUCGAGUGCGGUCUUAAGAUAGUAUUAUAUGGAAAAAUUGAAUUGACAUCAAAUGAAGUUUCUUUUAUGGAGCCGUUUAGAAUCUUUUCUUACACGGUGAAUCCAAAGAGAUCUGAUUCCUUUUUCUCCUCACGCUAUCUUGUUUCCACAUUUGUAACAGAUACAACCCAAAAUACGCCCUUUUAACAAUCAAUGACUUUCCCAAAAACUCCAAGUCACUUGAGUUUACUUGUACCUUAACUUUUUUGUUUUCACUCUUCUAAUGUGAUAUUAGUUUGUAUAAAUAGUUUGUUUGUAUAGAAUUUACUCCUUUCAUACAACAGAGUAAUCCUAAUAUCCAAGAGACUUGCAAUAAAACCACCAAGCCUAUGACCCUUCUUUGAUUCACGCCAAACUUCAACCAGCUCAUAGCCUAGAUUUAUCAAGUAUAAUAUUUAUUUAUGCAUAUCUGACACAAUCUUUAUUUACCUUAUACAUAAUGCAAAUCCUUCGACAUCAUACAGCAUCAGUUUUAUAGAUAUUAAGUUUCAGCAUAAUAACUGGUCUCCCAAGGAGAAGAAGCCAAUGAUAAGUCAGCCUAAGUGAUUAGGUUACACAUAAACUAAUCCAGUUUCAUAUAUUGCUGGUUUCAAAAAUAGGUAUCAAGUAGCACACACAUUCAGUAGAUAAUGUAGUCUGAUCGUAGAUCUCGCACUGAGAUGCCACAAGCAUGAUAUCCAGCAUCUAGCUUACCUGCAAAUGGGAGAAAACAUUGAUGCACGCGCAACACGAGUGUGUAGAAAUGAAAUGUGAUGGGAGAAUUAAUUACCCGAGAUGGAGUAUCUUCUUGUCCGGGUGAGAGUAAGCAGUGUCACCACCCUCGAUGAUAGCAGGACUAAGGAAAUUCUGAUAAGCUAAUGCAUGGAUUGCAUUCAGCUCUUGCCCAGUCACCGUGUUUGCUUGCUGAAACCUCUCCAUUUCUGCUAUCUGAGUUUCAGAAACAAUGAAAUUUUAAUAACAUGCUGAAAUUUUGGAAGAGGGAGAGAAAAAAUGCAUUAUACAUACAACGGACUGAUUUGCAUACCUUUGAUCGGAGACACACGCUUUCAUUUUCCAGCUCAAUCUCCUAUGAAAAUGAAAAUGUUAAAGAGUUCCAUAAAAGCUUUGAAGAAAACGAAAAAAAGGCUAACCAGGAUUUAAUGAAUUUUAAUUAUUACCCUUUCUGCAAGAACUCAAUUUCAGCUAGAGGCAUUUCAUGCUGUUGCAAAAAACAGGAAACGCACAAAGCAACAAAUUAUUUUCAAAAUGACAUAAAUUACAUAUAUUGAAUGUAUAUAAAUAAAGUUUAUGCAAUGUAUUGUUGCAAAACAAUGGUGUAUUGCUCAAAUUCAAUUAUUUUUGUAUGCAUAGGACCUGAUCCUAGUGAUGCCUCGCUCAAGCCUGUUCUCCAGUUGCUUAAGCUCCUUUACAGUUAAAGAACUCAGAGAAUCACCCAUCAAAUGCCUAUAUGAAGAGUCAAGAGUGAGAUAACCAAUUGAAAAUUUAUUGAAAUUGUAUAUUUUGGAAUAAUUAAUUAACUACACUUAAUAUGAAAAUAAUUGUUGAUGAAAUAAUUGAAAAUACAUGUUAGAAUUCAGUGACAUUUGAAUUUGCUGCCGCAGCUUUGCUGACUCCUGCUGAUGGUACUGUUUCCAUGGGUCACAUGUAACGGGAGAAGUUAAAUUUUUAUUGGGAACUUUAUAUUUCAAUGCUAGCUAUGUGGUAAUAAAUGAUAAUUAGUUGGUUUUUUUUUUCACCUUUUCAUAAUAAUAUAUAUUCCUAGCAAAGCCUGAAUUUAUAGCUUAAAUUAAUGAAUUACUUACCUGAGCAUUGAUCUCAGUAACAGUGCCAGAAUUUAUUUAUUUUAUAGCUUAAAUUACAUACAUUUACACACGCGCGCGCGCGCGCGCACACACACACACGCUAGGAACAGCAGGUUAUAUUCAUCAAAUUCAUCUAAAAAUAACUAACUAACCAGAUAGCUCAGCUUUUUUUUUUUCCAACUGAAUUUCUGAACUUGGUAGAUUCUCUGCAGGUUUAGCAAUAACCUUCAGGAACUCCAGAUAAUCCGAGUCUUUAUUGUCCACAUCAAAACCAAAUACAGCUGAUUGCUACAGUACUUCUAAAAACAAUAAGAAGAUAAAGAAAAUAAAGGUAACUUUGAAAUUUAGUAGCUUAAGUGUACCGUAAAAGUCAUAGCAUUUCAACCUCAAAAGUACCCUAAGUUUUUUUUUUAAUAAAAAAAUUACCUUUAAAAAUGGUGCCUUCACGGCUAUCAUUUCUAGAACAAGGCUUGGGAACACGUUGAGAUGGAGCAUAUUCAACAACAGCCUUAAACUGAGCACCUAAUCGAGAAACCAAUAACACAUAUAAUCAACCAAACAGAAAGUGCCCUUUUGAUUUAAAACAACAUAAACUCAUUCUUACCAAAUUACGAUUGAUAAGUAAAAGCAAAAGUGUAAGUAAAAUUACCCUUUUCAUUAACAAACAGAUGUAUAUUCAACAACUCCGCAAACUCAAACACAUCCGCAUGCUUCUUCAAUUCUUCAUAUGCUUGUGAAUGCCUCUGAUGCUUGUAAUUGUUAAAAAACUAAAAUCCAAGUUAAAGUAAAAUUUCAAAAAAAAAAAGCCCAAAAAUCAAUCAAUUAUAAAAAAUAAAAAAAUAAAAAAAACCUAAAUUUUCUGGGGCAAAAGUAGAAUCAAUUGUAACGGUCAUUGAAGUGAUCGUGGAAAAGGGCUAACACGUCAUUUUGAGAGAGGGAAAGAGGCAAAUGACGAAUCAAUACUUUGGUUCUCUGCAAUGGCUCCUUCAUUUCAUCGCAUUCAAUUUGUUCCAUUUGUAUUGAAAUCGAAAAUCAAAAAAGAGUUUUGAUUAUUUUGUACCCUAAUUUUUUAUUUGGGUUGAGAAUGAAAUUGGAAUGUUGUUUAUUGGAAAGUUUUAGAUGCACGUAACUGUUGUGUUUUCCUCUAGAGGGGCCUCUGAGCACUCACAAACGGGAGAUUUACCCUUGGGAAACGUCGUCGUGUGGGCGUUCCCUAUGCGGGUAACACGUGUCAAUAAGUUAACGAGAUUCAUAUUUCCUUUCCCGGGGCAACAUCAAUUGAUAUUCCCUCCUUCCCUUCGUAUUACUUUUGGGGAGUCUAGGAAUGUUGUGGAGGCCGUACAGCAGAUAGUCCUCUAUUCAAAUCAAUAUAUACUAAUUAUUUUAGUAUUUUUUAAAAUAUUUAAUAAUUUUUUAAUAAUAUAGUUUUAUAUUAUUUUUAAAUAAAUUUUUAUUUCAUAUUUAUUAUAAAUUAAAUGAAUAAUACAAAUACAAAUAAAAAUAAAAUUUAAUUAUAAAAUAUUUUCUUGUACUUUUUGUUACUUUAAAAUAUUUUUCUUAUAAUGAAUGCAUAUAUUAUAGCUCCAAGAUAAGUUAUUAAGAAAAUUACUCAUUUGCCCUUUUUGUUUUAAUUUUUUUGGGGACGAAAGAGUUUUUAGAUAUUAUAAAAUCAGUAAGAAAUAAGUGAUAUAUAUUAGUUCCAAUAGAAAAAAAAAUUAACAACCUCCUUAAUAAUAAAAGUGACAAAAUAAUGAAAGGCAAAAGAAAGAAAUUGCAUGUUCAUUCAUCUUUUAGAUUCUUUUCUUCUCAACUUUGUAUUUAAACCCUUUUAAAUUCUUUUCUUCUCAACUUUCUAUUUAAUUUUUUUUACAUUCUUUACUUCUCAACUUUCUAUUUAAACUCUUUCAAAUUCUUUUCUUCAAACUCUUUUAGAUUCUUUACUUCUUAACUUUCUGUUUAAACUCUCUUACAUCCUUUACUUCUCAACUUUCUAUUUAAACUUUCUAUUACAUUCAUUAUUCAAUUUAUAAUUUUCAUACCUUAAAUCCUAAAAUUUAAGUCAAGUUUCUUCCCCUUUCUCAUCUCUUCGUACGCAACACAAUCUUUUUAGGUCUCCUCUCUUCGCAAGUAAGUAAAAUCUCAGUUCAUCGCAUCAUCUCACUGUUUGUUUUCAUACUUUGCUUUCUCCAAAUUGCCCUCGCCUUUUCCUCUCAAUCUCAAUUUUUAGUUUUUUUCUUUUGAUUAUAGACUAGAUUUUCUUUACUUUGGUUUGUAAAUUUUAUUGGAUGUACUGCAUAAUCAUGGGUGACCCAAUUAAGGCCCAUGAGGGGUUUUAGCCCCUUCUGAACCAUUAAUUUUUCUUUUAAAUGUACCCCAAGCCUUUUUUCAAAGAAUUAAAUAUUUUGCGAAACUACUUAGAAAAAUGAUACUUUCAUGCCUUUGAAAUAAAUAAUUUGUUACUAUUGUUAUUUAGAAUUUAAAAGAAAGUAAUGAAAUUUGAGUUUAUGAGACUUAAAAUGUAUGGUGUGAACAUUAAAAAAAAACCCAAAUUAAAUAAUUUUUUUUGAAUUAAGUCCCCUUAAUUGAAGUGUUUGGGUCCGCCACUGUGCAUAAUUCAUCAUCGUCAUUUUUUUUCAAUAAUUUCAUAAAACAAGCAGAAUUAAAUUAAAUUAUAUAUCAGCAUGAUUAAUUAAUUAACUGAUGCUGUUUAGAUUCUGAGCUUGAUUAUAUAUCAAUCCAUCAUAUUUUUAUUAAGAUUAUAAAUUUAACUAUAUCGUCGGGGUCCGAAUAAUUUUUAUUUUAAAUAUUUUUUUAAUGAAUUUAUUUAUGUUCGGUUGGAUAAUAUUUAAAGUAAUAACAAAUAUAAGUUUUAAUAGAGUGAAAUUGUAAGGGUAUGGUAACUAAAUUUUCUUUCUUAUUGUUUAACGAUAAAAAGUGAAUUCAAUGUGACGUGGUUUGAUACUGUAAAUGCAUUGCAGGUAAAUUGAAAUUUUUUUUAGGAUGGGAGAAAGAGUGAUUGAUGGCGAUUGGAAGCCUACUUCUCCAUCUAUUGGGGAGCGUACUGUAGUUUUACUUGGCCGUACUGGCAAUGGCAAAAGUGCGACGGGCAAUAGUAUUCUCGGAAGAAAAGCCUUCAAGGCGAGUGCUGGCUCGUCUGGUGUUACUAUAACUUGUGAAAUGAAGACAACCGUGCUCAAAGAUGGCCAAGUUGUUAAUGUCAUUGAUACCCCCGGUAAUUUACUAAUGUUGGUGCCUAGAUAUUCCAUUCCAUGCUUGUUGAUGUUGUGGUGGCAAGGAGAUUGAUGUUAUGAGCCAUUGCAGGGCUUUUUGAUUCUUCCGCUGGCUCUGAGUUUGUCGGCAAGGAAAUUGUCAAAUGUAUUGGUUUGGCCAAGGGUGGGAUCCAUGCAGUCCUUGUAGUUUUCUCUGCUCGAAACCGUUUUUCUCAAGAGGAAGAAGCUGCAGUACACCGUUUGCCGACCUUGUUCGGGAAAAAAAUUUUUGACUAUAUGAUUGCUGUUUUCACUGGAGGGGAUUAUCUUGAAGAUAAUGAGAAAACAUUAGAAGAUUAUUUGGGUCAUGAGUGUCCAAAGCCUUUAAAGGUUUGUUUCUGAACUGCAACAGUGUUCGAUAAUUUCAUUAGUCAUUUUGAUCAAGUUGUCUUUGGUUGGUUCUUUUGUGAAGUUUUAGACUCCUUUACGGUUGGACCAUUGGAAGUUUACUAUGAAUAUAUGCAUGCUGAAAAUACUAGAUAGGUGUAUAGUAGUCCAGCCGUCUUAAAAUUCCAUUUUCAAUAGGGCUUCAUUUCCUGAAUGGUUUUCUUCUGCCAUGCGGGAUAUGCCGGAGAGGUGAUUGGUUGGUAAUUUUCUGCUGGCAUUACUUAAUUUUAGUUAUAUUUUAAUGUCUUUGAAUGAGAUGUCAUUCAUUCAUUUGCUAAGCAUUUAUGCUUUUCUUAUUUGUAUUCUUUGAUUUCCUCUGCUAUUUAAUCUUGGUUCUUAUUCUAUUAACGUGUGUUCAUUCGUUUGUUUCUUAAAAUAUGUACCUCUUUGAUUUAUACGUGAGCUCCAUUUUAUUCGGCGUUGUUUGAAUAAAAUAUCAAGACUAACUUUACAAUAUUUAAAAUUCUCUUAAAAAUUCCUGUGGAUUCUAGCCUCAGAAUUGUUGUCUAAAAUUUCAAUGUGAGAUGUUUUUUCAGUUUCAACAUGCAAAUCUCUUAUUUUCAGAAUGUACUUGAUGAAUUUGGUUUCUAAAAUUUUUUAACUUGAGAAAGAUUUAUAUCAAGUUCUUCUAUUUUACUGCAUACUUGAUUUAACCUAUGAGGAGUGGGAAGAAAAAUAACAAAAAAGAAAAUAAAGACCCUUCAAGUUGUAGCUCUGCAAUUAACAAAAUCGGGUUAUUUUAAGGGAACUUUGUUUUACUUGUUGUACCAAUUUUUGUAGUUUGAAGGUAUCAAUUGUAGAUGCCACAAUUAGGUCAAUUAUGUAGAUGCCACAGAAAAUGUGAUCUUGCCUUUUGGCAGUUUUGAGCUUUGAUCACAAUAAUACAGUCUUUCAUGCUUUGUUCUAUAACGUAAGAAUUUGCCGAGUGAAGAGGCAGCUACUGCUUUGUAGCCACUAAUUUUGAUUGAGUCAAUGCUUUUCACGGGAAUAUAUGCAGAUUAUUAUUAUUAUUAUUAUUAUUAUUAUUAUUAUUAUUAUUAUUAUUAUUAUUAUUAUUAUUAUUAUUAUUAUUAUUAUUAUUAUUAUUAUUAUUAUUAUUAUUAUUAUUAUUAUUAUUAUUAUUAUUAUUAUUAUUAUUAUUAUUAUUAUUAUUAUUAUAUGGAAUGCUGAUCACCUUUUAAGGUCUUUAAAUUUGAUGGACGUAAGAGGUUAUGUAAGUGGUCAAACCAUAAGGAGAAUGGAAUUGAUUAUUAAAUAGUUUCUGAGGAGGCCUGAUAUUAAGUGCUUACGAUCACAAUAAAAACAAAUUUUGUCAGCUUAAUAUCCUCAAACUUUUAGAGACUACAAGUGUUUGAUUGGUUCAUCAAUGCUUACGAAAUGAGCUAACAUUUGCUUUAUUCCUGAUCAUUUUUCCAUUAUUUUAGGAAAUCCUUCAACUAUGUGAUAAUAGGUGCGUGCUUUUUGAUAACAAGACCAAGGAUGAGGCCAAGAGAACUGAGCAGGUUGAGAAGCUUCUUUCUCUGGUUAACUCUGUGAUCGAGCAUAAUGGUGGGCAGCCAUAUACGGACGAGCUCCUUGCUGAGUUGAAGGUGACUUCGUUACUGUCGCGAUUGACUUCUGUGCUGCUUCUUUCUGAAUAUGUCAUGACAAUAUCUCUUUUUCUUUUUUUUUUCUACUCAGAGAGGGGCUACUGAACUCCGUGAUCAACAAGCUGACGUUGAUUCUCUCAAGGAAUAUUCAAAACAAGAAAUUUCAAAGCUAAUGGGCCAGAUGCAGGAAUCAUAUGAAGAUCAAAUCAAACGAAUUACUGAGAUGGUAUUUUUUAUACUCCUUGUUUUGGCAUCAAAAUAUGACAUGCAUAUGUGUUCAUCUCUCAGAUCGGGUAAUCAUUUCUAAAACUGUGUAAUUAAAAAAAUGCCUACAAAGCGUGCAGGUACCUGUAAUGAUAUUCUAAAUUGUUAGAUUUGGAGGUGAUAAAGACUGCCGCUCUGUCCUUACCCCUAGAUUGCUGGAGAUUGCCAUCUGAAAAGAGGCUUUAUCUUGCUAGUUGAUGUGGACCUAUCUGUUAUUAUCUGUUCACUGAUUGCGUUUUGAAGGCUGUAACAUGCUGUUCUUAACUUGAACAUUGUUUGACCGUCCUGCUCUGUUUUGUUUGUUGAUGAAAUUAAGUGGGUUAUUCUAUGGUAGUAGCUAUAGGUGGUUUACUUAUCAUGACUUGCACUUAGGAAUGGAUUCUGCACUUGUUUAGUCAUCAAUCAUGAGAAUAUUUCUUGUAAAACUGUGGAUACUGUUUUCUUGCCUGAAUCUGUGGGAACAAUUGAGAUUAUGACAUAUUCUAAUUUCGUUAAAAACAAAAUAGCCACAUUCAAAAUAAGUUUUCAUGAAAAUAUAGUUAGGCACGUGGAACCUAAUGAAAUGGCUGCAUAGUUUUGAUUUUCCUUUCCACAGUUUUAAUUUAUAGCAAGGCAAUACAAUGAUUCGGAAUUAAGCCAGAUCCUAUUCAACAAGAAUCUGAAUUUGCUGGAACAUUCUGUGUAAUGACUAUAUGUCUGAGGUGCUAAUAAGUUUUAGUCUUCACAUUCCUGGAGUAUGGAAAAAUUAAAAAGUUAGUAGAUUCUUUAAUACUUUAUAUUUUGAAUUUAUGUGUUGAUUUUUUAAAGCUUUUGUUUCUACCAUUUAUCAAUGAUUGAGAGUCUGGAAUUGAUUGAAGUAAGAAUGUUUCGCCGAGUAUGGUGAACUUAGCAACUCCCUUUGCAAUUGGAUUAAACUAAAUUAAUACUCAAGAAUUUGCUUCUCUUAAGUUGGAGUUUUAUAAUACCAAUAACCAUUUUUUUUUUUUGUAUCAUGCUGCUACUCUAGGGCUUAGUAGCAUGUUUUCUGACUGAUAUUGAUGCUUUUUUGAUAGGUUGAGUCUGAGCUCAAAGAGACAACAACUAGGCUCGAACAGCAAUUGGCAGAGGAGCAAGCAGCUCGGUUAAGGGCAGAAGAGGUUGCACAAUUAGCUCAAAUGAAGUCGAUGAAAUUCAAGCUGGGAGUGCUGAGAAGGAGACUGCGGAGCGCCCUAAGAAACCUUAUAAUGGGGAUUGUGCCAGUUUUUGACCUAGUCACCUGCAGGCACAAUGUGCCAUCGGCGUGAAAAUCACCUAAAGUAUAUUUUCUUAUUGUGCCAUUCUUUGACCUAGUCACCUGCAGGCACAAUGGAAAAACCGUAUUGACAUCAAAUGAAGUUUCUUUUAUGGAGCCAUCUAGAAUCUUUUCUUACAUGGUGGAUUCAAAGAGAUCUGAUUCCUUUUCUCCUCAUUGAGCUCUUAACGAACGCUGUAUUGUGUCCACAUUUGUAGCAGAUACAACCCAAAAUGUGCCCUUCUAAUAAUCAUGACUUUCCCAAAAAUUCAAACAGACUAACAGAGCAAACCUAACAUCCAAGAGACUUGCAAUAAAACCACCAAGCCUAUGACCCUUCUUUGAUUCACACCAUACUUCAACUAGCUCAUGGUCUAGGUUUAUCAAGUACAAUAUUUAUUAUGAAUGUAUGACACAAUAUUUAUUUACCUUGUACAUAAUGCAAACCCAUCGACAUCAUACAGCAUCAGUUAAAUAGAUAUUAAGUUUCAGCUUGAUAACUGGUCUCCCGAGAAGAAGAUGCCAAUGAUAAGUCAGAGUAAGUAAUUAGGUUACACAUAAACUUAUCCGGUUUCAUAUAUUGCAGGUUUCAAAAAUAGGAGUCCAGUAGCACACACAUUCAGUAGAUAAUGAUAGGCUGAUCGUAGAUCUCGCAGUACGAGAUGCCACAAGCUUGAUCGCCAGCAUCUAGCUUACCUGCAAACGGGAGAAAACAUUGAUGCAUGCGCAACACGGUUUCGCAGAAAUGAAAUGUGAUGGGAGAAUUACUUACGCGAGAUGGAGUAUCUUAUUGUCUGGGUGAGAGUAGGCAGUGCCGCCACCCUCGAUGAUAUCAGGACUGAAGAAAUUCCGAGAAGCUAAUGCAUGGAUUGCAUUCAGCUCUUGCCCAGUCACCGUGUUUGCUUGCUGAAACCUCUCCAUUUCUGCUAUCUGAGUUUCAGAAACAAUGAAAUUUGAAUAACGUGCUGAAAUUUUGGAAGAGGGAGAGAAAAAAUGCAUUAUACAUACAACGGACUGAUUUGCAUACCUUUGAUCGGAGACACACGCUUUCAUUUUCCAGCUCAAUCUCCUAUGAAAAUGAAAAUGUUAAAGAGUUCCAUAAAAGCUUUGAAGAAAACGAAAAAAAGGCUAACCAGGAUUUAAUGAAUUUUAAUUAUUACCCUUUCUGCAAGAACUCAAUUUCAGCUAGAGGCAUUUCAUGCUGUUGCACAAAACAGGAAACGCACAAAGCAACAAAUUAUUUUCAAAAUGACAUAAAUUACAUAUAUUGAAUGUAUAUAAAUAAAGUUUAUGCAACGUAUUGUUGCAAAACAAUGGUGUAUUGCUCAAAUUCAAUUAUUUUUGUAUGCAUAAUGAAAUUAAUUAAUUACCUUCUUGGACCUGAUCCUCGUGAUGCCUCACUCAAGCCUGUUCUCCAGUUGCUUAAGCUCCUUUACACUUAAAGAACUCAAAGAAUCACGCAUCAAAUGCCAAUAUGAAGAGUCAAGAGUGAGAUAACCAAUUGAAAGUUCAAUUGAAAUUGUAUAUUUUGGCAUAAUUAAUUGACUAUGCUUAAUAUGAAAAUGAUUGUUGAUGAAAUAAUUGUAAAUACCAGUUAGAAUUCUGUAACAUUUGAAUUUGCUACCGCAGCUUCACUGAUUCCUGCUGAUAGUACCGUUUUCAUGGGUCAAAUAUAAUGGGAAAAGUUAAUUUUUUAUUAGGAACUUUAUAUUUCAAUGCUAGCUAUGUGGUAACAAAUGGUAACACUACUAGAAAAAUGGUCUUUACUGACUUUAGAAUAGUGUCAGAAAUUACUUUCACUGACACUUGUUAAUUAUGUCAGUAAUCUGGGAGUUAGAAAAAUAGUAACACUUGUAAGUGGUGUCAGUGAUUACUAUUACUACAGUAUCACCGAUAUUAUGACACCAUAAUGUUAGUAGUUAUUGAUAUUUUAUUAGUGUCUAUGAUUACUGUUACCAUGGUAUCACUAGUUAAUUUAUUUUUUAAAAAAUAAAAAAUUAAAUUGGAUCAUUGCCUAUUGAUUUAUUUGUAAAAUUAAAAGCACCACAAAAUAACAAAAAUAAAUUGAUUUAUAUCACAAAAUCUUUCAUUUCACAUUUAAAUAUUAUUAGUAUAUAUUACAAAUUGAACUUCAAUAGCCAAAAUAUGACAUAUCCUACUCUCAUAACUAAAUAAUCCAAAUUCAAUACAUAAAAAUUUUUAACAUCCAAUCAAAUGCGUACUACUUGUGGCUAAAUUUAAUAAAUCUAGAAGUUAAAUUGAGAAUGAUGACUAUCUUUCACACUUUGAAUAUGAGUAGUAUAAUUGCGUUAUCACACCAGCAGCUUCUCCAUUCAAUAGACUGAAUGGGUUAUGAUACAAGUGAAGUUGAGGAAUAAACACUUCAAACACAUUGAGCAAAUCUGCAUACAUCGAAAAGGGAGAAAAAAUUAGCUGCCAAUUCCCAACCAUUAGAGAAACAAUGGUUAGUAUAAAUAAAUCUAUUUUGUUCUAAAGAAAAAAUAUUCAUACACUAUUUAUAAGUAAACUCAAUUAUUUCAAAGAAAAAUUAGUGAACAAGGAAGUUGUAGUUUAUUUCCUUAAAAAUACCAAAGAAAUACAGUUUAUUCAACUACAGAUAUAAAUAAGAAAAAAGGGAGUCAAUGAUUAUUCUCUUUUGGUAAGGUUAUUUAUAAUAAGUUAAUGACUCUAAAUAGAGUAAGAACGAUAACUAGGUAAAAAUACAAUUACUUGUUGAAAAUUAGUCACUAGAUUCCCAGUAACUACAUCAUAAUGUUGAGCAAUUAAUUACUAAGGCAUCAGCCAAGUAGUUAGUGUAGGGGGACUGACUUCAUUCAUUCCCUUAAAGAAAUCCAAUAACCUUGCUACCUCCUUAUUUAUAUGCAUACUUCCAAUGUUUAAUUAUUUUGCUAUAGAGAAAGAAAGUUAAUAGAAAUGACAAACUGAUAGCGUUUCUGCAAUUUUCAGAUAAUCACACAGAGCAUUUCUUUUAUAAAUUAACCGUCUACUUGAUCGUAGCAGAGAAAAAAACACAAUAAAAGCUAAAUCUUUACCUUCUUGUUUCUUCCAAGUAGCCAAAGAAACAUAGAAGCUCUUCUCCAAGUCACUUAUUUAAACCUAAAAGAACAAUUAAAACAAAAAAAAAUCAAGAUCUAAUGACAAUAAGAGAGACCCGAAAUCAUAAAAUAAGAAAAGAAACAAGAAGUUAGGAUUUUGAAGGCAAAUGGUGAACCUGUGCCACCGGUUUGACAGGAUCAUGGCUGAGCACUUUUUGACAAUAUAUGUAUAUUUUUUUGGUAGGCAGCUAGUGCUAACCGCCUACUCAACAUUUAUAAUUCAGAGCAAGUUAUUCCAUCCUAGGCAACCACAGAAGCUCCAUCACAAAUAUUCCCCAAGUCUUUCAAGGAUCCAGAAACUAAAAUUACUUUUGGAACUCAAGAAGAGUGUGAAAAUAAUCGAAAUAAAAAGCUCUCAAGUGUGGAAAACUAGCAGAGAAACCAAGUUGCUUAAACUCUUGUUCAGUCCUGUGUUUACCUUUGGCCUUGUAGAUGGUCAUAACAAAAUGUCCCCUUCUAAGAGAGCACGAGUCCUCUGACUUUCGUUUGAAUCAUCAGGCAGCACAGGCUCGCAAGCAAUCAGUUUUCCUCCUGCCGGAAGAGCCUUGUAACAGUUCUCCAUUAUCAGCUUGCAUUCAUCAUCAGUCCAUGGAGUUAAAACCCACUGAAAAGAAAAGAGGCAAAUCAACCAAUUUUUUUUUUUUUUUUGCGUAUGUUAACAUUAGAAGCAUAAAAUCAAAAGAAAAGUAUAAAAGUAUGAAAGUAUAGUCUGUCAAGAAUGAUUUAUUUUGACAUUGGAAAAACAAAAUGAUAUUUAUCAGGAGGUGAAACAACUUAUAAAAAUACUCUAGCAUAUAACUUGAAACUUCACUAUGAUAGUUAUCAAUUUGAUUAGUUUCUCAAUUUGCAUUUUGUUCUUCCAGAUAAUGGUCAAAGGGUAGUGGAUUAACACGGAGACAACUAUUAACCAUGAUCUCCAUUUACAUGGUUAACACUAUUCAAAAUACACAACUAAGGGACAAGAUAUAUAUAACCUGCAAUUUAAUCCUCACCUAAUGGCUAAUAUUUUCUCAUCAGUAUAAUAGACUGAAAUGAAACCUAUCAUGUGUUCAACUAAUUUAAUUUGCAUCAAUCAAAACAACUUCUUUUUCUCCAGCUUUCUGUCUCCCCCGACACAUUCUAAAGUAAAUGAAGGCAGUAAAUAGGUGUUGUGGCAAAUAAUCCCAAACCUUCCAAAGUAAUGACCAUUGUUAGAUGACCAGCUCUGACAAUCGACGAUAUAUAGUAUAUUCCACAAGAAACUACUAGUUGUUAAGGAGAAAUUUUUAACUCAAACAGAGUUGUACAGCUAUGUGACUAGUGAGAGAGAGAAAGAAAGAAAGAAAGAAAGAGAAAUAAGCCAAACAUAUAAACAAGAAAUUUCAUAAUAGCUAAAAUCAUUUGCAGCAUGUAGGAUACAUAAUAGCUCAUAGCCUUCACUCUUACCUAAUCAAGGCCAACACCAUGAAUCUCCAUCAUUAUGAAAACAUAAAUCUCUAAUUUCACAUAGUCAAAGAAAAGAAAUAAAAUGUGAACUCAAAAGAACUCACCAGUGAUACUAUCUAGAAUAGUUAUAAACAUAUUACAAUAUAUCAACUGGAAAAAUAUUUUUCUGUAUAAAAAGCAUCUUCUAUAUAGCAAGGACAAUGCGUAUAUAAAAUGAUCCAACAAAUUGCACAAAAGUAUAGAAGUUUGGAAGAGUCCUUAUCAGGAUACAAGAAUCAGCAAUUACAUACCUCGAGCCCCUCAUCUUGCUCCCAAGCAAGGCCGGGACCAUUAUACAUAUUCUUGAUGAGCAGAGUUCACAAUUUAUCAGGGUAAAAAUGAACUCUGCUGCAUCUCUGACCAAACCGACAAGCUCCAGUCUUCAAAUGGAAAGGACAAUGAGCUUUAUCCUGCCAUAUAUAAUAAAAACAUGAUUGACCAUGAUAAACAUGCAAAUAUAAUAGAAAUGAAAUAUAAUACAGUAAUUGCAAAUUGAAAAUUUCAGAUAGAUAGAUUGAAAGAAAAGGCAUGCCUGUUCAGUUCCAAAAUUGGGCACUUGUUGAGCAACAGUCUCCAACGCCUGUUGUGCAUUCUGGUGAUCAGAAAAGGCUUCUGAUUGUCUGGGCAGAGGAUUUGAUGUAGGCUUAUCAACAUCUGUAAAGGAAGUAAUAACGUAGAAAGUUUAAUUUUUUCCAUAACCGAAGAGAAUGGGCAUCUUGAAGUAAAGUAGAAACAAGCCUAACAUAGCUGUCAAUAGAGUCAAAAUUACCUCUUUUUUACUUAGUGGGUUCGCAUCAUUCUUCGGAACUCUGACCUUUUUCUUCCUGAUAAUAAUCUCAUUUCCUUGCCAUAUAAUUUCUGCAGGCCCUUCUUCAACAUAUUCCCAAUCAUCAUCCUCAUCACAUUCAUUCUCCUUUCGCCUCUAAAUUCGCGAUGCUUCGAGAACACGCCAUAGUUGCUGAGCAAGCGGAGGAUACGUUGCAAGUUCUCGGCGUCCCCAUCGCCGGAUGGGAGGAUACGUGUCAAGAUCUGGGAGGCGGAGAGAGGGGUGUUGGCCCCACCUUGCCAGAUAGCAUCCGGUAUGUGGAGACGGAUGGCAGCGGUUAGAGACAUGGGAACACUUAUCAUGUUGGCCAGAUCCAUUAUGGCCAGUCUUACCUUCUUCCCGCCAUCUCUGCACUCGUUAUCUUCUAUUACUGCUUACUGACCUUUGAUUUCGCAGCACCAUGCCGGCCAAACAAAAAGAUAAGACCUGAGCACUUUUUGACAAUUUGGAUGUUAGGGAUUUUUCAGAUCUGGGGAGCUUAGGAGGGAAUGAAUACUUUGGUAGAGGGAGUUGAAAAGUUGUAUUUUGGAUAAGACAAGACUUGUCCAUUUGUUUUGUUUUUAUCCACUAAAAAAGCACAACUCUAAAAAAAAUUAAAAAUAAUUCGUAGCCUAGUGGCCUUUUGAUUCAAUGUAGAAGCUCUAGGUUUAAGAGGUCUUGGGUUCGAAUUCAGACUAAAACAAAAUUAAAAUGAUAAUUUUUAAUUGCUGAUACAUAAACGUCAGUGACCGCUAUUAUUAAAGCUAUUGAUACUUCAGUAUUAGUAAUUAGUGAUACAUAUUUGUUAAAUGCGGAAAAUGAUCCAAAUAUAUGUAUAUACUGACACUUUUAAAUAAAGUGUCAGACCACAAGUAUCGGUAAAGACUAUUUUUCUAAUAGUGUAAUUAGUUGGUUUUUUCUUUUUUUUUUCUUUUUUUUCACCUUUUCAUAAUAAUAUAUGUUCCUAGCAAAGCCUGAAUUUAUAGUUUAAAUUAAUGAAUUACUUACCUGAGCAUUGAUCUCAGUAACAGUGCCAGAAUUUAUUAAUUUUGUAGCUUAAAUUGCAUACAUUUAUGCACACACACACUAAGAACAACAUGUUAUAUUCAUCAAUUCAUCUCAAAAUAACUAACUAACCAGAUAGCUCAGCUUCUUUUCUUUCCAACUGAAUUUCUGCACUUGGUAGAUUCUCAGCAAGUUUAGCAAUAACCUUUAGGAACUCCAAAUAAUCCGGGUCUUUAUUAUCCACAUCAAAACCAAAUAUGACUUAUUAUUGCAAUACUUUUUUUUUUAACUGAUUAAGCAUCAGGUUACUGUAUUACACAGAGAUAUAUACAACUGCUAUGACUGCAGGUCAUUACACUGAUAUUUACAAUCAGAUAUAUAUAUAUGGGACUUACAUUAUUACAUUUUUAGUCUAUGAAGCACAUGCCCAACCAAAUACCCCUUACGGAGGAGGGAUGUCUCUACUCCACUCGCAUUUCGCAAGGGAGAAAGACAUUAUAAGUAGUCUCCACACAAUUAUAUUUAAUUGAAGGAGGUUGAGUCUGUAGGGACUCGAACCAUUGCCCUCAUAGUCAUGUUUAACUUUGAGGGCAAUGGUUCACCACUGGGCUACAAGCCCAAGUGGCAUUACUGCAGUACUUCUAAAAAUAAUAAGAAGAUAAAGAAAACAAAGGUAUUCUUGUAAUUGCUGUGCUUUUACUUAACUUUGAUAUUUAGCAGCUUAAGUGUACAGUAAAAGCCACAGUACUUCAACCCCAAAAGUGCCCUAAGUUUUUUUUUUUAAAUAAAAAGAAUCACUAUAACAUAUGCACUUUAAUUUUCCUAAUUAAGUGUAUUAUUUAAUUUUUUCCCUUCGAUAUUAAUUUUAAAUUUGUCAUGACAUAAAAUUGAGACAAUUCAAACACGAUUCAAUGGCCGUGUAGUUGGAUUUUAUUUCAACACGUGUCCAGCAUUAGCUUAAUUAGUAGUAAUCUUUAAAAAAAAUUAAUUUCUAUAAAUGGAAGGGAGGGAACUAAUUUUCAAAAGAGAAAAGAGAGAGGGGCACGCGAGAGAGAAGGAGAGAGAGAGAGAGAGAAAUUGACCCGUUUAGCCCGACUCGACCCACGAGACCAACCCGGGUCCAACUCUCGUUUCCAGCCACCGUUCCGGUCAAGCUUGGUACUGAUCUGAAGCUUGAGUGACGCCGGUCAAAUCCCCGCUGUCAUCGUCACUGGAAAACAGCCAGAACGCCGGUGAUUGAAGCUUGAAAGACCGCGGCUCAAUCCAUUUUCGUCGCCGUCAAUCUCGCCAGAAUUAGGUUGCACCACCGGCUGCUUUCGAUUCCUAUCACCAGCUUUUAUUUCCGACCAACCUCGCCACCUGAAACUUCCGUUUUGGCUGUGAACGACCGCUAGAAAGCUCACAGCUUUGGGAGCACGAUUCGCCGCCAUUGCCGCACGUGGAAGGUCACCGCCAGCACCAUUGGACUCAUCGAGAUCAGAACUAUCAGACUUGAGCUUCCCGUCACCGUUAGCUGAAUUCCGGUCACCGUUGACCGGUGGGGGCAUUUCGGUAAUUUCACAAGACUUUAGGGGGAAUUUGUAAUUUGUGGAAUCGGUGGAUAAUUUGGUAAUUUUAGGUUAGGGCAGUGAGGUAAUUUGAGACUUCAAGGGUAAUUCGAUAAUUUAAAUUAUUAACGACAUUAUGGUAAUUUCGCACUUUGAGGGUAAUUUCGUAAAUUCAAAACUUGUGAUUAAUUUUGUUAUCUGAAUUGAGGACAAUUUGGUAAUUUAAGAUGUUAAGGAUGAUUCGAUAAAUUAUGAUUUCGAUGGUAAUUCGGUAAAUUUUGGUGUCAAGGGCAUUUUGGUAAUUUUUGGACAUAAGGAUAAUUUUGAAAUUUUAUGUAUCCGGGAGUUUGAUUUUGAGCUUUAUUACGUACUGUUAGUCGUACUUCAUGAUACAAAUAAUAAUUAUGUCGUUUAUUUAAUUAGGAGGACCCACGAGCGAGAAUCAACCCGCGGACGUUUAUAGUACCGAGUCUGGAUAUCGUCACUGUGAGUGGAAUAUACAAAAUUUAUUUUCAUAGUAUAUUCUAAUUUUACCAUACAGUACAACAUAUUUUGAUAAUAAGUAUUUGAUGCUUCGAUUUAAUGAUUUUCUAGAAAAUUAAAAUUUAUUCUACGUGCUGAUAUUUAUUAUUAUUAAAAAUGAGUUUGAUUAAUGAUUUUAUUAUCAUUUUUUGAGAAAAUGCAUAAUAUUAGAAUUGAGUGGAUUUGAGAUAUAUUGAAUAAAAAGGAAAUGAGAUUUCAAAUGUGAUUACAUGUUUAUGUACAUGUGUAUAAAAGGUUGUUUGGAAAAUCAUUGGACAGUACCCUUCCCCUUCAGAUACAGAGAUACAUAUAAUAUGAGAUGAAUACAGUGAUAUAGAUGAUAUGAGAUGAGAGGCCUUUGGGGUCGUCUGAACACACAUAAAGGCUUUGGGCCGUGUGUUUGGGCGCUUUUGCCUUUUGGGGGCUUAUGCAUGCAGUAUGAUGAUUACAAAGAUACAUAUGUUGAGAUAUAUGAGAUAUGAGAUGACAUUUUCUAGUCUAUCCAUUGUAGCUCCGGUAUGAUGGUUCCUUGAUUGCCCGUCCGUCGAGGUCCGGAUAUGAUGAGAUUAUUCCCCUAGGUACUUGUUUGGUGAUAGUUUUUGGUAUUAAGUAUUUGAUAUUAUAAGUAUUAUGAUUUCAUUGAUUUUAUGCAGAUUUAUGUAAUACUGUUAUUUCAGUGCAUGAUUUGAAUUAAAUAAGUUUAUGUAAGUUCUUAUGAUAUUUUGAUGAAAUUAAUUUGGAAAAGAUUAAAUCAUUUUAAAUAAAUUUAUUUUUUCAAAAACUAUUAUCCACUCACUGAGCUUACUGAGUUUUAUACUCACUCCAUUUUUAUUAUAUUCCCCCUCCCCCCACAGGAGAUUUGCAGGUACAUCAGUGACCCAGUAAUGAUAGUUAGAUUGAAAUUAUGGCCACGUGAUGAUGUUAGGAAUCAUAGAUGUUUUGUUGAGACAUUUUGAAUUGGAUAAUUUAUUACUUAUUUGUGAUUAAGGAUAAACUAUUGUAUUCUUAACAUUAUAUGUUUGAAGGAUACUGGUAUUUAAAUUGAGGAAGUUGGUUGUGGAGGUUGAUUAAAUAUUGUAUUAUUUUUUGGGAGUGUUUAUUGUAUAAAUUGCAGAUUUGGGGAUGUCAUAAUUAUAUAGGAGACUUUGUCGCAUUUUUGGUAGAAUUCUUAGAUAUCAGAAUUAUUAUUAAUUUGAUCAAUUGAGAUUAGAUAGACUCGUCUUGGAAAUUCGAGGCGGAUCGUUUCAAUUACCUUUAAAAAUGGUGCCUUCACGACUACCCUUUCUAGAACAAGGCUUGGGAACAUGUUGAGAUGGAGCAUAUUCAACAAUAGCCUUAAACUGAGCCCCUAAUCAAGAACCCAAUAACACAUAGAAUUAACCAAACAGAAAGUGCCCUUUUCAUUUGAAACAACAUAAACACAUUCAUACCAAAUUAAGAUUGAUAAGUAAAAGCAAAAGGGUUAGCAAAAUUACCCUUUUUCAUUAACAAACACAUGUCCAUUCAACAACUUAGCAAACUCAAACACAUCCUAAAUUUUCGGGCGAACGCGGAACCAAUUGUAACCGUCAUUGAAGUGAUCGUGGAAAAGGGCUAAAAGGUCAUUUUGAGAGAGGGAAAGAGACAAAUGACAAAUCACUACUUUGGUUCUCUACAAUGGCUCCGUCAUUUCAUUGCAUUCAAUUUGUUCCGACUGUAUUGAAUUCAAAAAAUUGAAAAAGAGUUUUGACUACUUUGUACCCUAAUUUUCAAUUUGGGUUGAGAAUGAAAUUGGAAUAUUGUUUAUUGGAAAGUUUUGGACACACAUAACCGUUGUGUUUUCCUUUGGAGAGGCCUUUGAGCACUAACAAGAUUCAUUUUUCGUUGCCCGGGACAAAGGGCAAUUGACAUUCCUCAUUUCCCUUAGUAUUUACUUAUGGGGAGUUUAGGCCAUCUCCAAUGUGACAUCAAAACUAACAGCAAAUCACCUUUUACAUUAUUUUUGGUGUACAAUGCUUCUCCAAUGUAACACCAAAACCAACACCAAAAUGAUGUUUGAAUAGUAUUGCACCAAAAAUGGUGCAAUACUAUUCAUUUGGUGCUAGGAAAAAAAGUCCCAAAUAUUAAGAUGAAAAUUUUAUAUUUCAAGCAGUUCUUUUUUCACUUACUGCUGUACGGCCAAGGCGGAUGUACGGUACAGCAGAUAAUAUUUUAAGUUAUUAUUAUUAUUUUUGUUAUUAUUUUUAUUUUAUUUUUAAUUUUUGAAUAUUAUACUAAUAUUUUAAAUAAAGAAAUAUUCAACAAAAAAAUUAAUAAUAAAAAUAAAAUUCCAAUAACAUUAAUUACUAGAUUACAUAUUACAAAGUUAAAAAUACAAAAUUAAAUUAACACAAAAUUAAAAAAGCUACUACUACCAGCAUAAAUUAGAACAAUUAUUUAAUAAUAUGGGAGAUCAUUAUUAGAUCUUCCAAUAUCAUCAAAAUAUUGGCCAAUAUUAUUGGAAAUAUUUUGAGAUGCUUGGCCUUGCGGAGACCUUCUCUGCAAAAUCUUAAUUUGUUCAUUUUGAAAAUAUUGACGUAAGCUCGAAUCACUUAUCGAAUUUAAAUCUUGAAGUAAAAUUUUGUUUUCUUCACGAUAUGUGACCAUCUCCAAUUUUUUUUCUCAUUUUGGGCUCGUAUCAUUUGAAUUUGAUAAUUUUGUUGCCUAUCUUCACUGCCUUUUUUGAGAAUUUCAUAUAGUCAUCGAUGGUCUUCUUUAAUAGUAUCAAUAACUAGUGAAUUUUGAUCUUCAACUUUCCUUUUUCCUUUUGCCUUCAGAAUGUCUCGAAGUUUAUUCAGUCGUAUUACUAAUGCCGUGCAAGGUCAUGACAACUAUUUUAUGUAGCGAAGGGAUGGCGUUGGCAGACUUGGGUUAUCUGGUCUUCAAAAUAUCACUGCCGUAUUUAGGAUGUUGGCAUAUGACAUGCUAGCAGAUGCUAUUGAUGAGUAUAUUAAAAUUGGAGAGUCUACAACAAUUGAAAGUUUGAAGAGGUUCUGUCGUGCAAUUGUGGAAGUUUUUGCAAAGCAACAUCUUAGAUCACCCAACGCUAAUGAGGUCGCCAGGCUACUCCAUGUUGGUAAAGAACGUGGUUUUCCAGGAAUGUUAGGUAGCCUAAAUUGCAUGCACUGGAAGUGGAAAAAUUGUCCAACAGCUUGGGCUGGACAAUAUGCUGGUCGUAGUGGAACCCCAACUAUUAUUUUGGAGGCUGUAGCUAAUUAUGAUCUUUGGAUAUGGCAUGCACAUUUUGGUUUGCCUGGUUCAAAUAAUGAUAUUAAUGUGUUGGAGGCAUCCUAUCUUUUUGCCAACCUCGCUUCAGGUAUUGCUCUUCCUGCUCAUUAUGUUAUUAAAGGGAACGAAUAUAAUAUGAGUUAUUAUUUAGCUGAUGGUUUCUACCCAAAAUGGUCUACUCUUGUACAAACUAUCAAUGAUCCAUGUGGUCAUAAAAAAACAUUAUUUGCCAUGAAACAAGAAGCAUGUCAGAAAGAUGUAGAACGUGCAUUUGAAGUCCUUCAAUCACGUUUUGCAAUUGUUGCUGGACCAUCACGCUUUUGGAACAAACAUGUGUUACAUGAUAUAAUGAUUGCUUGCAUUAUUAUGCACAAUAUGAUAAUUGAAGAUGAACGUAAUGUUAAUGCAACAAUUAAUGAUUGGAUGUAAGCACCAAUACCAACAAUUGAUAUGAGGGUAGAUGAGAGUACUAGAUUUCAAGAAUUUAUUGCUCGACACAAAAAAAUCAAGGAUAAAGAGGCUCACCUUAUACUCCGAAAUGCACUAAUUAAUCAUUUAUGUGAUGAAUUUAGUAAUUCGAAUAACUAGAGUAUUAUUAUUGUUAUCGUAUUUUUUUAUAUUAAUGUAAUGUUUAAUUUUCAUAAUGCACUAAUUUAGUUAAUUAAAGGCAAAUUUAAUAAUUUUCUAUUUUUUUUGUUAAUCGAUAUAAAAUUACUUAAUACUUAAUCUAUAUUAAUAGUAAUAUUUAGUGUGUUAAUUGAAUUAAUUCUUGAGAAUUAAAAGAAGAAAAAGAAGAAUAUUCUUUUUGGUAUAAAAUUUGGUGCAAAUGGGUUGGAGAUGAAAUAGUAAUUUGGUGUGAAAAAAGUAAAUUUUUGGUGUUGGUGUUACACCAAAAUGGUGUUAAAGCAUUGGAGAUGCCCUUAGGGGCCUUGACGUAUAAAAUGACCAAGAAGCCCCUAUGUAGUAUGAAUAUGCUGAUUUAAUAAAGAAAGAUGAUCAAUAAUAUUAAUAAUGGGAAAUUGUAAGCUCUCCUUUAUACAAAUCAAUAUAUAUUAAUUACUUUAGUAUUGCUUUUGUAAUGCACACUAGUUUUUUAUUAGUAUAAUUUUAUAGAAUAAUUUUUAUUUUUAAAUAAAUUUUUAUUCAUAAUUAUCAUAAAUUUAAUUUUUUAUUAGUAUAAUUUUUAUUUUUAAAUAAACUUUUAUUCAUAAUUAUUAUAAAUGAAAUGAAUUUUUUAUAUUAUAAAACUAGUAAUAAAUAAGUGAUAUAUAUUAGUUCUAAUAGAAAAAAAAUUAACAACUUCCUUAAUAAUAAAAGUGACGAAAUAAUGAAAGGCAAAAGCAAACUCUUUUAGAUUCUUUUCUACAUCUCAACUUUCUAUUGAAAAAAGUAAAUUUUUGGUGUUGGUGUUACACCAAAAUGGUGUUAAAGCAUUGGAGAUGCCCUUAGGGGCCUUGACGUAUAAAAUGACCAAAAAGCCCCUAUGUAGUAUGAAUAUGCUGAUUUAAUAAAGAAAGAUUAUCAAUAAUAUUAAUAAUGGGAAAUUGUAAGCUUUCCUUUAUUCAAAUAAAUAUAUAUUAAUUACUUUAGUAUUACCUUUAUAAUGCACAAUAAUUUUUUAUUAGUAUAAUUUUUAUUUUUAAAUAAACUUUUAUUCAUAAUUAUUAUAAAUGAAAUGAAUUUUUUAUAUUAUAAAACUAGUAAUAAAUAAGUGAUAUAUAUUAGUUCUAAUAGAAAAAAUAUUAACAACUUCCUUAAUAAUAAAAGUGAUGAAAUAAUGAAAGGCAAAAGAGGGAAAUUGCAUGUUCAUUCCUCUUUUAGAUUCUUUUCUUCUCAACUUUCUAUUUAAACUCUUUUAUAUUCUUUACUUCUCAACUUUCUAUUUAAACUCUCUUAUAUUCUUUUCUUCAAACUCUUUUAGAUUCUUUUCUACAUUUCAACUUUCUAUUUAAACUCUCUUAUAUUCUUUUCUUCAAACUCUUUUAGAUUCUUUUCUACAUUUCAACUUUCUAUUUAAACUCUCUUAUAUUCUUUUCUUCAAACUCUUUAGAUUCUUUUCUACAUCUCAACUUUCUAUUGAAACUCUCUUACAUCUUUUAUUUCUUAACUUUCUAUUUAAACUCUCUUACAUCCUUUACUUCUCAACUUCCUAUUACAUUCAUUACUCAAUUUAUAAAUUUCAUACCUUAAAUCCUAAAAUUUAAAUCAAGUCUCUUCCCCUUUCUCAUCUCUUCAUACGCAAUGCAAUCUUUUUUGUUCUCCUCUCUUUGCAAGUAAGUAAAAUCUUAGUUCAUCGCAUCAUCUCACAGUUUGUUUUCAUACUUUGCUUUCUUCAAAUUGCCCUCGCAUUUUCCUCUCAAUCUCAAUUUCUGGUUUUUUUGUUUGUUGUAGACUCGAUUUUCUUUACCUCGGUUUGUAAAUUUUAUCGGAUGUAAUGCAUAAUCAUGGGCGACCCAAUUAAUGCCCAGGAGGGGCUUCAGCCCCUUUUAGGCCAUUAAUUUUUCUUUUAAAUGUACCCCACGCCCUUUCUAAAAGAAUUAAAUAAAAAAAUUUGGACACAUAUUUUAUGUAACAAAAGACUUAUGGUUCAAUGAUAAGAGUGCUAUUUGAUGGUUUUAAAGUCCUGGUUUAAAUCCCAAUAGCCACAUUAUUUUGUUUCUUUUUAUAAAUAGUUUUUGAAAAUUACUUAGAAAAAUGAUACUUUUAUGCAUUUAAAAUAAAAAGUUUAUUACUAUUAUUAUUUAAAAUUUAAAAGAAAAUAAUGAAAUUUGAGUCUAUGAGAUUUAAAAUGUAUUCAUGUGAACAUUAAAAAAAAACCCCAAAUUAAAUAAAAUGUUUUGAACUAAUCCCCCUAAUUUAAGUAUCUGGGUCCGCCACUAUGCAUAAUUGAUCGUUGUCGUUUUUUUUUCAAUAAUUUCGUGAAACAUGCAUAAUUAAAUUAAAUUAUACAUCAGCAUAAUUAAUUAAUUAACUGAUGCUGUUUAGAUUCUGUGCUUGAUUAUAUAGCAAUUCAUCAUAUUUUAUUAUGAUUAUAAAUUUAACUAUAUGGUCGGGGUCUGAGUGAUUUUUAUUUUUAAUUUUUUUAAUGAAUUUAUUCAUGUUCCGUUGGAUAAUAUUUAAAGUAAUAUCAAAUAUAAGUUUUAAUGGAGUGAAAUUGUAUGGGAAUGGUAACUAAGUUUUCUUUCUUAUUCUUUAAUGAUAAAAAUUGAAUUCAAUGUGAAAGUGGUUUGAUAUUGUAAAUGCAUUGCAGGUAAAUUGAUUUUUUUUUUAGGAUGGGAGAAAGAGUGGUUGAUGGCGAUUGGAAGCCUACUUCUCCAUCUAAUGGGGAGCGCACUGUGGUUUUACUUGGCCGUACUGGCAAUGGCAAAAGUGCGACGGGCAAUAGUAUUCUCGGGAGAAAAGCCUUCAAGGCGAGUGCUGGCUCGUCUGGUGUUACUAAAACUUGUGAAAUGAAGACAACCGUGCUCAAAGAUGGCCAAGUUGUUAAUGUCAUUGAUACCCCCGGUAAUUUGCUAAUGUUGGUUCCUAGAUAUUCCAUUCCAUGCUUGUUGAUGUUGUGAUGGUAAGUAGAUUGAUGUUACGAGCCAUUGCAGGACUUUUUGAUUUGUCUGCUGGCUCUGAGUUUGUCGGCAAGGAAAUUGUCAAAUGUCUCGGUAUGGCCAAGGAUGGCAUCCAUGCAUUCCUUGUAGUUUUCUCUGUUACAAACCGUUUUUCUCAAGAGGAAGAAACUGCAGUACACCGUUUGCCGAACUUGUUCGGGAAAAAUGUUUUUGACUAUAUGAUUGUUGUUUUCACUGGAGGGGAUGAUCUUGAAGAUCAUGAGAAAACAUUAGAAGAUUUUUUGGGUCAUGAGUGUCCAAAGCCUUUAAAGGUUUGUUUCUGAACUCUUAUAGUGUUCGAUAAUUUCAUCAGUCAUUUUGAUCAAGUUGUCUUUGGCUGGUUCUUUUGUGAAGUUUUAGACUCCUUUACGGUUGGACUAUUGGAAGUUUAAUAUGAAUAUAUGCAUGCUGAAAAUACUAGAUAGCUUUAUAGUAGGCCAGCCGUCUUAAAGUUCCAUUUUCAAUGGUGCUUCAUUUCGUGAAUGGUUUUCUUCUGCCAUGCGGGAUUGGCCGGAGAGGUGAUUGGUAAUUUUCUGCUGGCGUUACUUAAUUUUACUUAUACGUUAUUGUCUUCGAAUGAGAUAUCAUUCAUUCAUUCGCUAAACAUUUUUGCUUUUCUUAUUUGUAUUCUUUGAUUUCCUCUGCGAUUUAAUCUUGGUUCUUAUUCUAUUAAGGUGUGUUCAUUUGUUUGUUUCUCAAAAUAUGUACCUCUUUGAUUUAUACGCUCAAAAUUAACCUACUUUUAAGAUUUUAAAAGUGGCCCAAAGAGGAUGUGACUUGCUAUACAGGUCCAUUUUAUUCGGCGUUAUUUGAAUAAAAUAUCAAGACUAACUUUACAAGAUUUAAAAUUCUCUUAAAAGUUCAUGUGGAUUCUAGGCUCAGAAUUGGUGUCUAAAAUUUCAAUGUGAGAUCUUUUUCAAGUUUCAACAUGCAAAUCUCUUAUUUUCAGAAUUUACUUGAUGAUUUUGGUUCCUAAAAUUUUUUAACUUGAGAAAGAUUUAUAUCAAGUUCUUCUAUUUUACUGCAUACUUGAUUCAACCUAUGAGGAGUGGGAAGAAAAAUAACAAAAAUGAAAAUAAAGACCCCUUUAAGUUGUAGCUUUGCAAUUAACAAAAUCCGGUUAUUUUACAGUUAAAGGGAACUUUGUUUUACUUAUUGUACUUAUUAUUAUUAUUAUUAUUCCUACUACUACUACUUAUGUUAUAUGGAAUGCUGAUCACCUUUUAAGAUUUUAAAAUUUGAUGGACGUAAGAGGUUAUGUAAGUGGUCAAACCAUAAGGAGAAUGGAAUUGAUUAUUAAAUAGUUUUUGAGGAUGCCUGAUAAUAAGUACUAACGAUCACAAUAAAAAAAAAUUUUGUCAGCUUAAUAUCCUCAAACUUUUAGAGACUACAAGUGUUUGAUUGGUUGAUCAAUGCUUACCGAAAGGAGCUAACAUUUGCUUUAUUCCUGAUCAUUUUCCAAUUAUUUUAGGAAAUCCUUCAACUAUGUGAUAAUAGGUGCGUGCUUUUUGAUAACAAGACCAAGGAUGAGGCCAAGGGAACCGAGCAGGUUCGGCAGCUUCUUUCUCUGGUUAACUCUGUGAUCGUGCAGAAUGGUGGGCAGCCAUAUACGGACGAGUUGAAGGUGACUUCAUUACUAUCGGGAUAGACUUCUGUGCUGCUUCUUUCUGAAUAUGUCAUGACAAUAUCUCUUUUUCUUUUUUUCUACUCAGAGAGGGGCCACUGAACUCCGUGAUCAAAAAGCUGAGGUUGAUUCUCUCAAGGAAUAUUCAAAACGAGAAAUUUCAAAGCUGAUGGGCCAGAUGCAGGAAUCAUAUGAAGAUCGAAUCAAACGAAUGGCUGAGAUGGUAUUUUUUAUGCUCCAUGUUUUGGCAUCAAAAUAUGACAUGCAUAUGUGUUCAUCUCUCAAAUCGGGUAAUCAUUUCUCAAACUGUGUAAUUAAAAAAUGACUAUAAAGCCUGCAGGUACCUGUAACGAUAUUCUAAAUUGUUAGACUUGGAGGUUGUAAAGACUGCCGCUCUGUCCGUACCCCUAGAUUGUUGGAGAUUGCCAUAUGAAAAGAGGCCUUAUCUUGCUAGUUGAUGUGGACAAAUCUGUUAUUAUUUGUUCACUCAUUAUGUUUUGAAGGCCGUAACAUGCUGUUCUUACCUUGAAGAUUGUUUGACGGUCCUGCUCUGUUUUUUGUUGAUGAAAUUAAGGUGGUUUACUAAUCAUGACUUACACUAAGGUGGAUUCUGCACUUGUUUAGUCAUCAAUCAUGAGAACAUUUCUUGUAAUACUGUGGGAACAAUUGAAAUGUUACGAGCAGGUUAUGUCAUAAUUUAAUUUUGUUAAAAAUAGAAUAGCCAUAUUCACAAUAAGUUUUUAUGAAAAUAUAGUUACGCACGUGAAACCUAAUCAAAUGGCUGCGUAGUUUUGAUUUUCCUUUCCACAGUUUUAAUUUAUUGCAAGGCAAUAGAAUGAUUCGGCAUUAAGCCAUAUCCUAUUCAACAAUAAUCUGGAUUUGCUGUAACAUUCUGUGUAAUGAUUAUAUGUCGGAGGUGCUAAUAAGUUUUAUUCUCGACAAUCCUGGAGUAUGGCAAAAUGAAAAAGUUAGCAGAUUCUUUAACACUUUUAUUUUGGAUUUAUGUGUUUAUUUUUUUAAGCUCUUGUUUCUACCAUUUAUCAAUGAUUGAGAGUGGAAUUGAUUGGUCAUAAAGUUGUGCCGAGUAUGGUGAACUUAGCAACUCGCUUUGCAAUUGAAUUAAACUAAAUUGAUACUUAAGAAUUUUUUUCUCUUAAGUUGGAGUUUUAUAUUACCAAUAUCCAAUUUUUUUGUAUUGUGCUGCUACUCUAGGGCUUAGUGGCAUGUUUUCUGACUAAUAUUGAUGCUUUUUUGAUAGGUUGAGUCUGGGCUCAAAGAGACAACAACUAGGCUCGAACAGCAAUUGGCAAAGGAGCAAGCUGCUCGAUUAAGGGCAGAAGAGGUAGCACAAUUAGCUGAAAUGAAGUUAAAAGACGAAAUUCAAUCUCGAAGUACUGAAAAGGAGACUGCGGAACCCCCUAAGCCAUCUGAAAAUCCUCCGCCGGAGCCCCCUAGGCCACCUGCAAGUCCUCCGCGGGAGCCCCCCAGGCCACCUGCAAGUCCUCCGCCGAAGCCCUCUAGCACAUCUGAUGGGUGGUGUGCCAUUAUGUAAAUGUUCGCAGUCCAGACGCUUAUAUCUUCUGUUAUGUAAAUGUUCACAGUCCAAUCUCGAGUGCGGUCUUAAGAUAGUACUACAUGAAAAAACGGUAUUGACAUCAAAUGAAGUUUCAUUUAUGGAGCCAUCUAGAAUCUUUUCUUACACGGUGGAUCCGAAGAGAUCUGAUUCCUUUUCUCCUCAUUGAGCUCUUAACGAACGCUAUAUUGUUUUCACAUUUGUAGCAGAUACUACCCAAAAUGUGCCCUUCUAACAAUCAUGACUUUCCCAAAAAUUCAAACCGACUAACAGAGUAAUCCUAAUAUCCGAAAGACUUGCUAUAAAACCACCAAGCCUUUGACCCUUCUCUGAUACGCACCAUAGUUCAACUAGCUCAUAAUGCAAAUCCUUCGACAUCACACAGCCUCAGUUUUGAAAGUUUUAUAGAUAUUAAGUUUCAGCAUAAUAACUGGUCUCCCAAAGAGAAGAUGCCAAUGAUAAGUCAGCCUAAGUAAUUAGGUUACACAUAAAUUCAUCCAAUUUCAUAUAUUGCUGGUUUCAAAAAUAGGUAUCAAGUAGCACACACAUUCAGUAGAUAAUGAUAUUCUGAUCGUAGAUCUCGUACUGAGAUGCCACAAGCUUGAUCUCUUGCAAACGGGAGAAAACAUUGAUGCACGCUCAACACGAGCUCAUAGAAAUGAAAUGUGAUGGGAGAAUUAAUUACCCGAGAUGGAGUAUCUUCUUGUCCGGAUGAGAGUGAGCAAAGCCGCCACCCUCGAUAAUAGCAGGACUGAAGAAAUUCCGAGAAGCUAAUGCAUGGAUUGCAUUCAGCUCUUGCCCAGUCGCCAUGUUUGCUUGCUGAAACCCUUCCAUUUCUGCUAUCUGAGUUUCAGAAACAACGAAAUUUUAAUAACGUGCUGAAAUUUUGGAAGAGGGCGAGAACAAAUGCAUUAUACAUACAAAGGAUUGAUUUGCAUACCUUUGAUCGGAGACGCACGCUUUCAUUUUCCAGCUCAACCUCCUAUGAAAAUGAAAAUGUCACAGAGUUCCAUAAAAGCUUGGAAGAAAACGAAAAAAAAGGCUAAACAGGAUUUAAUGAACUUUAAUUAUUACCCUUUUCUACAAGAACUCAAUUUUAGGAAACAGACAAAGCAACAAAUUAUUUUCAAAAUGACAUAAAUUACAUAUAUUGAAUGUACAUCGAUAAAGUUUAUGCAAUGUAUUGUUGCAAAACAAUGGUGUAUUGCUCAAAUUCAAUUAUUUUUUGUAUGCAUAAUGCAAUUAAUUAAUUACCUUCUUGGACCUGAUCCUAGUGAUGCCUCACUCAAGCCUGUUCUCCAGUUGCUUAAGCUCCUUUACAGUUAAAGAACUCAGAGAAUCACACAUCAGAUGCCGAUAUGAAGAGUCAAGAGUGAGAUAACCAAUUGAAAAUUCAAUUGAAAUUGUAUAUUUUGGAAUAAAAAAUUAACGACACCUAAUAUGAAAAUGAUUGUUGAUGAAAUAAUUGAAAAUAUCUGUUCGAAUUCUGUGAGAUUUGAAUUUGCUGCCGCAGCUUUGCUGACUCCUGCUGAUAGUACUGUUUCCAUGGGUCACAUGUAAUUGGAGAAGUUUAAUUUUUAUUGGGAACUUUUUAUUUCAAUGCUAGCUAUGUGGUAACCAAUGAUAAUUAGUUGGCUUUUUUUUUUUUUUUUUUUAACCUUUUCAUAAUAGCAUAUAUUCCUAGUAAAGCCUGAAUUUAUAGCUUAAAUUAAUGAAUUAUUUACCUGAGCAUUUAUCUCAGUAACAGUGUCAGAAUUUGAAUUAUCCGAACAUGCCUUCUUGUACCUAUCAAUGGUUGACCUUAUGCUGCUACGUGCAUAACACAUAAAUUUCUAAUUAUUUAGUAUAAUUGUUUGAAAUUGUUUUUGGGAAAAAAAGAGGAAUAAGAAAAGAGGGAGCUGAAGUUUAAUAAACAAUUUUAUUUCUUUAUUAAAUAUCAUUUAUGUUAUCUCAUUAGUUUUCAUGAUCCCUCAGUCUUCAGCUACAUGGAUAAACAAACAUAGACAUAAAAAGAAAGACAUGUUAAGUAAGAUGUAUGAAAAAAUGUUUUAUUUUAUUCUUAAUUCUUUAUUCUCAAUGAGGACAUUGGAAUAAGUUUACUAAACCUAGCUACCCUCUACAUCUAGCUAGGUCAUUAAUUCCAAGCUCAAAGUGGCAUUUAUUUACUCUCUAAUUUAAGAGAAUUUUAUCCCCACAAGCCAAUUGAAUAUUGAGAUGAGAACUACUAAACUAAUAGGUGCUUCUUGAUAUACGUAUCAAGUUAACAUUUCAAGUUCUACGCCUGAUAUUUCAAUUGUAAGUUUAAUGUGUAAGGUUUCUUUAAUCUAACAUUUUAAUUGACAGCCACUCCCUAUAGCUUCCUAAUCAUAAAUGAAAUUAUAUGUGCCCACUCCCUAUAAUUUGAACUUUGAAGUGAAGAAGUUAGCACUUUAUAUCCCCAUCACAUUGAAGAGUAAAAAUCUCUUUCACGUUUUAGGUUUCUAUUCACCAUGCAUGUGGAAAGAGCAAGACCUAAUAGCAUUUUAAAUUUCUUCAAACAAGUCCAUCACUUUAAUAGCACGAAAAUGUUAGUGCAAACUGAGAAAGAAACCAAUACACGAUUGAAAAUUUUCGGUGCUUUUAGAGUCAAAAGUACUGAAGAAAACUGAAGUGAAAGAUAUGAUUCAGAUUGCUUCAAUGAAGAAAAAAGAUAUGGGAAAAUUUUAAUUUAAAGCUAAAAGUAGAAACAAAAGCCAAAGAAAAUUGAGAAUUUGUAAAUGAUUAUAAAAGGAAAGAAUCCAUCUGGCCAGACUUCAGAUCACUGCAGCAAGCUGUAAUUAUUAAUAUGAUUAUUAAUGUAUUGCAGCUGCUGUGUAUUUUGUCAAAUGAUCUAAAACCCUAGAUACAGAUAGGAAAGUCACCGCAGCCUUUUCUUUUUCUGGGGAAUUGGAGUGGACAACUUCGGUCAAAUUUUUAUUUUUUUUCAUUUUUAUAAAAACAUUUUAGCUACCAUGAAAUGAUGUACUUGCAAGAGUCUAACUUUCAUCACGAACAAAAACCCCUUUAUGACAUUCGUUUAAUUAUAUCAAAAAGUUGAAAUUGUUGAAAAACAUUUGUUCAAAAAAAAAAUAUUGUUUUUCACCAAAGCAGUGACUCAAGACCAGCAAUAUUCUUGACCACUAAAGUCUCUUUACCUAUUUUCUAAUUAGGAUAACAUUAUUUAUAAUUUACCUUAAAAUGCAGUUGAACGACUUUCAAUUUCUUUGUUUAAUUAGUCAUUCGAGUUGAACUCCUAAAAAAGAUAUGAAUUAAAAAUAAUGUUUGGGCUAUGCUCCUUCCCCUUUAAUAAAAACUUGAAAAAAUAAAAUAAAAUGAAUUCAUGAUGUGGUUUUAUCUCAAUAACAUUAUUACUGCUCCUAUGGGGGAUUUUCAACUGUUACUAGUUAUAUAAAUGGCUAAUCUAAAUAUCUGAACUCUGCUAUAUAAUAGGCUAAUCCAUGCCAUUCUAAUAAAUAUUUAACUUAGGGAUGGCAAAAUAACCCGGACCCGGCCCGGACCCGGAUAAUCCGGGCCGGGUUGAACCCGUACCAGAAUGUAAAAAAAUCCGGGUCCGGAAUAAAUUUUAAUAACCCGGAUAUAUCCGGGUCCGGGUUCGGGUUUAGGUUAACCCGGACAUCCGGAACCCGGACCCGGAUAUUUAAUUUUAAUAUUAUUUUUUAAUUAAUUUUAUUGAUUAAUCUAGAUGUGUUAUUGCUUGGAAAUGUAUUAAUUUUUUAUUUUUAGAAUUUUAGAAAUUGAUAUUGAUUCAUUGAUCCGGGUUCAAAACCCGGAAUCCGGAAACCCGGAUUUUUCCGGGUUGAACCCGGACCCGGACCCGGGUGAAAAAAUCCGGGUUAAAAUCCGGGUCCGGGAAAAGAAAAUAGUAUCCGGGUCCGGAUCCGGAAAGGCUAAACCCGGACCCGGACUCGGAUUUUGCCAUCCCUAAUCUAACUAUUAAUUCUAUAAACUAAAAGGAAAAAAAUAAUUGUACUUUUAGUAGUACAUAUACCAUGCUAGCGAUAUUGAAUUCAACUUUCUAUUUAAACUCUCUUAUAUUCUUUUCUUCAAACUCUUUUAGAUUCUUUUCUACAUUUCAACUUUCUAUUUAAACUCUCUUAUAUUCUUUUCUUCAAACUCUUUUAGAUUCUUUUCUACAUUUCAACUUUCUAUUUAAACUCUCUUAUAUUCUUUUCUUCAAACUCUUUUAGAUUCUUUUCUACAUUUCAACUUUCUAUUUAAACUCUCUUAUAUUCUUUUCUUCAAACUCUUUUAGAUUCUUUUCUACAUUUCAACUUUCUAUUUAAACUCUCUUAUAUUCUUUUCUUCAAACUCUUUAGAUUCUUUUCUACAUCUCAACUUUCUAUUGAAACUCUCUUACAUCUUUUAUUUCUUAACUUUCUAUUUAAACUCUCUUACAUCCUUUACUUCUCAACUUCCUAUUACAUUCAUUACUCAAUUUAUAAAUUUCAUACCUUAAAUCCUAAAAUUUAAAUCAAGUCUCUUCCCCUUUCUCAUCUCUUCAUACGCAAUGCAAUCUUUUUUGUUCUCCUCUCUUUGCAAGUAAGUAAAAUCUUAGUUCAUCGCAUCAUCUCACAGUUUGUUUUCAUACUUUGCUUUCUUCAAAUUGCCCUCGCAUUUUCCUCUCAAUCUCAAUUUCUGGUUUUUUUGUUUGUUGUAGACUCGAUUUUCUUUACCUCGGUUUGUAAAUUUUAUCGGAUGUAAUGCAUAAUCAUGGGCGACCCAAUUAAUGCCCAGGAGGGGCUUCAGCCCCUUUUAGGCCAUUAAUUUUUCUUUUAAAUGUACCCCACGCCCUUUCUAAAAGAAUUAAAUAAAAAAAUUUGGACACAUAUUUUAUGUAACAAAAGACUUAUGGUUCAAUGAUAAGAGUGCUAUUUGAUGGUUUUAAAGUCCUGGUUUAAAUCCCAAUAGCCACAUUAUUUUGUUUCUUUUUAUAAAUAGUUUUUGAAAAUUACUUAGAAAAAUGAUACUUUUAUGCAUUUAAAAUAAAAAGUUUAUUACUAUUAUUAUUUAAAAUUUAAAAGAAAAUAAUGAAAUUUGAGUCUAUGAGAUUUAAAAUGUAUUCAUGUGAACAUUAAAAAAAAACCCCAAAUUAAAUAAAAUGUUUUGAACUAAUCCCCCUAAUUUAAGUAUCUGGGUCCGCCACUAUGCAUAAUUGAUCGUUGUCGUUUUUUUUUCAAUAAUUUCGUGAAACAUGCAUAAUUAAAUUAAAUUAUACAUCAGCAUAAUUAAUUAAUUAACUGAUGCUGUUUAGAUUCUGUGCUUGAUUAUAUAGCAAUUCAUCAUAUUUUAUUAUGAUUAUAAAUUUAACUAUAUGGUCGGGGUCUGAGUGAUUUUUAUUUUUAAUUUUUUUAAUGAAUUUAUUCAUGUUCCGUUGGAUAAUAUUUAAAGUAAUAUCAAAUAUAAGUUUUAAUGGAGUGAAAUUGUAUGGGAAUGGUAACUAAGUUUUCUUUCUUAUUCUUUAAUGAUAAAAAUUGAAUUCAAUGUGAAAGUGGUUUGAUAUUGUAAAUGCAUUGCAGGUAAAUUGAUUUUUUUUUUAGGAUGGGAGAAAGAGUGGUUGAUGGCGAUUGGAAGCCUACUUCUCCAUCUAAUGGGGAGCGCACUGUGGUUUUACUUGGCCGUACUGGCAAUGGCAAAAGUGCGACGGGCAAUAGUAUUCUCGGGAGAAAAGCCUUCAAGGCGAGUGCUGGCUCGUCUGGUGUUACUAAAACUUGUGAAAUGAAGACAACCGUGCUCAAAGAUGGCCAAGUUGUUAAUGUCAUUGAUACCCCCGGUAAUUUGCUAAUGUUGGUUCCUAGAUAUUCCAUUCCAUGCUUGUUGAUGUUGUGAUGGUAAGUAGAUUGAUGUUACGAGCCAUUGCAGGACUUUUUGAUUUGUCUGCUGGCUCUGAGUUUGUCGGCAAGGAAAUUGUCAAAUGUCUCGGUAUGGCCAAGGAUGGCAUCCAUGCAUUCCUUGUAGUUUUCUCUGUUACAAACCGUUUUUCUCAAGAGGAAGAAACUGCAGUACACCGUUUGCCGAACUUGUUCGGGAAAAAUGUUUUUGACUAUAUGAUUGUUGUUUUCACUGGAGGGGAUGAUCUUGAAGAUCAUGAGAAAACAUUAGAAGAUUUUUUGGGUCAUGAGUGUCCAAAGCCUUUAAAGGUUUGUUUCUGAACUCUUAUAGUGUUCGAUAAUUUCAUCAGUCAUUUUGAUCAAGUUGUCUUUGGCUGGUUCUUUUGUGAAGUUUUAGACUCCUUUACGGUUGGACUAUUGGAAGUUUAAUAUGAAUAUAUGCAUGCUGAAAAUACUAGAUAGCUUUAUAGUAGGCCAGCCGUCUUAAAGUUCCAUUUUCAAUGGUGCUUCAUUUCGUGAAUGGUUUUCUUCUGCCAUGCGGGAUUGGCCGGAGAGGUGAUUGGUAAUUUUCUGCUGGCGUUACUUAAUUUUACUUAUACGUUAUUGUCUUCGAAUGAGAUAUCAUUCAUUCAUUCGCUAAACAUUUUUGCUUUUCUUAUUUGUAUUCUUUGAUUUCCUCUGCGAUUUAAUCUUGGUUCUUAUUCUAUUAAGGUGUGUUCAUUUGUUUGUUUCUCAAAAUAUGUACCUCUUUGAUUUAUACGCUCAAAAUUAACCUACUUUUAAGAUUUUAAAAGUGGCCCAAAGAGGAUGUGACUUGCUAUACAGGUCCAUUUUAUUCGGCGUUAUUUGAAUAAAAUAUCAAGACUAACUUUACAAGAUUUAAAAUUCUCUUAAAAGUUCAUGUGGAUUCUAGGCUCAGAAUUGGUGUCUAAAAUUUCAAUGUGAGAUCUUUUUCAAGUUUCAACAUGCAAAUCUCUUAUUUUCAGAAUUUACUUGAUGAUUUUGGUUCCUAAAAUUUUUUAACUUGAGAAAGAUUUAUAUCAAGUUCUUCUAUUUUACUGCAUACUUGAUUCAACCUAUGAGGAGUGGGAAGAAAAAUAACAAAAAUGAAAAUAAAGACCCCUUUAAGUUGUAGCUUUGCAAUUAACAAAAUCCGGUUAUUUUACAGUUAAAGGGAACUUUGUUUUACUUAUUGUACUUAUUAUUAUUAUUAUUAUUCCUACUACUACUACUUAUGUUAUAUGGAAUGCUGAUCACCUUUUAAGAUUUUAAAAUUUGAUGGACGUAAGAGGUUAUGUAAGUGGUCAAACCAUAAGGAGAAUGGAAUUGAUUAUUAAAUAGUUUUUGAGGAUGCCUGAUAAUAAGUACUAACGAUCACAAUAAAAAAAAAUUUUGUCAGCUUAAUAUCCUCAAACUUUUAGAGACUACAAGUGUUUGAUUGGUUGAUCAAUGCUUACCGAAAGGAGCUAACAUUUGCUUUAUUCCUGAUCAUUUUCCAAUUAUUUUAGGAAAUCCUUCAACUAUGUGAUAAUAGGUGCGUGCUUUUUGAUAACAAGACCAAGGAUGAGGCCAAGGGAACCGAGCAGGUUCGGCAGCUUCUUUCUCUGGUUAACUCUGUGAUCGUGCAGAAUGGUGGGCAGCCAUAUACGGACGAGUUGAAGGUGACUUCAUUACUAUCGGGAUAGACUUCUGUGCUGCUUCUUUCUGAAUAUGUCAUGACAAUAUCUCUUUUUCUUUUUUUCUACUCAGAGAGGGGCCACUGAACUCCGUGAUCAAAAAGCUGAGGUUGAUUCUCUCAAGGAAUAUUCAAAACGAGAAAUUUCAAAGCUGAUGGGCCAGAUGCAGGAAUCAUAUGAAGAUCGAAUCAAACGAAUGGCUGAGAUGGUAUUUUUUAUGCUCCAUGUUUUGGCAUCAAAAUAUGACAUGCAUAUGUGUUCAUCUCUCAAAUCGGGUAAUCAUUUCUCAAACUGUGUAAUUAAAAAAUGACUAUAAAGCCUGCAGGUACCUGUAACGAUAUUCUAAAUUGUUAGACUUGGAGGUUGUAAAGACUGCCGCUCUGUCCGUACCCCUAGAUUGUUGGAGAUUGCCAUAUGAAAAGAGGCCUUAUCUUGCUAGUUGAUGUGGACAAAUCUGUUAUUAUUUGUUCACUCAUUAUGUUUUGAAGGCCGUAACAUGCUGUUCUUACCUUGAAGAUUGUUUGACGGUCCUGCUCUGUUUUUUGUUGAUGAAAUUAAGGUGGUUUACUAAUCAUGACUUACACUAAGGUGGAUUCUGCACUUGUUUAGUCAUCAAUCAUGAGAACAUUUCUUGUAAUACUGUGGGAACAAUUGAAAUGUUACGAGCAGGUUAUGUCAUAAUUUAAUUUUGUUAAAAAUAGAAUAGCCAUAUUCACAAUAAGUUUUUAUGAAAAUAUAGUUACGCACGUGAAACCUAAUCAAAUGGCUGCGUAGUUUUGAUUUUCCUUUCCACAGUUUUAAUUUAUUGCAAGGCAAUAGAAUGAUUCGGCAUUAAGCCAUAUCCUAUUCAACAAUAAUCUGGAUUUGCUGUAACAUUCUGUGUAAUGAUUAUAUGUCGGAGGUGCUAAUAAGUUUUAUUCUCGACAAUCCUGGAGUAUGGCAAAAUGAAAAAGUUAGCAGAUUCUUUAACACUUUUAUUUUGGAUUUAUGUGUUUAUUUUUUUAAGCUCUUGUUUCUACCAUUUAUCAAUGAUUGAGAGUGGAAUUGAUUGGUCAUAAAGUUGUGCCGAGUAUGGUGAACUUAGCAACUCGCUUUGCAAUUGAAUUAAACUAAAUUGAUACUUAAGAAUUUUUUUCUCUUAAGUUGGAGUUUUAUAUUACCAAUAUCCAAUUUUUUUGUAUUGUGCUGCUACUCUAGGGCUUAGUGGCAUGUUUUCUGACUAAUAUUGAUGCUUUUUUGAUAGGUUGAGUCUGGGCUCAAAGAGACAACAACUAGGCUCGAACAGCAAUUGGCAAAGGAGCAAGCUGCUCGAUUAAGGGCAGAAGAGGUAGCACAAUUAGCUGAAAUGAAGUUAAAAGACGAAAUUCAAUCUCGAAGUACUGAAAAGGAGACUGCGGAACCCCCUAAGCCAUCUGAAAAUCCUCCGCCGGAGCCCCCUAGGCCACCUGCAAGUCCUCCGCGGGAGCCCCCCAGGCCACCUGCAAGUCCUCCGCCGAAGCCCUCUAGCACAUCUGAUGGGUGGUGUGCCAUUAUGUAAAUGUUCGCAGUCCAGACGCUUAUAUCUUCUGUUAUGUAAAUGUUCACAGUCCAAUCUCGAGUGCGGUCUUAAGAUAGUACUACAUGAAAAAACGGUAUUGACAUCAAAUGAAGUUUCAUUUAUGGAGCCAUCUAGAAUCUUUUCUUACACGGUGGAUCCGAAGAGAUCUGAUUCCUUUUCUCCUCAUUGAGCUCUUAACGAACGCUAUAUUGUUUUCACAUUUGUAGCAGAUACUACCCAAAAUGUGCCCUUCUAACAAUCAUGACUUUCCCAAAAAUUCAAACCGACUAACAGAGUAAUCCUAAUAUCCGAAAGACUUGCUAUAAAACCACCAAGCCUUUGACCCUUCUCUGAUACGCACCAUAGUUCAACUAGCUCAUAAUGCAAAUCCUUCGACAUCACACAGCCUCAGUUUUGAAAGUUUUAUAGAUAUUAAGUUUCAGCAUAAUAACUGGUCUCCCAAAGAGAAGAUGCCAAUGAUAAGUCAGCCUAAGUAAUUAGGUUACACAUAAAUUCAUCCAAUUUCAUAUAUUGCUGGUUUCAAAAAUAGGUAUCAAGUAGCACACACAUUCAGUAGAUAAUGAUAUUCUGAUCGUAGAUCUCGUACUGAGAUGCCACAAGCUUGAUCUCUUGCAAACGGGAGAAAACAUUGAUGCACGCUCAACACGAGCUCAUAGAAAUGAAAUGUGAUGGGAGAAUUAAUUACCCGAGAUGGAGUAUCUUCUUGUCCGGAUGAGAGUGAGCAAAGCCGCCACCCUCGAUAAUAGCAGGACUGAAGAAAUUCCGAGAAGCUAAUGCAUGGAUUGCAUUCAGCUCUUGCCCAGUCGCCAUGUUUGCUUGCUGAAACCCUUCCAUUUCUGCUAUCUGAGUUUCAGAAACAACGAAAUUUUAAUAACGUGCUGAAAUUUUGGAAGAGGGCGAGAACAAAUGCAUUAUACAUACAAAGGAUUGAUUUGCAUACCUUUGAUCGGAGACGCACGCUUUCAUUUUCCAGCUCAACCUCCUAUGAAAAUGAAAAUGUCACAGAGUUCCAUAAAAGCUUGGAAGAAAACGAAAAAAAAGGCUAAACAGGAUUUAAUGAACUUUAAUUAUUACCCUUUUCUACAAGAACUCAAUUUUAGGAAACAGACAAAGCAACAAAUUAUUUUCAAAAUGACAUAAAUUACAUAUAUUGAAUGUACAUCGAUAAAGUUUAUGCAAUGUAUUGUUGCAAAACAAUGGUGUAUUGCUCAAAUUCAAUUAUUUUUUGUAUGCAUAAUGCAAUUAAUUAAUUACCUUCUUGGACCUGAUCCUAGUGAUGCCUCACUCAAGCCUGUUCUCCAGUUGCUUAAGCUCCUUUACAGUUAAAGAACUCAGAGAAUCACACAUCAGAUGCCGAUAUGAAGAGUCAAGAGUGAGAUAACCAAUUGAAAAUUCAAUUGAAAUUGUAUAUUUUGGAAUAAAAAAUUAACGACACCUAAUAUGAAAAUGAUUGUUGAUGAAAUAAUUGAAAAUAUCUGUUCGAAUUCUGUGAGAUUUGAAUUUGCUGCCGCAGCUUUGCUGACUCCUGCUGAUAGUACUGUUUCCAUGGGUCACAUGUAAUUGGAGAAGUUUAAUUUUUAUUGGGAACUUUUUAUUUCAAUGCUAGCUAUGUGGUAACCAAUGAUAAUUAGUUGGCUUUUUUUUUUUUUUUUUUUAACCUUUUCAUAAUAGCAUAUAUUCCUAGUAAAGCCUGAAUUUAUAGCUUAAAUUAAUGAAUUAUUUACCUGAGCAUUUAUCUCAGUAACAGUGUCAGAAUUUGAAUUAUCCGAACAUGCCUUCUUGUACCUAUCAAUGGUUGACCUUAUGCUGCUACGUGCAUAACACAUAAAUUUCUAAUUAUUUAGUAUAAUUGUUUGAAAUUGUUUUUGGGAAAAAAAGAGGAAUAAGAAAAGAGGGAGCUGAAGUUUAAUAAACAAUUUUAUUUCUUUAUUAAAUAUCAUUUAUGUUAUCUCAUUAGUUUUCAUGAUCCCUCAGUCUUCAGCUACAUGGAUAAACAAACAUAGACAUAAAAAGAAAGACAUGUUAAGUAAGAUGUAUGAAAAAAUGUUUUAUUUUAUUCUUAAUUCUUUAUUCUCAAUGAGGACAUUGGAAUAAGUUUACUAAACCUAGCUACCCUCUACAUCUAGCUAGGUCAUUAAUUCCAAGCUCAAAGUGGCAUUUAUUUACUCUCUAAUUUAAGAGAAUUUUAUCCCCACAAGCCAAUUGAAUAUUGAGAUGAGAACUACUAAACUAAUAGGUGCUUCUUGAUAUACGUAUCAAGUUAACAUUUCAAGUUCUACGCCUGAUAUUUCAAUUGUAAGUUUAAUGUGUAAGGUUUCUUUAAUCUAACAUUUUAAUUGACAGCCACUCCCUAUAGCUUCCUAAUCAUAAAUGAAAUUAUAUGUGCCCACUCCCUAUAAUUUGAACUUUGAAGUGAAGAAGUUAGCACUUUAUAUCCCCAUCACAUUGAAGAGUAAAAAUCUCUUUCACGUUUUAGGUUUCUAUUCACCAUGCAUGUGGAAAGAGCAAGACCUAAUAGCAUUUUAAAUUUCUUCAAACAAGUCCAUCACUUUAAUAGCACGAAAAUGUUAGUGCAAACUGAGAAAGAAACCAAUACACGAUUGAAAAUUUUCGGUGCUUUUAGAGUCAAAAGUACUGAAGAAAACUGAAGUGAAAGAUAUGAUUCAGAUUGCUUCAAUGAAGAAAAAAGAUAUGGGAAAAUUUUAAUUUAAAGCUAAAAGUAGAAACAAAAGCCAAAGAAAAUUGAGAAUUUGUAAAUGAUUAUAAAAGGAAAGAAUCCAUCUGGCCAGACUUCAGAUCACUGCAGCAAGCUGUAAUUAUUAAUAUGAUUAUUAAUGUAUUGCAGCUGCUGUGUAUUUUGUCAAAUGAUCUAAAACCCUAGAUACAGAUAGGAAAGUCACCGCAGCCUUUUCUUUUUCUGGGGAAUUGGAGUGGACAACUUCGGUCAAAUUUUUAUUUUUUUUCAUUUUUAUAAAAACAUUUUAGCUACCAUGAAAUGAUGUACUUGCAAGAGUCUAACUUUCAUCACGAACAAAAACCCCUUUAUGACAUUCGUUUAAUUAUAUCAAAAAGUUGAAAUUGUUGAAAAACAUUUGUUCAAAAAAAAAAUAUUGUUUUUCACCAAAGCAGUGACUCAAGACCAGCAAUAUUCUUGACCACUAAAGUCUCUUUACCUAUUUUCUAAUUAGGAUAACAUUAUUUAUAAUUUACCUUAAAAUGCAGUUGAACGACUUUCAAUUUCUUUGUUUAAUUAGUCAUUCGAGUUGAACUCCUAAAAAAGAUAUGAAUUAAAAAUAAUGUUUGGGCUAUGCUCCUUCCCCUUUAAUAAAAACUUGAAAAAAUAAAAUAAAAUGAAUUCAUGAUGUGGUUUUAUCUCAAUAACAUUAUUACUGCUCCUAUGGGGGAUUUUCAACUGUUACUAGUUAUAUAAAUGGCUAAUCUAAAUAUCUGAACUCUGCUAUAUAAUAGGCUAAUCCAUGCCAUUCUAAUAAAUAUUUAACUUAGGGAUGGCAAAAUAACCCGGACCCGGCCCGGACCCGGAUAAUCCGGGCCGGGUUGAACCCGUACCAGAAUUUUAGAAAUUGAUAUUGAUUCAUUGAUCCGGGUUCAAAACCCGGAAUCCGGAAACCCGGAUUUUUCCGGGUUGAACCCGGACCCGGACCCGGGUGAAAAAAUCCGGGUUAAAAUCCGGGUCCGGGAAAGGAAAAUAGUAUCCAGGUCCGGAUCCGGAAAGGCUAAACCCGGACCCGGACUCGGAUUUUGCCAUCCCUAAUCUAACUAUUAAUUCUAUAAACUAAAAGGAAAAAAAUAAUUGUACUUUUAGUAGUACAUAUACCAUGCUAGCGAUAUUGAAUGUUAAUUAAUUAUUAACAUUAAAUAUCCCUUGCUAGCGAUCUUGAACGUCCUACAAACAGCAGUCAAUCUUCGCUCCAAACAUGGAAGUAUAAAUGAUCUUUGCCUAGUUUGUAACUGUUGGUGCAAAUUUUGUCCCAACUUAUGAUAUGGAAAUUUCGACUGAGGACAACCCCCUUAGGACUUGGGUUCCUCUUUGUUAGAUUUUAUGAUGGUGAGUUCAUUAUUUGGGCUGAUCUUUAUGGGCCUUUAUAUAUGCUCUUCUGAGUCCACUUCCUUAGGCACUCAGCAGGUCCUUACUUGUGAUACUCUACAAACACAAGAAAAUGAUCAGAGGGCCGGCUUUGCCGGCGUAAACCCUUUGACGGUCAAGUCAAUCACCGGACUUUUGGAAAUAUAAAUUUAGAAAGAGAAAGAUUAGAGGGAGAAAGUUAGCAUUUUUCCCUUUUGAGUCUCUUUUUGUUUGUCUUACCUUUUAGUGAGAAUGAAAGACAUAUUUAUCGACCAAACUGAUUUGACUUGGGUCCUAGUUUUUAUCCUUGAAAUAAGAUGCUCAUUUGUUUUGUUGAACUUGAAUAAAGAUACAAAAUUUUCAUCUGUUAAGUUUAUGAAAAUUUAGAAUCGAUCCAAGGACAUUCAUCAUUGUCACAACUUUUUUUUUUUUUUUUAACAUCUCAUGGAGAAUUUACUUGACUGGGAGAAGUAGUCUUUUAUUCAUCCGCAUUUUGUCUUUACAAAACUUGUCUGACCAUUGAGGAAAGAUCAGACUUAUAUAAGUACAAGAUCAUACUAUUGAUGGUAAAUCCUGAGAUGCUCAGCAUUCCAAGCAUGCCUCAAGAUCUUUCCACCUAAGGUAGACAAAAUAUAAGUUCCUGGCCUAACUACUUCUCUGAUUAUGUAAGGUCCAUCCUAGUUAGGACCCAAGGUGCCAACACCUGGUUCUUGAGCAUUAGGCAAAACCUUCUUUAGAACAAGAUCUCCAAUUCUGAACUUCCGAAUUUUAACUCGAGCAAUGUAGUAACGAGCUACUUUGCCUUGAUAGGCAGCGACCUUGAUCAUAGCAUGAUCCCUCUUUUCUUCUAAGAGGUCUAAACUUUGGCGUUGUAGCUCAUCAUUGAUGACAGGAUCAAAGUGUUGUACUCGAUAAGUCGGCGUUCUUAUUUCAGCAGGGAUGACAGCUUCUGCACCAAAUGCCAAUAAGAAGGGAGAUUCUCCUGUAGGAGUCCUUGGUGUAGUUCGAUAAGACCAUAGGACGAAUGGUAAUUCAUCUGGCCAUGCUCCUUUGGCUUUCUCUAACUUAGCCUUCAGAAUUUGCUUAAUCACUCGAUUGGCAGCUUCAACUUGUCAAUUAGCCUGAGGAUGGGCAGGAGAAGAGUAACAAUUUUUUAUCUUAAGCUUUCUACAAAACUCACGAAAUUUGUCAUUGUCAAAUUGCCUCCCAUUGUCAGUGAUUAUAGUAUGAGGUACGCCAUACCGACAUAUGAUGUUCUUCUGAAUAAAGUCGGUAGUUUUCUUCUCAGUAAUAGUUGCCAAAGGCUCAGCUUCCACCCACUUUGUGAAGUAAUCAAUGGCAACUAUAGCAAACCUUACUUGCCCCUUUCCUUUUGGCAGAGGACCAAUUAGAUCAACCCCCCAUUGGGCAAAUGGCCAAGGAGUAAGGAGAGGAGUUAACUUUUCUGGAGCUUGCUUGGGUAUAAUAGCAAACCUUUGGCAUUUAUCACACUUUUUUGCUAACUCCAAGGCAUCUCGUUGCAUCGUCAGCCAAAAGUAUCCUUGUCUCAUAGCUUUGUAGGUAAGUGCUCAUCCUCCAGAAUGAUUUCCACAUAUCCCCUCAUGGAUUUCACGUAAGACAUUAUCUCCAUCUUCGGGUGUCAAACACUUGAGAAGAGGAAGUGAAUAUCCAUGUUUGUAAAGUUGAUUAUCCAUGAUCACAUACCUUGUAGCUCAGUAUCUCACCUUUUUUGAUUCAUUCUUGUCCCUUUGGCAUUUAUCACACUUUUUUGCUAACUCCAAGGCAUCUCGUUGCAUCGUCGGCCAAAAGUAUCCUUGUCUCAUAGCUUUGUAGGCAAGUGCUCGUCCUCCAGAAUGAUUUCCACAUAUCCCCUCAUGUAUUUCACAUAAGACAUUAUCUCCAUCUUCAGGUGUCAAACACUUGAGAAGAUGAAGUGAAUAUCCACGUUUGUAAAGUUGAUUAUCCAUGAUCACAUACCUUGUAGCUCGGUAUCUCACCUUCUUUGAUUCAUUCUUGUCCUCAGGUAAAGUUCCAUUCAUAAGAUAACUCAUAAUUAGGUCCAUCCAGGAACUCCGAUGGUCAAUGGUUGCCACUUUCUUUUCUUCACAUUUAAUUAUGCUUGGCUCGGGAAUGAUGACUGUCUCAGUAAGUCUUUUUCUGGUAAGAAAGCUAGUUGAACUAAUGCAUCAGCUCGUGUGUUUUGUUCCCGAGGAAUUUGCUUCACCUCACAAUUGAAGUCCCUUAACAACUCAUUAACUCGAUCAAGAUAUGCAAUCAUGUUGAAAUCCCGAGCUGUAUAGUUGCAAUUCACUUGAUUAACUACCAAUUGAGAGUCACUAAAGACAAGUAAAUCCUUUGCACCUAAGGCUCGAACUAGCCUAAGGCCAGCCAGAAGAGCUUUAUACUCUGCUUCAUUGUUGGUAGCAUUGAAGCCAUACCUAAGAGCGCAUCCAAUCUCAACAUUGUUUGGAGUGAUUGCUAUAAAACCUGCACCACAUCCUCGUUUACUAGAGGAUCCAUCGACAUAGAGAGACCAUUUAUCUUGAUGCUCCUCUUUAGGAUCAAGUGAUAUAAUAUCUCCUUCAGUAAACUCAGCAAUGAAGUUUGCCACUGCUUGCCCUUUUAAUGAUGUCCUAGGAUGAUAUAAGAUGUCAAACUCCCUAAGUUCAAUAGCCCACUUUGUCAUCCUUCCUGAAAUAUCAGGCUUAGCUAAAACUUGUCUAAUUGGUUGAUCAAUGAGGACGAUUAUGGUAUGAGCUUGGAAAUAAGGCCUUAACCUUCUUGCUGAAACAAUCAAGGCUAGAACAAUAUUUUCAAGACUUAGAUACCUUGUUUCUGCAUCAACCAACCCUCUACUUGUAUAGUAGAUAGGCCUUUGCACUCCAUCAUCUUCUCGGACAAGGAUAGAGCUAGUGGCAUGUUCAGACAUUGCAAGAUAAAUGAAGAGAGACUCGCAUUGGAUUGGCUUAACAAGCAAAUGAGGGCUUCCUAAAUAUUCCUUAAGCUUUUGAUCUUCACAUUCCUCAGUCCACUUUAUCUCUUUUCCUUUUCUAAGAGCCUUAAAAAAAGGAAGGCACUUAUCUGUAGCUCGAGAGACAAAGCGAUUCAGGGCUGCUACUUGACCCGUCAACCUUUGAAUUUCUUUAACAUUCUUUGGAGACUUCAUAUUAACCAAUGCUUGGAUCUUCUCAGGAUUGAUCUCAAUACCUCUUUGAUUUACCACAAAGCCAAGGAAUUUUCCUUACGACACACCAAAUGCACAUUUAGUUGGAUUUAACCGCAUCUUGUACUUUCUAAGGAUAUCAAAGGUUUCCCGGAAGUCUUUUACAUGAUCUUCAGGGUUAAGGCUCUUGGUGAGCAUAUCAUCUACAUAAACCUCCAUGGUAUGCCCAAUUUGUUGAACGAACAUACUGUUUACCAACCUUUGAUAGGUGGCUCCAGUGUUCUUGAGUCCAAAUGGCAUAACUUUAUAGCAAUAGAGACCUCGAUAUGUGAUAAAUGCGGUCUUUUCUUGGUCAGGUUCAUGCAUCCUUAUUUGAUUAUAUCCUGAGUAUGCAUCCAUGUAGCUUAGCAGUCCAUGCCCAGCUGUAGCAUCCACUAGUUGAUCAAUCCUCGGUAAAGGAAAACUAUCAUUAGGGCAAGCUUUGUUAAGAUCAGUAAAGUCUACACACAUCCUCCACUUCCCAUUAGCUUUCUUCACCAUCACAACAUUAGCUAGCCAAUCAGGAUACCUUGCCUCCUUGAUAAAACCAGCUUUGAGAAGUUUAUCUACUCAUUCCUUUACGGCCAGAGAUCUUUCGGCGUUCAGACUUCUUCUUUUCUGUCGAAUUGGUUUCAUCUUUGGGUUAGUACUUAAACGAUGUACCACUACCCAAGGAUCAAUGCCUGACAUAUCAUUAUGCAUCCAAGCAAACACAUCAUGAUAUUCUUUCAGAAAGCUAACAAGUUGCUUCUUCAGCGGAUCAGGCAAUCGACCCCCAAUCUUCACGAUUUUACUCAAAUCUUCACCAAGUGGAAAGUCUUCCAAGUCAUCAACUGGGCUCGCCCUUUGAUAGUCUUUUACUGUCCUAGGAUCAAGGCUUGUGAUUUGAAGAGUUUCUUUGCCCAUCCUGAACGCUAUCUCAUAACACUCCCUUGCUUCUUUUUAUUCUCCUCGCACGACUCCAACCCCAGCUUCAGUUGGAAACUUCAACGCAUAAUGAUAAAUUGAAGUUGUUGCUUUUAAAGCAUAAAGAGUCGGCCUUCCUAAGACAACAUUAUAGGAACUUGGUUGAUAAACCACAAUAAGGUUAACCAUAGUGGUCAUCUUAGUUGGGCUUUUUUCGAAAGACACUAUGAGCUCUAUAACUCUUUCAGGAACUAUACUUCCUCCUGCGAAACCAUGAAGUAGAGUCGUGUAAGGUUUUAGCUGUGAUCAUUCUAACCCCAUUCGAGCGAAGGUUGACAAGAAUAAAAUAUCAGCUGAACUCCCAUUAUCAAUAAGAAUCCGAUGAAAACUCCCAUUAUCAAUAAGAAUCCGAACCAUUGAUCCUUGAGAUUGAUUAGUCAAAUUAACCUCGGGACCAUUGGGUUCAUGUCUUGCUUGGCGAGCUAGAUUUUUCCUUGACUUCCUGGAGUCUCCUGCAGCCGGCCCUCCCCAAAUGUGAUUGACAUCAUACAUGCUUUCAUCACUAUCUUCCUUCUUUUUUCCUUUUCUCUUCUUUGAAGAUUCUAGUUGCUCACUCUUUACUCGAUCCUCGAGAUUUCUUACAUACUCCUGUAGUUGCCCUUGUCGAACUAGGCUUUCUAUUUGUUCCUUAAGCUCAAAACACUCGGAGGUGUCAUGCCCAUGAUCUUUAUGAAAAUGACAAUACUUGUUUGGAUUUCUUCGGGAUGGAUUUGUCCUCAUAGGAGGUGGGGUUCUAAACAAAGUUGGAUUUCUUACCUGCAUGAGAAUUUGCUCCCGAGGAGUAUUAAGUUCUGUAAAGUUAGUGAAUUGAGAGGCUAACCGAGGAUGACUGCCUCGGACUUCAGAGCGUUCCCCAGGACGAAAUUGGUCUCUUUUUAGAGAUGGAUCAGGUCUGACAACUCUUCUUUCUCUUCCAUCAUCUUUCUUUUUCUUUCCUUUGAUUGGUUCUCUUUUCUCUUGAUUUCUGUUCUUGAAUCUUUCUUCCGCAUUGGCAUAUUUCUCAGCUCUCGCAAGCAUCUCAGAGUAAGAAGUGGGUGGUCUUUUUGAAACUGACCACCAUAGCUUUCCCAUCCUGAGCCCUUCCAUAAUACCAGAAAGUGCUAUGCCAUCAUCAUAACCAUCUACUUAGGUGAUCUCAUUAUUAUACCUUCUGAUGUAGUCUCUUAAGGUCUCCCCUUCCUGUUGUUUGACGGUCAAUAGGUAAGUCACUGGUUUUCCUCUUUGUCGGGCACUUCGGAAGUGAGAGGUGAAUUCUCUACUCAAAUCUCCAAAGGAUGAGAUGGAGUGUGGCUGCAACAUUCGGAACCAUCUUCGUGCUGCUCCUACUAAGGUAAGAGGAAAAGCCCGACAAAGAAUUGCUUGUGAUGCUCCUUGCACUUCCAUAAGGAUGCGAUACAAUUCUAAAUGCUCAGUUGGAUCCCUCUGCCCAUCAUAAGGCUCCAUUCGGGGUAAAUGAAACCUAGGUGGAUAUUUUGCUACCAUUAUAUCAAAAGUAAAUGGUGGCUCAUGUUCUGCUGUUACAUCAUCAAGUGGACCCAUUUCUCGAACCAUUUGCUCAAGUCUCUGCAUUAUUUCUUGUAAUCCUCUUUUGACUUCCUCUCCUUGGUCUAAACCUUCUCUGGUCAUUCUCCUCCUAAAUCUUCUUUGGUUAAGGGAAUGCCUGAGAUCAUCUUCAUUUAACUCUUCUCUAGACCUUGUUCUAGAGGAGCCGGAAUCAACCACAUUACCUCUACUUGAGUUCUCGCCUUCCUCAGCUCGAGCUGGAAAUUGGCCGAACAUUCUAUUAAAGUUACGAGCCAACUGAUCAACUUGUUGUUGAAGUCGAACAACACGAGGCUGUCCUCGACGUCUAGCGUGGCGAGGUGGAUUCAACUGAGGAUCUGGAGGAGGAUGGAUAGGCACCACAUCAUCAUCAUCUAGGUCUCGUUGUCGUCUCCUUCAUCGGAAGUGAACAUCCUCAUCCACUCUGGAACUUUCAUCAUCAGCCUCAUAGUACUCAUUGUUAGCAUCCAUGCUCAUGGUAGGGCUUCCAAGACUUUUAUCGGAAGAUCCCCACAGACGGCGCCAAACUAUUGGUGCAAAUUUUGUCCCAACUUAUGAUAUAGAAAUUUUGACUGAGGACAACCCCCUUAGGACUUGGGUUCUUCUUUGUUAGAUUUUAUGAUGGUGAGUUCAUUAUUUGGGAUGAUCUUUAUGGGCCUUUAUAUAUGCUCUUCUGAGUCCACUUCCUUAGGCAAUCAGCAGGUCCUUGUCUUGUGAUACUCUACAAACACAAGGAAAUGAUCAGAGGGCCGGCUUUGCCGGCGUAAACCCUCCGAUGGUCAAGUCAAUCACCGGACUUUUAGAAAUAUAAAUUUAGAAAGAGAAAGAUUAGAGGGAGAAAGUUAGCAUUUUUCCCUUUUGAGUCUUUUUUUUUUGUCUUACCUUUUAGUGAGAAUGAAAGACAUAUUUAUCGACCAAACUGAUUUGACUUGGGUCCUCGUUAUUUUGAUGACAAAUGUCAUUGUUCUUGUGACAUUUAGUAACACUUGUCCUCUAGUGCCCAUGUGGAUUGACACAUGGAUAUACAAACUUGUCUACUGAUUAGAGGAAGGAACGUUUUAUCCUUAGGUUAUUUUUACUAAGACCUUGAGAUCAUAAGAGCUUUCAAACUUAGGAGGUUUGUUCUAGGAUAGGAGUCAAGAACCUCAGCACCUUUUGGACUUUAAAUCCUUGCUACCUAGUUGAUUUAUCCUAAGUGAUUUGUCUUAGGAUAAGAAUCUAGGACCUUGGCUCCUUUUGGGCUUUGAAACCUUGUUACUUAGGAGGAUCAUUCUAGGUGAUUUGUCCACCACUUCGUGGGCUUAAUUGGGAGGAAAUUUAUUAGAUGGGCCUUAUUAGACUUAUUUUAUUUUUGGUCCAACAGUAACUCUGAUAAAGAAACUUUUUUUCACCUACUGGUUGACUGUCCUUUUGCAAGAACUUGUUGGAUUCAAUCAAAAGUGGGCUUCUUUGGUAUCUAUUCAUCAUUCAAGGAUUGGCUUCAAGCUUUGUUUAGGAACUGCACUAAUGAGCAGUGUUGGAUUGCUGUUAUGGUCUACUGGAAGCUAUGAAGCAACAAGAAUAAUCUGGUUUGGCAGGGGAAAUGCGACACAGCAAAACAUAUUGUUAAUACAGCUAGUAAUUUUUUGUUUCAAUGGCAGUUAGCUAAAUCCUCUGUGAUGUUUAAUCAAGUCUCAAGUGAUCCAGGUGCUGGUGCUAUUGCUUGGUCUCCUCCUCGAGUGGGCUGGCUUAAAUGUAACACUGAUGCUGCAGUUUUUACUGAUGAGGGAAGAGUUGGGCUGGGCAGUGUUAUCCGUGAUGAAUCGGGGAAAUUUGUUGCUGCUCUUUGUUGUAAUAUCAGGGGAAACUAUUCUCCUCGUGAUGCUGAGGUCCUUAGCAUUCAUAAGCUCUCUCUUUGGCUGAAGUCUAUGAAGUUGUCAAAGGUUAUCAUUGAAACUGAUUGCCUUCAAGCGUUUUAUGCUCUAGUCGAUCGAAAGAGUCCUCUAAAUAGCUUUGGCUCAUUAGUUUUGGAUUGCAAAUGUAUUGCUGAAUCUAUAGGCGAUAUUGUUUUCUCUUUCGUCAAAAGAUCUGAGAAUUCUAUUGCUCACUUUAUUGCUAGAGCGGAAAAUGCUUUGCCAGGUCGUGAAGAGUGGCGUUCUGUGCCACCUUCUUAGUUAAUCUCGGUGCUGUAAUUGCUGGUUUUAUUGUUAAUGAAAUUGCACUUUCCAUAAAAAAAAAACAUUGAAUGUUAUCAAGAUGAUGACAUUAUCAUUAUUUUCUGUAAUUAAAAAUAUUGUAACACUACCGUAAUUAGGAUUUUAGACGAUCAUUUUCCAAGCAUCUCCAUCAAUGAAUUGGUUAUGAAGAAUCUCAAUAGUAAACAAAAGGGACAAUAACUAGUGGGACUCAAAAGACAAUCAAAUACGGGUAUGGAUAGAAAAGGCAAUAUUAUGACAAAAUCCAUUUGCUCUUCAUGCACCAAUCACAACUUUACUUUUUCUGCUUGUUAUUGACUUAACAUGAAAAUAAGAAAGACGAGAACUUCAUUUAAUGAGUUAUAUCACUGCAAACUGAAGAAAAAACAAAAAGUGGACUAAGCUGGCCUGCUUGCUUUCAUUAAAGAAAUGCAAACAAAUUGUAGUGAGGCCUCCAAAGCCGGAACUAGAAACAGACAGUAAUAUUCGAGAAUCAUCAAAUUAAACACUCAAAAAACAUACUAUUUUAUUUAUUUUAUUUGUUCAACAACACUCCUCACCGACAACAACUCUUAUUUUUCACUCUUUACACCUUAAAGAUUUUUGUUACUUCACUUGAUGCUUAAACCAAAGGGGAGAUGGGGUAUUUUUACAUAAAACAAACUAAUCACAACCAUUCAUUUAUUCAACUACUGUAUAAAUCCUCACCAUUCAUUAAAAACUACCACUCACCUAGUUCACCAACCACACCUACCAUACCUACCACAAGAAGCUUCUAUGUAUUUGAGCUUGAAUUUAUUCAUCUUAGAUCAAGUUUAUGAUCCAACACCCUCCCUUAAACUUGAUCCUGUGAUACCAAGCAAACUUCUAAAUUUUACGAAGUCUUCUUGCUUGAGCGGAUUGGUGAAGAUAUCAGCUCAUUGAUCUUGUGAUUUUACAUACUUGAUUUGUACUUCUUUUCUUGCAAUACGCUCUCUUAUGAAAUGAUAGCGAAUAUCUAUGUGUUUGCUUCGAUCAUGAAAGACUGGAUUCUUGGAUAGGGCAGUUGCUGAUUUGUUAUCAACAAAAAUCUCGCUUGGCUCUUCUUAUGGCAAACCCAACUCCUUCAGCAAAUUUUUGAGCCAAAUUGCAUGACAAACACUUGAUGUGGCAGCUACAUACUUAGCUUUACAGGUGGAUAGCGUGACAAUUGAUUGCUUCUUUGACAUUUAUUGGAAAGCAGUAUCUCCUAUGAAGAACACAAAUCCUGUGGUGCUCUUUCGAUCAUCUACAUCUCCACCCCAAUCACUACCGCUAUAUCCAACAAGCUUGUAAUAAUUAGAAAAUGAGUAUAACAAGCCGAAAUUAAUUGUACAUUUGAUGUAGCGAAGGAUUCUUUUUGCAGCUUUAAAAUGAGUGGUCUUUGGAUUCUCCAUGUAUCGACUCACAAGUCCAACAACAUAAAGGAUAUUUGUUCUUGUGCAUGUCAAAUAACAUAGGCUUCCGACCAAACUUUUAAAGAAUGUUGGAUCUAUAUCUUCGCCUUCAUAAUGUUUGGAUAACUUGACUCCGCAUUCCACUGGCGUGCUUAUAGGCUUGCAAUCAUUCAUCUUGAACCUUUUGAGAAUCUUCUUUGCAUAGCUUUCUUGGGAGAUAAAUAUGCCUUCAUUCUUUUGCUUGACUAAUGUUGAGGUAAUAUGUCAUCAGUCCGAUGUCAAUCAUCUCGAACUCUUCAAAUAAGCUUGGAUCACUUUCAGUGAAGAUGAGAUCAUCCACAUACAAGCACACAAUCAAAAUGUCUCCAGCUUUUUCUUUGACGUAGAGAGCAUGUUCAUAUGGGCAUUUGGUGAAGUCGUUCUCUUGAAAAUACUUGUCAAUUUUGCUAUUCCAUAUUGCUUUAACCCAUAAAGAGUUUUCUUCAAUCUCAAAAUUUUGUCUUUAUGUCAUUUCACCACAUAGCCUAACGGUUGUUCGAUGUAAACUUCUUCAAGGAAUCAAUUCAGGAAAGCAGACUUCACAUCCAUUUGAAAAAUCUUCCAUUUGUUCUGAGCAGUCAAAGAAAUAAUAAGUCUAAUAGUUUCAAGUCGAGCUAUAAGAUCAAAUACCUUGUCGUAGUCUAUGCCAGCCUUUUGACUAUAGCUUUUUAUAACUAGCCUCACACCUUGUCGUAGUCUAUGCCAGCCUUUUGACUAUAGCUUUUUAUAACUAGCCUCACACCUUGUCGUAGUCUAUGCCAGCCUUUUGACUAUAGCUUUUUAUAACUAGCCUCACACCUUGUCGUAGUCUAUGCCAGCCUUUUGACUAUAGCUUUUUAUAACUAGCCUCACACCUUGUCGUAGUCUAUGCCAGCCUUUUGACUAUAGCUUUUUAUAACUAGCCUCACACCUUGUCGUAGUCUAUGCCAGCCUUUUGACUAUAGCUUUUUAUAACUAGCCUCACACCUUGUCGUAGUCUAUGCCAGCCUUUUGACUAUAGCUUUUUAUAACUAGCCUCACACCUUGUCGUAGUCUAUGCCAGCCUUUUGACUAUAGCUUUUUAUAACUAGCCUCACACCUUGUCGUAGUCUAUGCCAGCCUUUUGACUAUAGCUUUUUAUAACUAGCCUCACACCUUGUCGUAGUCUAUGCCAGCCUUUUGACUAUAGCUUUUUAUAACUAGCCUCACCUUAUGUAUUUCAAUUUCUCCCUUCGCAUUUCUUUUCGUUUUAUAGACCCAUUUGACAUCGAUCACCUUGUGACCUUUAGGAAGAGUAGUAAGCUCCCAAGUAUCAUUCUUCACAAUGGCUUUAAGUUCUUUAUCCAUUGUAAUUCUCCACUUCUUAUCUAGUGCAGUUUCUUGGAAGUUGAUUGGCUCACAAUCAACAAAGAGGCAAAAAAGAGUGAGAUUAUCAUGUCUCUCAAUUACCUCAUAGAGGUAUUGAAGACUCCUUAUACAUUCUUCGGUUCUUUUAUUUAAGAAAGAUUGUAGUGAACCUCCACAUGUGGUUGAUGCUGGUGAGAUAGGUGGAGUAGUUGGCUCUUGUUGUUCUUCUACUUGUUUUAUUUGUGUAUGAUCAUAUUCUUCAAUGGGAAAUAAGUUGAAGUCAUCCACAUGAGAGCCAAAAUCCCAUUCUCCUUUUUCAUCAAAAACUACAUCCCGACUUAUCACGAUCUUCCCGUUGUUUAGAUUAUAAAGCUUGUAUCCUUUCGAAUUGUUGUCAUAGCCGAUGAAAAAUAAACUUCUCACUUUUGUGAUCCAGCUUGGUUCUACUUUCACCUGGUACAUGUACACGGGCAAUACUUUCGAAAACUCUUAGAUGGGUUAUGCCGAGCUUUCUUCCACUCCAAGCUUCUUGUGGCGUCUUGUCCCACACGCUUUUGUUGGAGAUUGAUUGGAUAAGUAGACUGCACAUACAACAACUUUAGCUCAAAAUUCUUUAGGCAGCCUCUUACUUUUAAGCAAGCUUUUUGCCAUGUCAAGGAUGGUUCUGUUCUUUCUUUCUACAAUACUAUUUUGUUGUGGGGAUUUUAGAACUGGUAAAGGGCAUCGAAUUCCAUUUGCUUCACAAAACUUUACGAAUUCUAUUUGCUUCACAAAACUUUACGAAUUCUUUGGAAGUGAACUCUCCACCUCGAUCAGAUCUCAUGGCUUUAAUGUGGUAUCUACUUUCUUUUUCUACUGCAGCUUUAAACUUCUUGAAAGCUUCAAAGACUUCUGAUUUCUGCUUCAAAAAAUACACUCAACUUUUUCUUAAAAAAACAUCUAUGAAGAGAAGGAAGUAAUUACUUUUACCAAGGGAGCUUGGCUUGAAUGGACCGCACACAUUAGUAUGAAUGAACCCGAGUGGCUUCUGAGCUCUUGAGUUUGAUUCCUUUGAAAAGCUCUUUCUGAACUACUUGCCAAGUAAGCAUCCUUCACAAAGUUGAUCAGGGUGAUUGAUGCAUGGUAAGUCUUUCACCAUGUUCUUCUUAGAUAGUAACUCCAGUCCUCCAAAGUUGAGAUGCCCAUAUCAAAGAUGCCAAGUCUAAGAUGGAUAUUUGUGACAUAUUUUGAGACAUUUUGCAACAUCAUUUUGAAUAAUUAAAGGAAACAUUCUAUUCUUCGACAUUUUUACCUUUGUAAUAAGAUUUCCUUUGUCAUCUCUUAAGAAAAGAUUACAAUCUUUUAAGUGAAUAUCAUAGCAUUUUUCCAAAAGUUGACCAAAAUUAAAGAUGUUUCUUUUUAUAUUGGGCACAUAGUAAACAUUCGAAAUUAUUUAGUGGCUACCAUUUUUUGCACGAAAAAGAAUGUUACCUAUACCCUUCACUGGUACUUUUGAAUCAUCUUCAAAAGCAACACUGCCAUUCACAGAUUUAUUUAGUUCCAUGAACAUGCUUAUGUUUCCACUUAUAUGAUUGCUAGCACCUGUGUCAAGAUAUCAUGUAUUUUCUUGACCUACACUUGUGUUAUUGCGUGCUAGUAAAAGUGUGCCAUCUUUACCAUUUUUCUCUUCUACAUAAUUCACUCUCUCAUUAAUUCUGGUACUUGGAGUUCUACAUUCUGAAGCAUAAUGCCCAAACUUAUGACAAUUAUACUUGGGAUUUGUGAUACCUUGAUCUUGGAUUGCCUCUGCCUUGUCCUCUGGUUGAGCUUUCUCCGUUGGCAUAAUUGGAGUUGUUGUUGUUGAAAUUCUAACCUCGUCCAUGACCACGACCUCUACCUCGAACAUAAUACCUUCUCUCAUUGUCGGAGCUUUCUUCUCUUUUCUUUGGAUUGAUUCCAUAUUGAGAAGUUGUUCUUCAAUUCCUUACUACUUUUUUAGUUUUUCUUCAUAGGCUUGCAACCUUCCUCGAAGUUGCUCGAUCGUCAUAUCCUCCAGAUCUUUUGUUUCCUCAAUUGUCACAACAAUAUGGUCAAACUUCAAGUAUACUGAUCGAAGUAUCUUUUCAAUGAUCCUUACCUGUUUUAACUCCUUGCCAUUUCCUUUUAAUUCAUUGGAAACGGUCACAACUUGAGUAAAGUAGUAAAAAAUUGACUCUGAUGACUUCAUGUGUAAGGACUCAAUUUCUCCUUGUAAUGUUUGGAGACGAACCUUCUUAACUUGCUCCGCUCCUUUGUAAGAAGUCUUUAGUUUCUUUCAUACUUCUUUUGAGGAGGUUACACUAGUAAUCUUUUCAAAAACAUAUUCGUCUAAUGAUUGAAAGAUAAGAUACUUUGCUUUAUUCUCUUUCUUCUUUAAGUCUUUUAAAUUCUCCUUCUGCACCACAGUUAAAGUGGUUUCAUUUUCUGGCACAAUAAAACAUUUCUCCACGACAUCCCAUACGUCAUGUGCACCAAACAGAGCCUUCAUUUUAAUACUCUAAUUGUCCAACUUACUUCCCUUUAAUUGUGGAGCUUGAAAUGACAUCAUACCAACAUUUGCCAUAACUCACAAAUUGAGUGAGAAUUUUGAGAUUCUGAAUGCACAGAUAGAUCCGGUACGUCGAGAAACCUUGGAAGGGACUUGAGUCAAUUUUCAAUCAACGAUCAAUUUUUGGUCAAUGGUCAUGUCGGUCAAUGGUCAACUAUAGUGUAGUUGACUUGGUUCGAUCCGGGUUAGUUCGGUUCUAGUUGGCUCGGUUCGACUUGAUUCGGUUCAGCUCGGCUCGGCUUGGUUCGGUUCGGCUCAACUUGGUUCGGUUGGUUUCAGGUUGGUUCAACUCGGUGAGUCGACUCAACUUCAGGACAUAAAACUUCUGGCAGUGAGUGUGGGUGAGUUCGGCCUCCGAUCGGGCUGAGUUUUGUGGCAUUACGUUCCUCUCAUCGAGAUCUUCCAUUUGAUAUGCUAUAUGAUUAUAUAUAGCAUCGAACACUAGCUCUAAUACUACUUUGUUGGAGAAUCAACAAAUGAUUAAACUAAUGUAUCAUGGGGCUAUAAAAGAAAGAGAAGAAGAAAAGCUUUCAUUGGAAAUUUUGGAUUCUCUAAGAUAUGAAACAUGAGAGACCUUGAAAAGAAAGAAAGGAAAAAAAAACCUAAAAUUGAGAUUUCUUAAAAAAUGGAAGAGUAAAACAGAGUUAAAAAAUGGGAGUAAAUUCUUAAAAAUAUACCAAGGAGGAAAAUAAAGACAUGAGAGAAACAAAUUUUAAUGGAUGCUCUUGUGGACGUAAAAGAAAAAUGAUCCCAAUGUUAGUUUAAAGACAAGUUUUGAUGGACACUCUCAUGUAGAAUCUAUUUAAUCACACACGAUGAGAUUGAGUUUUUAAAAAUGUUAUCAUAAAUGAAAUUAGGUUACUAGACUUCUCUCUCUCUCUCUAUACAUAUAUAUAUGUGUGUGUGUGUGUAUCUAUAAAAUUAUUCUCAGGUGCACGUGCCCUCAUUUUUUUUUUUUUUAAUGCGGACACUUUAUUAAACCACAUGAUUUAACAACGUGUCUGCAUAAAAAAAAAGGGGGCACUUGUAUGAGAGAAUGACUCUAUGUAUAUAUAUAAUCAUUUCUUACGAAGCAUAAGGCCUCCCCUAAAUCCUAAAACGGGCAAUAUCAAUACAGUGCAAAGAAACAAGUUGUAAUUACAUUUUUCUAAAGAAAACUAUGGGACAUGGUUUGAAUCAAGAUACUUGGGGUGCUUUUCGACACCUAAGUCACCCUUAACGAAGCUAGCUAAUUGGAGUCCAAUUUCAAUUAUAGAUGAAUUUAUCUUGCAAUUUCAGACUGCAAGAAAAAAAGGUUUUUAGAUCUUCCAAGGAAAGUUACGGAUGUGGGUUUUAAAUCAAGAUACUAAUUAGUAAUUAACCAGGCUAUACCAUCAUUGAAGUCUAAUUUCGAUUAUAUAUGUAUGAGUACUUCACUGCCUUCAUUAAUCUCAAACUCAUGUGAACUUGAUAGCAUCCAAACAAAUUACCAAAGCAUAAUUUUCUAAAUUGUUUAGAAGAUCACAGCUGUUACCAGUGAAUAUUUCUGUUAAAAGUUUAUGACAACAAAUUACUGCUAAUAAAUGAUCAUUUCGUACGUUUUCAAGCAUCUGCAGACUGCAAAACUAAAAAGCCAGCGUCUCAAAACAAUUGGGAAAAUAUUAAAAAAUAUAUGCCAAAAAAAAAAGAAGAAGCAUACUUAAGGAUCUUGAAAAACUUGUCAAAUUUUGGAUGCCACAGUGAAGAUAUUAAACUGCAAUUUUUUCUUUUUUUAAUAAUUUUUGCUUUGUCACAAAUGAGAUUGACUAACAUACCCUCGAGUAGAAUCUAACUACUGUACCACCAUUUGGAUGCUUAGUCGAUAAAAAAUAUCUUUGAAAAAAUUAGCGUUUUUUGUUUUCGACGUAUUUGUCCAAGAAAGAUUUUAUGUUUUGGAUUUUGGUCUUGUCAAUGGUGAGUGAGUACCGAUUUUCAAGUUUGUCUAUACGUUGAAUUAAUUGUAUGUUUUAUUAGUGGGGUGUAUAGCACAUACAUAGAGAGAGAGAGAGACGACAGCCUUGUGAAUAUCAUUAUGCUGCUUCCUGCAAAUCUUAUACGAUUGUUAUUGAAAUUUUGUACCUUGAUAAGAGCAUUCAUUGAUAAAUAUGUUUCAGUGUUAUAAGACUUUUGAUGAACGUCUAGGGAGUCAUCUUAAUUUGAGAUGUAUGGUACAUGCAUGAAACGUGUGUAGCAAUUGAACUGUAGUGAUACAACAUUAAUCAAUUUAACCCAUUGGAUACAAAAUUUAAGUUAUUAUAGACCAUGAUAGUGAUGAAUGCCAAUUCACAUCGAGCGGAAUCGGUAUUAGAAGUCAUGUAGAUUUAAAGAGAUUAAUAAGGUAAUGGGUUCGAAAAUUAAUUGCAAUUGACACAGUACUUAAAUCUGUAAGAAUUUGAAUGUGAAACUUUAUUUGUUUUGAUACUGUAUUUGUGAAACCAUUAAAAUUUUGUAAUAAGGACCAAAACUAGUGAAAAAUCUUAACUGAUAGAAGCUGAUUGAGGAAAAAAUUGAACACCACUAACACUGUCUCUAAUACUGUGUAAUUAUUGUUUCACUGAAUUACAAGCUUAAAGUAUUAAGCCAAUGCCCAAAAUUAUUAAUUUUAAACCAAAAAAAAAAAAAUCUAAUACCAAUGCCCAAAAUUAUUAAUUUUAAACCAGCUUAAAGUAUUAAGCCAAUGCCCAAAAUUAUUAAUUUUAAACCAAAAAAAAAAAAAGAAAAAGAAAGAAAGAAAGACGUACCUUACAGUUUUAACUUUAUAAAAAGUUUCGUUAGCCAAUAUAUAGAUUUUAUUUAUUUAUUUAUUGUAGAAGUAAGGGAUCCUGCUAUGUUGGUUAUGCUCUAACUUAGAGCAUCUCCAACAUAUCAAUUUCCAGAAGUAAGAAGUCAAGGGUUCAAUCCAAUGCGUAACUGAUUGGUCGUGGUUUUGUUCAAUAAUUUCGCAAAACAACAGAAAUGAAAUAAAAUUAUAUACCACCAUAAUUAAUUAAUCAACGGAUUCUGUUUAGAUUCUGUGCUUGAUUGUAUAUCAAUACCAUCAUAUUUUUAUCAAUAUUUUAAAUUCAAUUAUAUUGUUGUGGUCUGAAUGAUUUUUAUUUUUAAUAUUUUUACGAAUUUAUUGGUGUUCGGUUGGAUAAUAUUUAAAGUAAUAACAAACAUAGGUUUUAAUGGAGUGAAAUUGUAAGGGAUGGUAACUAAAUCUUGUUUCUUAUUGUUUAAUGAUAAAGACUGAAUUCAAUAUGAAGUGGUCUGAUAUUGUAAAUGCAUUGCAGGUAAAUUGAAAUUUUUUAUACGAUGGGAGGAAGUGCGAUUGAUGAUGAUUGGGAGCUUACUUCUCCAUCUAAUGGGGUGCGCACUGUGGUUUUUGUUGGCCGUACUGGCAAUGGCAAAAGUGCGACGGGCAACAGUAUUCUUGGAAGAAGAGCCUUCAAGUCGAGGGCUAGCUCGUCUGGUGUUACUAGUACUUGUGAAAUGCAGAGAACCGUGCUCAAAGAUGGCCAAGUUGUUAAUGUCAUUGAUACCCCCGGUAAUUUACUAAUGUCGUUGCCUAGAUAUUCCAUUUCCAUGCCUGUUGAUGUUGUGGUGGUAAGUAGAUUGAUGUUAUCGUAAUAAAAAAAAAAGGGUAGAUUGAUGUUAUGAGCAAUUGCAGGACUUUUUGAUUUUUCUGCUGGCUCUGAGUUUGUCGGCAUGGAAAUUGUCAAAUGUAUCGGUCUGGCCAAGGAUGGGAUCCAUGCAGUCCUUGUA